rnacentral:lncRNA from 1 species
UUCAUGAAGCACCAGAAGACAGCGUUUUAUUUGGUGGGGGUGAAGUUUUAGUACAGGAAUUGCUCGGUUUGAAAUAUUUAGAGGUAUUGGAGUUGACCUUGGGAAGUUAUCAGGCUCUCCAAAUCUUUUUGAGCUCAAAUAAGUUAAAAAGUUGUAUUCGAUCUCUUUUCCUCCAGUUGGCCGGAGAUACAAAGUCGAUUAUUGAUGCUGCGGCUUUCGCAGAUCUAAACCACCUCAAUGAAUUAUAUAUUUAUGAAGGUAUUGAGUUGGAAGAAUUGAAGAUUGAUUAUACAGAGAUAGUACGAAAAAGGCGGGAACCUUUUGUUUUCCGCAGCCUUCACCGUGUUACCAUAUUUAGUUGCGGUAAAUUGAAAGAUGUGACAUUCCUCGUUUUUGCUCCAAACCUCAAGUCUCUUGAGCUAUUGCAAUGCGAUGCUAUGGAAGAAAUAAUCAGCGUCGGAGAAAUUGCUGAGACUCCUGAGAUGAUGGGACACAUAAGCCCUUUUGAAAAUCUCCAAAGUCUUCAUUUAUCGUAUUUACCAAUUUUGAGGAGCAUCUACUGGAAGCCAUUGCCUUUCACUCAUCUCAAAAAAAUGGAGGUACGUAGAUGCGAUCAGCUUAGAAGGCUUCCGCUCGAUUCCAACAGUGCAACAGAGCGUAAUGUUGUUAUUCGUGGAUACACACUCUGGUGGAACCGACUUCAAUGGGAGGAUGAAGCCACUCAAAUUGCUUUUCGUUCCUGUUUCCAACCUCGUUCCUGAGCAGUGGUCGCAAAAUUUGAUUUCUGGUGAGUGCGUUUGUCUUUUAAAAAGAAGAAUUUAAAAGAAAUUUAUUCUUGUCGUUUUCUUCACUGUUUUUAUUUGAUUUCUGGUUAGUUUCUUUCUCUCUCUCUCUCUCUUUGUCUUCUGCAAAUCACAAUUAAAUGUUGAAUUAAUGGAAUUGAUGCUCUGGUUUUUUACUUUUUGUUGUCAAAUUUUGCCCUGUUCUAUCUUCUUAGCGAUUUAAUUUCCUGUCAAAAGACGAGCGAGAAGAACAUAUAUAUGACUUAAACCAAUUGAUACUUUAUUUAUGUGCAUUGUAUGUAAUAAAUAUUAAGUAUACUUUAUUUUUGCCCUGUUCUCUGUUUUUAUUUCAGUCUCUCUCUCUCUUUCCUGUCUUCUGCAAAAUAUAAUCAAUUAUUUUCAAAAUAUCAUUGAUGAUUUUUCUGCUCUAAUGCUAUGUAAAUAGUAUGUUAAGUAAAACAUAAUCAAUUAUUUGUGUUUUAUCUCUAAUUAGAACAUCAAUCAGUUCAGUACCUCACAAAUAAUUCGCAAUAUCUACAAAAUACUAUAAUGGCUACAAAACAAAUCCUGCUUGCAAAUUGUCAAGGAUACCUAUCCGUUCGCUUGACAAGUCAUUUGAAUAAAUAUUGUUCACAUUCCUUACUCUAUCAAUUAUCCAAAGCACCAUCAAUGGUCCUCAACUUUAGUUUGAAUAGUAUACAUGCCAUCACCAUUACCAAGAAUCAAGCAUGGAAGAGUCAUUCUAUAGAGUUAAUCGAAGCAAGGAAUGAUGUAUCAGAAAAUAUUUGGUGGAGAAUUCAGCACAAACAUAUUUUGGAUGAUCAGAAUCAAUAAAACCUGGUGGUUGCGCCAUAUAAACAUCUUCGGAAAGCUGACCUUGAAGAAAGGCGUUAUUGAUAUCCAAUUGACGAAGAGGCCAGCCAUGACUAACAUCAAUACUAAGAACAAGCCGUACUGUGGUGGACUUAACAACUGGACUGAAAGUGUCAUAAUAGUCCACACCAGGCCAUUGAUUGAACCCUUUGGCAACAAGAUGAGCUUUAAACCUGUCAACAGAACCGUUGGAAUGUCUUUUAAUACAAAAAUCCAUUUGCAGCCAACAAUAUUGGAAGGGAUGGGAGGUGGAACAAGCUUCCAUGUCCCGUUACGAACAAGAGCAUCAUACUCUUCUGACAUAGCUGGACGCCAGUGAAGAUUUUUGAUAGCUUGCGUCACAGUUGUAGGUUCACAAUCAGAAGAAGGGCUAAAAUGAGCACGGAGGUUAAGUUUUUGUAACGGCUUGUGAAUCUUAUUUUUAGCUCGGGUAGUCAUAUCAUGAUGACUUGUGGGGCAAUGAUCUAGUGGAGUUUAGGAAGAUGAUUGAACAGGAAGUGAAGAAGUGCUUUGUGUAGAGGUAGAAGUAGGUUGGGAGGAUUGCUGCGGAGAUGUUACCGGUAGAGAAGAAGGAGCAGUACACGGUGGCAACUCCAGAGGGCCCACAAUAGAUGGAGUAGGUGCCGACAAUGGAGUACUAGGAAAUGAAACAGGAAGAAUUGGUGGAACACUUGCGUAAUUAGGAGUGGUAGAUGAGCUUGUAAUGAUUUGUAUGGAAAAACAAACUCUACAAAUUUAACGUGACGUGAAAUAAAAAUUCAACCCGAUUGCAUAUUUAAGAACAUCUCAAAUGAAUUGCUUACUGCUAUCAUCAUCAUUAUUGUCUAUAUAAUAAUGGAUCUUUAUUAUAUAUAUGUUUCCACUAAAAUAUAUUUAAUUAUUCUUUAUUUUUCUAUUGUUGCGUGUAAGAUUUAUUUGAGUUCUAAGUUAUAUCAAUACAAAUGUUAUCUUAUCCAUAAAAAGUUAGAUCCAACAAUUAUGAAAAUUACUAUAGAGUUGCUUUCAAUUAUUUUUUUAAAAUACCAGGAGUAAAUAAUAAUUAGUUCAAAUGGUGGAGACUAAAAUGCGUUCACCUUUAUUUUUUAUCUGUUAUUUACUUUUGUCAUUACAUUAAUGCACAUGCUAUACAUUUGAGACAUUCCAUUAAUUGCCAAUUAUGUAUGUGAGAUAGUAAUUUAAAUUAAAAAAUAAAAGUGAAAGUUAAUCCUAUGCAAUGUGAAUAAAUUUCUUUCCUUUUUCCUUUACUCUUUUUAUUUGACAAUAAAGUUUCCAUCUAUCAUCUAUCAUCUAUGUACACAAAAUUUCUGCAACAAGUACAAAACAUAAAAAUAUAUGAAUAUUAAGGGAAACACGCAGAAGUUCAUCAUUUCAAUGUUCAGUAUUACCAAUUUUGGCAUUAAGCUUGUACGAAUAUAUUCUACUUCGAAAGCAAAAUAUUAGACUCGUGAUUUUAAUUCAUUCAUUAUCUCUCAUUUUAAUCCCAAAAUAUUCAAGAGUAUCCAAGUUACCAUAAGACUUCAGAGGCUCGAGCCUUAGCCAGAGAUGGUUAAUUGAUAGACUAUGUGCCUGGGUCGAGCACUGGAAGCCUGCAAUGCAGACUGAUUGAUUUAUCAGUUUAACGUGUGCCAGGAAUGAAGAACUGGAAUAUCACCGUCAAGCAAGCACCCUGUGGAGCAAUACCAAAGAAUGCACAAUCUGGCUUUGCUAGGUGACCCUGGAGGCUUUUUGAAAAGUGCUUCAUGCUCACUUGCACAGAUUGAGCAUCCCCUCUGGAUAUUGCCCUCUCUGAUCGAGUCUGAGCACUCAAAUUUCGGUCCUCAGAUGGAGCUACAGCUUUCUCUCCAAUAACCAACAAUUUUCUAAACUCAGCACCUAGUGUGAUCAGAGUUGUUGAUAUUUGCAAAUGGAGAUCCCCAUAUUUGCAAAUGGAGACAUUUAACAAAUCACCAACAUGCUUCAUCCGGUCCACGAAAUUCUGCAACUGAUUCAAAUCUGGAACCUGAACCAGAGUCGGAGGUAUAUCUUGAGCCAUAUCUAAAGCAGUUUGAAGUUCAAGACCUUGAGCCCUUGACAAUGGUUUUGAAAUUGGAACAUCUUGGAUUACUGCAGACUUGUACCCCUUGGUUUCAAAGGUAAGGAAAGGCAUUGCUUGAGUACAAUUUGGAGGCAGCUUCUUCACCAAUUUUAUUUGGAGGCAAUUGGCAGCGGAUCCAGCUGCACCAAUUUCAGAGCAACUACUGACACUACUUCGAACAGCACACUGACGAAGUGAUAUGUCUACGGCAAAGGCAAUGCAGUCCUCAUUUUGGCUUGAGAUGCAGUAAUCAUCGAAGAGAGUUUCCUUGUGAAACUGGGCAACACAUUGAAUCCCUUCGCCACUGAGAAGGUUGUGGAGGAAGUAAGCUGUCUCUCUAGUGAGGAAGAGGUGGCAUACCUUCCCCAUUUUGUCUAGGGCAGGUAGGAAUCUUUUUUCUAAGAGAUUUACUUCAUUCUCUGUGAGAAAUGCUUUGAACUUCAUCCCUCUGUCUCUAUCCUCACUUAUCAGGAAAUAAGUUGAAAGCACUAUGAAGAGAGAGAGAGAGAGAGAGAGAAUUAAGAUAUAUAGACAAGAAAAUAAUUAGACGUUGAUCUUACAAACUAAUACUUCAAGCAGUAUCCUAGAAAGCUAAAAACUGCAAGAUGGCUUGAAAUUUGAAAAGAGCACAUGGUUUUCCUCCUUAACUUGAGAAAAUGUUUAAUAUAGUGCACCUUACAGAAGCAUUUAAGCAAUUAGAACUUUGCACAAAAACAUCAAGAAGACUAAACAAAUCAGAUGCAGUGUAUUUGUCCAAGCACAAAUUGCAUUUUGUCCUCAACUUUAAUAUUUAUUGAUGAGAAUCAAUACAGGUCCCUCAUUUGUUAUAGAAAGCUUUCUUGUAGUCUCACCAGUUAAUUCACAGGUCUAUAAUCAUCUUGCAAAGUUAAGGGCAUUUCUUUCGAUCUAAAGUCUUUGCAUCACCACCUCAUCACACGCCAAGCCAAUAUUCCAUUUACCUCUACAACAAAAAGUUUUUAAGUAAAUAAUCCUAAUGCACGCAGCCGAAUAAAAUGCAGUAAGAAUAUUCAACUUAAAAAUCUGAAAGCCAACUUGGUGAAUUGCCUCCUUAGGUGAAGUUCCAUGCUUUACUAUAGUUGACAGAACUCAGCAAAAGCUUCCAUACAACAGAUUUUGAAAAUGAUGAUGCCAAUAGAUACUCAUUCAAUCCAUUGAAACUCCAAAGGUUCAUUGUUCAUAGAAGUUUACAGAGUUUUGGUCAUCAAAUAGCUCAGACCUAAUCCCAAACAAAAAACGAGUGAAAAUUAGAUCACGAGCAGCUAAUUGUAAAUUCUAACUUAACUCUUCAUCUCCUUUGUAAACAAGAAACAAAAUGGAGACACGCAAAAUGAAUAUGGAGAAAAUUUGAACUCAAAUGAAAUGAGGGCACGAAAGCAAACAAAUGGCAUGCACAAAAAAACCAAGCCUCGAUAAAAAACUAAUUAACCAUUAAGAAAAAAAUUGGUCAGAGAAUGAACUCCAAAUUCAGGAGUCAAGCAAGAAGCUUUCAUUAUUUCAGAAGCUCCUGUACAAAUUAAUAAGUUAUGCUCUUUGGAAGCAAACCUAAAUUCCAAGAGAAACAGAACCCAAAAAAUUUGCAAUUAUACGCAAAGGAAGUGAAGCACAGGAUUCUAUCACACAUAGGAAUUGUAUAACAAGAGAUCGAUAUAUCGAAUUAGAAAACUCAAUUCGAAUUUGUGUCAAAAAUCAAAAUUAGAAGAUUUCACAUUUCGAGAGGAACAAGCAACAGAUGAAGUUCAAAAUUUCAGCCAUAACAUGCUAAAAAUGCUACACUUAACGGUUCAUUUUCAUGGAUUUUCUCGGGAAACAAACAGAAAAUUACGGUUUAGAGAGUUGACUGACCUUUUGGCUUUUGAAAUUGACCAGAUCGCGCGCCAAAUUGGAAGAGGGAAAGUGAAAGCGCGAGUUUUAAUAUGGGUAUUAGAUAAGGAAAUUUUAUUAGGUUGCGAGGGUAAAAAAGGAAAGAGAUAUCAUUAUUUUAUUAUCGAUAAUUAUUAAAUUUUUUUCCAAAAAAAAGAACAAGCAAGGAUUUUUUAUUGUCAUCACUAAGUUAAAAAAAAUUGUUUCAAAAUUACUUGAGUCAUAUCCAAUGGACCAACAAAGUAAUCGUUUUUAUUUUUAUUGAUUUUUGCAGGAAAUUAAUAACUUAAAAAUACUGAAAGCUACUGUAAAAAUUUUUAUUAUCAACCUCAUAAUUUUUUUUUUUUGGGGAAGAGAAUUCAAACUUUUUUUUUAUGAAUAUCGCUGUUUCGUUUGAGUUGGAUGUGAAUUCAAAUCCAAAUAUUCUUUGUUUUUCAAUUUUGAACUCAAUUUCUUUUUCUCAAGAAUGUUAUGCAGAAAUAAUUUUUACUAAAUCUUUUUUGAUGAAUUGUUUAAAUUAAACAAUUGGAAUAAGAAUUGUAACGAUUUAUCAUAAGCGUGCUAAUAUGAUAACUUGUUUUACGAAGGAUUAAUUAAUCAAUUAAUAUUAAAUUAUAUAUUAGUCAAUUAGAUAUGUGUUACAUUUAUCAUGUUUUGUAGGUGAUAGUACAUCAUUUCUAAAAGAAUAUAGUACGUUAAAAUAUUAUUUUAAUGAAGAAAAUUUUAUUAUUUUAUUAUUAGGUGACACAAUAAUAAAUGGAUUUCUGUAAGAAUUGAGAUUCUUGAUAUAAUUAUUACAUAAGGAGAAGUUUAGUUGGUUCAAUUUUGACGUGAUAAGAAGACAACACAGCACAGAAAACCCAAAUUGCCACUUCCACUAAUAAAAGAUACCUGUUUGAAAAGUAAUUAUAAACUAUCUUCUUUGUGUUAUUUCUCAAAACUUUUGUGGCACAAAUGUUAUUUCCAUUGACAACAGUACGAAAUACCACCCCUUUCACUUGAGCAGGAGCAAAGCAAAGGUAUGAUGAGCUAUCUCUGUAUAAUUGAAACGCCAUUACUAAACGAUUCUUGAUGAUGGGAGCCACCGUGCCAGCUUUGUCGCUGAUUUGCAUGAUUUAUUAGUUGUCCAGAUGGCGGAUUUUGUACUGUUACCUUCGUUUCAUUCUUCAGAGCCAUGUACUGUUCUAGGAUACCAGAGAAACCAAGGUGGCAUUGAAGUUGCCCUGGUGGUUAGUUUUCCGAUCAUUUUUUUAUUCAAUUAUUUAUGUUUUUAGAAAAAUGUAGGAAAUAUGUAGAAAUGUUGACAGCUAUGAUUUUGAAACUUUUGCCUAAAAUUGUUAUCAUUACUUGUUGUUUCUUAUUUAAAGAGAAAUUCUAGAAACAUGAAAUGAUUAUUCUACGCUUGUUUUAAUAUUGUGCUAUGAAGAUUACGAAGGUUUGAUUAUAUGUCACUAUCAAUUGCCUUAAUCGUUUGUCGUAAAUCAAUUAAGCAUUUUGAUGCGAAUGAUUCCCUAUUAAAAAAUUCAAGUCAGAGCUGAAUUGCAAAGUAGUUAGUCGUGCUUGCAAUUCAAAUUAAGUAUUGUAUUUUCUCCCUGAUUUGGUUGAUUCAACUAUGUGCAUUUGCUUAUGAACGUUGCAGUAUAGAAAUCGAAAUAUCUUGUCUUUUGCUAAGCCCAGAAGCAAAUUCUUUGUAUUCUACUCAUCAGUUUUCUUCAUUCUCUUUGUUGAAAUUUUAUCUAAACAGCGGUUUCUUCGAAUUUAUGCCUUCGCUUACUCUUUUAAAUUUUAUCCAAACAACGGUUUUGAAAUUGUUUUCACUACAAUACCUUAGUCUUUCAGAUGCUCCCGUCACUGAGUUGCCAGAAGAGCUAAAAGCCUUGGUAAAUCUUAAGUGUUUGAACCGGAGUACACAAAUUAUCUCUCUACAUUUCCAAAGCAAUUGAUUUGUUACUUUUCGAUGCUACAUGUUCCGCGAAUAUUCAGUUGUGGUUAUCUUGUUCAGAUACCAGAAAAUAGCGUUAUAUUUAGUGGUAAUGAAUUCUUGGUUUGGGAGUUGCUUAGUUUAAAACGUUUAAAUGUAUUAAGCAUCAUCUUGAAAAGUUUUUCUGCUGUCCAAAAACUUAUGAGCUUCCAAAAGUUUCAAAGCUGUACACAAUGCAUGGAGCUUGUAGACUGUGAUGAUCCAAAGUCAUUUGCCGUGGCAGAGUUGAAGCAUCUUGAAAAACUAGGUUUUUCAAGUUGUGGAAAUUUGGAAGAGUUAAAGUUCUGCUGUGUCGAAGUUGCAAAGGCUCGAGAAUGUUUUCGUUUGAACAGCCCUCACUGAGUUAAGAUGAAGGCUUGUCAUAAAUUGUGGGAAGCGACAGGUUAUUCAAAUAGAAAAAUUUAUGGAGAUGGAUGUUAAUCUUAAGGUUAUUCAAUUAGAAAAAUUUGAAUAAAAUUUAUGGUAAGUGCUUUUCCAUUUAUUGCAUAUUUAUAUCUAAUUUUUAUUUUCCUUUAUUGUUAAAUUUUGGUCUCUAUUUGUUGUUGUAUGGUGGCAUUCUUGUACAAUUAUUAGCUUUUCAUUUCUCUUCUCACAUUAACUGCCCUUCUGAUCAUGUAGGAUUUGCUGAUGCAAAGAGUCAUAAUUUGGGAUACAAAUGUAAGAAUUAGACAGAUGACAUGUUGUUUUGAAGCUCUCAAAGAAGGACUAAUUAUGUCAUUGAAAGCCUCCAAUUUUGUGAUUGGUUUCUUUUUAUUUUAUUUGUUGUUUUCUCUAUUUUCAGAUCACUUAAUUGUUAGUUGUUGUAAUGUAAUGUUUUAGUAUAGCAAAUUAUAUUCGGCCAAGACAGUGAUAGGAGGGCACAUUGUGCAUGCACACUAGUGGAUUUGGCAUGCCAAAUCCAAUUAGGAUGGAUAACACUUUAUAAGCAUUAGGCUUCUCUCAUACCUGAGUAAUAUAGAAUAUGUUUAUAAGUUGUGAAUCACCCUUUACAAGUGUUAGGCUUCUGCUAUACUCAGUGAUGUGAAAUAUAUUUAUAAGCACUAAACUUCUCCCAUACACUUUAUGUUAAUAAUAAUAAUAAUAAUAAUAAUAAUAAUAAUAAAAUAAUAAUAAAUAAACCCAUUUUAACAGACUCUUUUUUCUUUUUCUAUAUGAACAAAUGCAUUCUUCAAAGCAACUGUGGGGAGAAGAAGUGAGUAGAGAAGAACUGAGCCCCUGUCAUUCCCCUAAAACCUCACCAAAACCUCUCUUGUAAGCUUCUCGGAUUUUCUUUCUAUAUUUCUUAGGAACUCAUUUUUUAUUGAAUCACUUAUUUUGCAUGCUGCAUUUUUUGGUUGUCGUAUUUGUGUAUUAUCUUAUCUGGAAUGCUGUUAUGAUUGAUGGAACAAGUAAUCGAUUUUUGGUCUAAUGGAAGUUGAUUUAUUUAUUUAUUGUUGUUUUUAUUUGAAAUUAUGUACAAUUGUAUUUCAUUCAUUUCUCUCUCUUUUGCUUUUUUCCCCCCAUAUAUUUGUUAUGUAUAAUUGCGUUUCAUUUAAUAUUGAUCAUACUGUAGGUAACCAUGUGAUUGUAGAUGGGGAUUUCGAGUUUGUUGAAUAUUCAUGUAAGUGAAGUAACCGUCACAAUACUAGUGAAAUUGGGAGCUUUAUUCAUGAGUUUGUGGUUUUGAAAAGUACCACAGUUCAACUGGUGAAGGCUCCGUUUUGGGAUUCUUCUUUUUCUAGGCUGCAAUUAGGAUAUGUACAUGAUAGACAAUCUUUUGUUGGUUUAGCAUAUCUUCGCUGAUUUUGUCUUUUAUUCCCCAAUUUUAUAAUUACACACCAUGAAUGUUGGGUGAUUGUAUAGAAAAUUUGUGUUAUAACAAAAACAUUGUGAAGGAGUUUCCGUGCUAAUAGUUAGUGGCUUCUGUUUUAUUGGCAUUGAUUGGGUAGAUUACGUGUUACAGUGAUUCAAUUUGUGUUCCAAACUUUGCUUUAAUUUUCUGUUUUCCCCAACUAUUUAUGUCAAAUUUAAAUCCAGAAGCAUGUGCUGAUUUUUUCUUUUUGUAUUAAUCUGUGAAGUUUAUUUGGAAUGGAAGUAACUGGGUCGGGUCUAAUGGAUUAAAUUAUGACAUUGAGGGGAAGGCACUAAAAGGGUUUGCUUGACACAUUUGGUUCUGUGUUUACUCUGCAAGAAAUAACUUUUGCUUAUUGCAAUGCAGGGGGAAAUCCCGAUUUGGCUGGUGAAUUUCUCUGCAACAAACAGGCAAACACCUCAACAUCUUCUGUCCAUACUUCUGCUGGGGAGGCAAGGGGUAAAGAGUCUUCAAAAUCAUCAAAUAGUUACAUCUCUGAGAAUUCAUUUUAUGGAAAUGGAAAAUCUAGAGUUUCUAAUACAAAAUGGCAUCUGGUAUCAGGACGUACCGUUUCAAGUUUUCUUGGUAAAGAUUAUGUUAAACCUGCACAGCCAGCUAAUGGCACUUUUCUGGCAUCAAAGCCAUUGAAGUUGGAUCCAAGGGAGUUUCGCAUUUCUGCACUUUCAGAGAAGAAACUAAACCGACAAUCAAAGGAUGACCAUUUGCAGAAGGAUAUGGAAGAUUUUCUUUUUAAAUUGCUAGGAGAAGGGUUCCAGCUGUACAGGGAUGUGAUUCAGGAGGUUCAUGGUAACGUCUUAAAUAUAUUGAUGCCAAUUUAAUACAUAUUGUCCUUUUCAAUGUUCUUUCUUUCUUUCUCCUCUUUUUAUUAUUCUUCUUCUUCUUUUUUCUUUUCAUGUGCAUGUGAUCACUAAUUUGGUAUUAUUCUUGACUUGCAGAUAGUUGUGGAUAUGAAAUGCAAAAGGUAAGGGCUAUAUCUUCUUGAUGGAGGCCUCUGAUUUUUUAAAUCGCAUUUUCCUUUGUGAUUGAUAUAUCAUACCAAAGUCAAGUCUUAAAUACUGCUGUCAUAUGUUAAGGUUCAACUUCCAUUUUGAUUAACGUCGAUUUGCUACUGCUUCCAAAAGUGAGAAUGAGAUACUUUGGUUAAUUUCAGUAGUUGAACUCAAUGGAGUACUUUAUUUAGAUCUUCAUGGUUCAAAGGCCUGAAAAAACUUGCCGGUAUUUGCAAAAUGACAUCUGUGCUUUUAUUUAGACUUAUUAUUAAAGACAACAUUUUAUUUCAGCCAAAAAUGUUUGUUUCAAUUAAAGACUUGAACCAUUUUCAUUUAACCUGAUUGUGAUGCUUUACAUUAUGCAUGUUCCUCUCAAUCAAUAAAAGUUGAGGUCAUGAUUUUAUAUUUCUAUUUUGUAACUUGAAAUAAUUGGUCUGCCUGUUUCUGUUGCUUGAUAACAUGAAUUUUUCCUUCUGAAGUUAAUUUGAUCAAUAAAGUAAUUCUUCGGAGAGGAUAUGCCCAUUCUAUAGUCAUUUUCUUAGCUAACAUGUUUUUUCUUCACUCUUCAAAGCAUGUCUAAACUAAUUGAUCGCUCAGCGGAGACUUUGGGUGAGAAGACAAAAUUUCUUGGUAAAUCCUCUGAAAAGGUAUGCAUAAUUCCCGAGUAUUAAAUAAUCAUUGGUCAUAAUUUUUGUACACGACUCUUGUUUUGGAGAUCGUUAAAAGUGGUUGAUGAUCUAUUUUGUAAUAUCAUAGAGGGAUCAUGAAUUCCUUUUCUUUUCUGUGGCUAGGCAACACUUUCGAGCCAAGCUAAGGAAAUCUAUUUUAGGUAAUGUGAAAACUAGUUGUAGGAUGUAAUAGUUUAUUAUGCCCUGACAAUAACUUUUUGUAUAAUUGUCAGUUUAAUGAAUACAAGAGGAACUCUGUUGGCAAGUUCAUCCAUGAUAGAUGCUAAAAUUAUUUAUGCAUACCAGUUGCCUUAACUAAUUUUUCUCAACACUGGUAUUGAACAGGAAAAUGAAUAUGCAAUUUGUAUAUUGUGCCAUUGUGGAGAAUUUGGAUAUUCUUAUUUAAGUAACAAGGAGAGUAUUUGCCUCAUCUUUAAACAAUGAAUCUUUGAGAAAUGAGGAGUGGGUGAUUGACAGUGUCUUCAUGUAAAUGUUCAUUUAUUUGUAUUUUGAACUAUUAUGAGAAUCUUUGUAUGCCAAAUUAGUAAUACAAAUGUUCAGAUGAUUUUUCCUGUUGAUCAUGCGUGUGUAUCUGCACACAACCAUUGUGUACCACUUUAUUCUGAUGCACAAAUAUCUGUAGUUUAGAAGAAAAGAAAUAAUAAUCAUAUAUUAUUGCUUGGUUCAUGAUUAUUAAAUGAUUAUGGCUUUAGAAAAUCCACAAAUCCUUUGUGUUCAUAUAUGAAUGUGCGAAGUUCGCUAUAUCUUAGAUUACCUUCUUCCAAGAUAACAAGUUCAUAUAUUUUUUUUAAUCCUUUUUCAUCACAGUUGAAUUUCAAGUGUAAGUUUUGUUAUUAAUAGCUGGUUUCCUGUUAUUAUGAUUUCAUAAACAAUGAGAGGAUAUGUGCUCUACUUUUGGAUGGCCUCCACAUAAAAGAAAAUUGCAACAAUUGAAUUCUUCUGGAGGGUAUGGUAUUUAAUUUAUUUUCUCAGCUUGUUGUAAGACUAAUAUAUUUCCUUCAGUACGCACGGCAUGGUGGGAAGGGUUUUUAUUGAAAGAAUUAUGAUAUUUCUUAGACUUUGUUUUGGAAGGGGGUGGAGGGAUUUCUCAUCCAUGUAUGGUUACUUGAUUAGCUUUUGACUGUACUGUCUCCGUCGUGCAAAGGAAAAUCCAAAUACUAACGAAGGGGAAUUGCUUAGGCACCCAAAGGACAGAAAUGAAUUACGGAAGGAGGUUUUUGCUGCUUUAUUUAGUGCUGCUGAGAAAUCUGAUGAAUUUCCUGAAAUUACGGUGAAGACGGAGUGGAGGUCCAACGCAUUAGGAAAGGUGGUGAGUGAACCGCCAGAGGAAUUAGUACCAGAAUACAAGGCUAAUGUGGUGCACUGGCAGCAAGAUGACCAGACCUGUAUGUGCUCUUAUAUUAACUAUAUUGGCUGGAUUUGUGAGUGUGUUCAUUUUUGUGUGUAUACUCACUUUUGUAUUUAUGCAUAUUCACGUGUGUAGGAUUCUCGAUUUCUGCCACUUACUGGAGAACUAGUGGAAAGCUUUAUACUGAUAUAUGUGCUAUAUAACUAAUGGAAACUACAAUAUGAAUAUUUUCUCUCACCUGGAGAGCAGUGUAACUAAUAUAAUUUGUGGCUCUGGAAUACUGAAGAUUCUGCAAUAACUAAUGGAAAAUAUGAUAUGAAUAUUUUUUCUCACCUGGAGAACUUUGUAACAGAUACAUUUUGUGCUGGAAUGUCUAAAGAAUGCUUCAGUUUAUAUCAAAUAUCUUUUAGUUAGAAAAGAUAAAAUUCUCUGAAUCUGAAAGACUGAAACAUUUUGCAUAUUUCGUGAAAGGCAAGUAUCUGUAGAUACUAGCUCAUGCAUUGAGGUAAUAUCAAUGUUAAAGAAAAACAGCAAUAAUUUAUUAUACAGAAUUAGGUUCACUUGCUUUAAAUGCUGGUCUGAUCAACCAUAUCAACCUGUAAUGGUCCUGCAGAAAUAUAUAUACGGGGAGAAACUAGCUAAUUUUCCUUUCACUUAUGGGUUUGGUCUUUUUUUCCCCAAUUUUUCAGCUUUCCUUCUCCUGAAGUAUGUUAAUAAUUGCAGAUAAUGGCGAAGAGGACUGCUUCCAGGCUACCGGCAAAAACUUUGUGAAAGCUUUGGAGUUAAACAGGGAAUUCACUUACUGCUAAGGACAAUUGGUGGCGAGCUAUUUCAUUCAUUUUAUGUCCAUACAUCUAUUUAAUUAUUAAAGAUAAUGUACGCAUUUGUAAAUUUCAGAUUGUGUGUCUCUGAAAAUAACAAUAUUUAAAAUGUCUCUUAAAUUAUUAUAAAUUUUAAUUUACUCUCGAUUUAAAAUGGAACAUGUUGGUGAAAUAUUUUUUCUUCUUAAUAAAAUUGAAAUAAAUUAUGUUAGCAGUAGUUUGAAAUAUUUUAAAGAUGAUUAUUUUAUAAGGGAGUAAUAUGAAAUGAAAUUUACUUUUCAUGCGUGAAAUGUUGAAAAAGGACAAAGCAAGUGUCCCUGCUUUUAUUUUAUUUCAAAGUGGAGUCAUCUCACAUACUUUAGCUCUAUCAUUAGGAGCCGGCUAAGUUACGUUAAACGUAAUUUACGCCAGGCACAGCAAUAAUGACAAGUCCCAUGACUAGUAUUGUUGCUGUGUCUGACGUAAGUUACGUUUAACGUAACUUAGCCAAAGCCCUAUCAUUAAUAUAUAUUUAAAUUUAACACAUGCAUGUGGGUUACUUUUCCGUAAGUUCCUUAAUAUAUAUUUAACACAAAUCAUGGAAGAGAUGGGAGUAUAUCAAGAUGAUCAAAGCAUGAAACAAAAAUAUUUAAGAAGUAAAACACUGAAAAUGGAGAAGAGAUGCAAGCAAAAGAUAUUCUAAAGAAAAGCAAUCUAUCCCCUUUCGAGGGCAAACUUAUCAGGUUUAAGAAAAGUACAUGCUUUGGAUUGGUAGUUGCAGCCUUGCAGGAUAAUUGUUUUUGCCACUAUAUUAGUUGGAGGAGUUGAACCCAGUGAAGAAUGUUAUGGAAGAGCAAAUGAUAUUUCUGAUAGACUCUAUUUGAUUAUGUAGCCUGAAUAGAUGUCUUGUUGAAAGAUAUAUCAGUGCAUUAGUUCAUCCUUGUCUGUCAAUGUGUUUUUAAUGGUUUUUCCAAUUGUUUUUUUUUUUUUUGAAACUGAUUAAGCAUCAGGUUACUGCAUUACACAGAUAUAUAUACAACUGCUAUGACAGCAGGUCAUUACACUGAUAUUUACAAUCAGAUAUAUAUACAUGGGACUUAUAUUAUUACAUUUUUAUUCUAUGAAGUACAUGCCCAUCCCAAAUACCCCUCACGGAGGAGGGAUGUCUCUACUCCACUCGCAUUUCGCAAGGGAGAAAGACGUUUAUAGAAAUCUCCACACAAUUAUGUUUAAUUGGAGGAGGUUGAGUCCGUGGGGACUCGAACCAUUGCCCUCAAAGUCAUGCUUAACUUUGAGGGCAAUGGUCCACCACUGGGCUACAAGCCCAAGUGGCGGUUUUUCCAAUUGUUUAUUGCUAUAGAUUGAUUGUAAAUUGAUGUGAACUUAAUGUUGAAAUAUUUUCUCUUUAGUGGAAUGAAAGUUAAACAUUCAAGAUUAGAUUAUUCAAGGUCCACAUAGUAUGUGUUCCGUUGUGUUGUCUGUAAUUUUGCAUUUAAAUAAAUUUGAGUGCUGCCGUUUCGCUCCCACAAUCUCUCGCCUUUUUUUAAUUUUAAAAAUUAAAAUAUUAAUAAAAAACAAUAAAGAAAAUCGAAUCCUUUAUGUCAUUCCAUCUUUACAACUCUCUCUCACAAACUCCAUCUAACAGACUUCUCUCUUACUAUCUCGGUCGAACAAGACCAGUGACAAUGAUGACACGACCGCCGACGAUGAGAUGGUCAUCGCUAAAGAAUCGGGCCGUGUAUUUUACAAUUUCUUGGUUUGUGACAACAAUGGAAAACUCCUGAAAAUUUUGAAUUUGUAGUCGAGCAAAGGAAGAAGCAAGUUAUCUUCAAAGCAUUUUCCAGUAAUAGCUGAUGAAAUUUAAUACUUCAAGCUGGCCCUUUGCUGUCACAACUAGAUGCAUUUGCACUGUCAUUACAAUUUAUGGAAAUUAAAGUAAUUAAUGGUUCUAAUUAAUAGCUUCCCAAAAAACCAAUCUGCCCUUGUGAGAACCAAAGCAUUAAUUUCUUGUAAGAGCUGCAGAAGGCCAGAGAAUUUCAGAUCGUGAAAAGGAGUGUGUGAGUGAGAGAGAGAUCGUGAAAUAGUGAGAGACAAUGAGAGAGAGAGCCGCUCGACUGAGAUGGUGAGAGAGUUGCAAAAAUGGAGUAAGGAGCAGAUAAGAUUAUGUUUUCUUUAUUAUUUUUUAUUAAUAUUUUAAUUUUUUUAAUUAAAAAAGGGCGAGAGAUUUUGGGAGUGAAACGGCAGCAUGUUCCAAUAAAUUUUUACCAAAGUUUCUCUCGUGUUUCUCUCACCUUUCUAGAUACCAAGCAUUUUCCAAUAAAUUUUUACUAAAAACUUAGCAAGCCCUUGAAACUUUGGUCAAAAUUAUUGUUAUUAUUACUUUUAGAGGAAAAACUUUUAUUAAAACCUCAUUAACACAAUUCUUAAUUAAAAUUAUAAGUUUGUGUUGGUGUAAGGAUUUGCAGGAGCAAUUACUGCCUAGCCAAGUGUCAAAAGCACAAAAUAAAUCAAGAGAAAGUAGACAUGAAUUAGGAUCCAAUGAAAUUUAAAUCCCGGAGAAAAGAAAUAAUCAUGCAGAUUAUCAAGAUUUCAAUAAGGGAUAUUGAUAUCCUAUUUUGAUUAAUAAUAUCCUUUUACUGUGUUAACUCAAAAAAUAUGUAUAUUCUAAUAUUUUACAAUAAAUAGAAAUCUAAUAUUAAAAUAAAUGUGAUAUAUAUAUAUAUAUAUUAAAUAAUUUAAAUAUAAAAAAUAUUUUAAUGUUUUACAAUCUACUACACAUAUUUUAUUAAGUUAAUAUAAUUUUUCAAAUAAAUAGGGACAUAAUAUUAAAAUAAAUUUAUAAAAAUUUAAAUUAUUUUGAAUUUAAAAUAAUUUUAAUAUUAUUAAUAUGUUAGAUAUGUUUGAUUAAUUAUAAAAAUUAUUUACGCAAAUUUUUUUAAUAUUUUCAGUAGAUAUAAAUAUAUUACUUACAUUUUGAUUAUUUAACUAUUAUUAUUCUACAAUUAUUUAUAUAAUGUUUGCACUUAUUAGAAUAUAUUUAAAGUCAAAUCUUUUGCACUUCUACCUAGCUAGAAUUAUUGGACGCAGAGAAAUAAGCAUAUAUGCUUUAUAACUUUAGAAAUCGAAUUAUCUAUACAAAUUGAUUUUAGCUGGAAAAAAAGUGAGCUGAAUGAUAUAGGCGAUUAGUGUGGUAAUAUUUCAUAGAGUUAGACUAUUGAAUUUGGCACCCCUCCAAUCUUCUCAUGAUUACCUUUUUGAGUUAUUAAUACACUUCUAAUUUUUCGUUUAAUUUUUUUUAUUGUUAUACUCAAAGUAGUAUUGUGAUAUUUUAUAUUUCUUUUGCAAUCUUAUUAUUAUUUUACACAAAAUUAAAAAGUUUUCUAGGUGAUGAACUUUUGAGUUUUGAACAUUAAUCAUUGGCUUAAAUUUCAUAUAUUUUACAUUAUAAUUUGAAAUUAAGUACGAAAAUAUUUAAUAAAUUAUGAAAAGAUUAACAGAUUAUUCUAAAUUGAUACAACUUAUUUUAGUUAAAUAAAAAGUAACAGGUAAAAAAAAAAAGGAUUGGUUAUGAAAUUUGUUGGAAAAAAAUCUGUGUGUGUUUAAUUUUUAUUUGUCCUUAAUUGUAAUUUAUUUGAAGUGAGGUUUUAUAAGGAUAAUGAAGGGGUGCCAUAGUUUCACUCUAUUUCAUAUGGAGAGAGAAGUAAAAGGUACACCUGAGGUUAAUGGAAAGGACUUCGAAAGUUUCUUUUGAUUAUAAUACUGUUUGUUCUAAUUAACUUAAAAAAUUUUACUUUAAUAUUUUAUAAUAAAUUAAAUUUUAAUCUUAAAAUAAGUAUAAUCAUAUAUUUUAAAAUAAUCUUAAAAUAAAUACAAUCAUAUAUUUUAAAAUAAUCUUAAAAUAAAUACAAUCAUAUAUUUUAAAAUAAUCUUAAAAUAAAUACAAUCAUAUAUUUUAAAAUAAUCUUUAUAUUUAAAAUUUAUUUAUUUGUACAUAUUUUAUAAUAAAUAUAACACAUACUAUUAAAAUAAUAUAUAAAAAAUUAAAGUAUUUUGAAUAUUAUAUAAAAUAACUUUAAGAUUCUUAAUAUGUAAGAUAUAUUUUAUUAAUUUAAAAUUCUAUUUAAAAUUUUAUUAAUUUAAAAUUCUAUUUAACCCAAAGAUUUAUUUAAGAUAAAUUAAUAAUCAUAUUUUUUAAAUCAUUUCAAAUAUUAAAAAAUAUUUUGAUAUUACUAGUCUAUUAAAUAGAUUAAAUAUUUUUAUUAUUUUGUACUAAUCAAAAGUUACAGCUCGAAUGAUAUUAUGAGAACAGAAUUUUUAUGUCUUUAUUAAAAAUUUGGGUUUGUAUAAUUAUUUUUUCAAAUGUUAGGGGCAUAGCUGUCUUUUUACUUUUAUAUAUGUGAACCGCGGUGGUGAAAAAGUGUGAUUUAAUAUUAGUUAUUUAAAUAAUAUCUGAAUUAAAGAUGUACAGAGAAGAAAUUUCGGUGGGCAUUUUAGUCUUUUAACGAUUAUCAUGAUUAGGGAUUAGGUCCUGCUCUUGAAACGUUGGUCAGAAAAGUUCUAAAAUGCGUACAUUAUCUUUACUUUAAAAAAGUUAUUUUAUUUUAUUACAAAUUAAUGCCGACAAGAAAAAGCAAGAUCUUAAANNNNNNNNNNNNNNNNNNNNNNNNNNNNNNNNNNNNNNNNNNNNNNNNNNNNNNNNNNNNNNNNNNNNNNNNNNNNNNNNNNNNNNNNNNNNNNNNNNNNAUAAAGAUGAAGAAAAGGGCAAAAAAAUAUUAAUGAUUAACGAAAUCUCUAUCCAAAUUGAUUUUAGCAGGAAAAAAGUGAGCUAAAUGAUGUAGACGAUUAGUGGUAAUAUUUCAUAGAGUUAGACUAUUGGCACCCUUCCAAUCUUCUCACGAAUCCUCUUUUUGAGUUAUAUUUAUUUUAUUUUUAAAAUAUCUUUUUUCUCUUUUACUACACUUCUAAUUUUUCAUUUAAUUUUUUUAUUGUUAAACUCAAAGUAGUAUUGUGAUAUUUUUAAUUUCUUUUGCAAUCUUAUUAUUACUCUGCAUAUAAAUUAAAAAGUUUUUUAGGUGAUGAAUUUUUGAAUGUUAAUCAUUAGCUUAAAUUUCACAUAUUUUACAUUACAAUUUGAAAUUUAAUAUGAAAAUAUUUAAUCAAUAAGAAUUAUGAAAAGAUUAAUAAAUUAUUCUAAAUUUAUACAACUUAUUUUAGUUAGAUCAGAAGUAGCAGGUUAACAAAAGAAAGGAUUGGUUAUGAAAUUUGUUGGAAAAAAAUCUAUGUGUGUUUAAUUUUUAUUCGUUGUUAACUCUAAUUAAGUAGGUUAAAUAUUUUUGUUAUUUUUUACUUAUCAAAAAAUUUAAGAUCAAUAUUUUUAGUUACCAUUCGAAGGAUAUUAUGACAAAAACAGAAUUUUCACUUCUUUGUUAAAAAUUUGGGGGUUUGUGUAACUAUUUUUUCAAAUGUUAGGGGCAUAUCUGUCUUUUUACUCUAUAUAUAUGAACCAUGGUGGUGAAAAAGCGUGAUUUAAUGUUAUUUAUUUAAAUAAUAUCUCAAUUAAAAAUGUAAGGAGAAGAAAUUUCGGUGGGCAUUUUAGUCUUUUAACGAUUAUCAUGGUUAGGCCCUGGUCUUGAAACGUUGGUCAGAAAAGUUCUAAAAUGCGUUCAUUUGUCUUUACGCCAACAAUAAAAAGCAAGAUCUUAGUGUCCCACAAAAGCAAAUCGUAAUAUUCCGCAAUGGAGUUAGAUCCGCAAAAGCAAACAAAUUCUUUUAUUAAACUACAAAUUAAAGUGGAAUCAUUUACUAAACAACAAAUUAAAUUUGAAAUAUUUAAAUAGUCGUGCGUUAGACGAUUAGAGACUCUUAUUAAAGGCAAGUACAAAGUAGUGAAGAAUCGAAUAUUUCUAUUGUCUAGUCUUUUUUUAAAAAAAAUUUUCUUUUAUUAUUUUUCAGAAUAUGUUUUGGUGAUUACUAUUGGGUUAUUAUUCAGAGUUAUUGUUAUCUUCCGGGGCAGUUUCUGUUCAUCGAAUUCGUUAAUAAAAUUUUAAAACUCUUAUUGAAAGAAUGUUUUUCCGUUAUCUUUUUUAUAAUCUAAUUUUAAGUGUAAGAAGUAGUCAUUUUAGAAUUUGGGUCUUGAAUCGAAUUUCAAUGCAUGAAUUAAUAUUUAAAAAAAAUUUACUACAUGCAGUUUAGGUUACAAACUAUUUUUUGCAAAGUUGACUAUGAAAUUGGAGAAAUUAAGUAAUUUAUAAUGUUUGCAAAGAAAGAGACCAACAUACUUCCAAUUACACUAUAUCUCAAUUAUCAUAAUGUUAAGAUUAAACUAACUUAAAAUAAAAUUUAUUUAAAAAGUUUAUCAAACGCAGUCUAAUUUUAUUAACUUGAAGAGAUAAUAGUUAUAGAAAUUAUUAUUCUAACUUAAUUAGUAAAAGUGGUAUAAAGGUUAAGUGUGCACUAAAUCUAUUUAAAUUUUUUUCCAGUAUAACUAACAGAGGUCAUUACUAGAAUUAUAUUACUAGUCUAUUAGAUAGAAAAAAUUAUUUAUAUUGUUUUAUAUUUAUUAAAAAAAUUUAAAGUCAAUCUUUUUAAUUACUAUUUAAAGGAUAUUAUAAUUAAAAAAAUUUUAAUGUCUUCAUUAAAAAUUUAAAAUUUUAUAUGACCGUUAUCUAAAUAUUUAAAGUGUAACUGUCAUUUUCUCAUAUAUAUAUAUAAUUUCAUCAACCCCUUAUACUUUAUGUUAUUUAUAUUUUAUUCAUGAAUAUUAUAAAUUUUUUGAAAUAUAAAAUUUCGUUUAACCCUUUAUACUCAAUUUUAUUUUAUUAAAACCCUAGAGUAUGAAUUCGUCCCUAUAAUAUUAAAUUCUCAAAAUAACUUCCAUUUAAUUAAAAAAUAUAAUUAUUAUUAAAUGAAUUAUAAUUAUUAUUAUUAUGUUAUUAUAAUCAUAAAAAGCGAGAUCAUAUUCCACAAAAGCAUAAGUGACAAAACAACCAACUGGAUUCUUUUAUUAAUCAACAAAUUGUAUAGUCUUUUUCAAAUUGUUAUAAAUUGGUGGCCCCUACAAUCCUCAAUAAUUGUACCGAAAUUCACAAGUUGGUGGGCCCUACAAUUCUGUUCCGAUAAUUUAACUGUGCAAGUGCUCAUUCACAAUCUUCCAGGUCAUGCUCUUAACAAUUGUUUUUUCUUUUCUGCACGCCCUUUCAUGCUCUUAAUAAUUGAAGAGCAUACUUUUCAAAUGUGAAGCCGCAUCUAAUGUCGCUAAUUUAAUUUGGGAUUAAAUUACGGGACUAUUAUAUUGCAGUGUGCACUAAUUUUUAUGUUUAUCUAAACUCUUCAAAUUUAAAACAUAUUAUGGCAUAAAUAAGAAUGUAACAAUAACAAAAGAGUAAGAAAGUGUAGAGAAAAUCUUGCAGAAAUAUAAAUAAUAUUUAUUUUUAAAAUAAUAUUAAUAUUUAAAAUAAUUUUUAAUAUUUUAUGGUCCAUUAGAUAUAUUUUAUUAUAUUAAAAUAAAUUUUAUAAUAAAUAAAAACAUACUAUUAAAAUGAAUAUAUAUAGAAAAUUUAGAGUAUUUUAAGUAUUAUAUAAAAUAAUUUUAAUAAAAUAUGUGAGAUAUUCAUAUUUUAUUAAUUUAAGAUACCAUUUAACCUAAAGAUUUAUUUAUGAUAAAUUAAUAAUUAUAUUUUUGAAAUUACUUCAAAUAUUAAAAAAAUUAAUAUUACUAAUAUAUUAGAUAGAUUAAAUUAUAUAUAUUAUUUUUACUUAUUAAAAAAAUUUUAAAAUUAUUUUUAAUUACUAUUCAAAAAACGUAUUCAAAAAACAUAAUGAUAAAAAAAUCUUAACAUCUUUAUUAAAAAAUUAAAAACUUAUAUGAUAAAUUCUCUAAAUAUUUACGGUAUAUGUGAACCACGGUGGAUAAGCUUUAUUUAAUAUUAUUGAUUUAAAUAAUAUGUCAAUUAAAAAUGUACAGAGAAGAAAUUUCGGUGGGUAUUUUAGUCUUUUAAGCAAUUAUCAUGAUCAGAUCAGCCUUUAGCCUUCAAACGUCGGUCAGAAAAGUUUUAAAAUUAAUGCUAAAUUGUUUUUCACUUUUAACGUUGGUGGCCUUGAAAUUGCUUGUAUUUUAUUAAAAAUUAAUGCUAACAAGAAAAAGCUAGGUCAUAUUCCACAAAAUCAAAAGUGACAAAACAACCAGCUGGUUUCUUUUACUAAACUACAAAUUAAAAUAAAUUUUUUCGAUAAAUUACAAAUUAAAGUGGAUUCUUUUGAAUACAAAUGGGACAGACGAUUAGGCUCUUUUUAUUAGAGGCAAGUAAAAACUAGUCAAGAAUCGAACAGUCUUUUUCCAAUUCUUGUUUUAUUAUUUUUCAAAACUAGUUUUUGGUAAUUACAACCGGGUCAUUAAUCAUUAUUCAGAGUUAUCUUCCGGGGCAGUUUCUGUUCAUCGAAUUCGUUAAUAAAAUGUUAAAACUCUUAUUGAAAGAAUGUUUUUCCGUUAUCUUUUUUAUAAUCUAAUUUUAAGUGUAAGAAGUAGUCAUUUUAGAAUUUGGGUCUUGAAUCGAAUUUCAAUGCAUGAAUUAAUAUUUAAAAAAAAUUUACUACAUGCAGUUUAGGUUACAAACUAUUUUUUGCAAAGUUGACUAUGAAAUUGGAGAAAUUAAGUAAUUUAUAAUGUUUGCAAAGAAAGAGACCAACAUACUUCCAAUUACACUAUAUCUCAAUUAUCAUAAUGUUAAGAUUAAACUAACUUAAAAUAAAAUUUAUUUAAAAAGUUUAUCAAACGCAGUCUAAUUUUAUUAACUUGAAGAGAUAAUAGUUAUAGAAAUUAUUAUUCUAACUUAAUUAGUAAAAGUGGUAUAAAGGUUAAGUGUGCACUAAAUCUAUUUAAAUUUUUUUCCAGUAUAACUAACAGAGGUCAUUACUAGAAUUAUAUUACUAGUCUAUUAGAUAGAAAAAAUUAUUUAUAUUGUUUUAUAUUUAUUAAAAAAAUUUAAAGUCAAUCUUUUUAAUUACUAUUAAAGGAUAUUAUAAUUAAAAAAANNNNNNNNNNNNNNNNNNNNNNNNNNNNNNNNNNNNNNNNNNNNNNNNNNNNNNNNNNNNNNNNNNNNNNNNNNNNNNNNNNNNNNNNNNNNNNNNNNNNNNNNNNNNNNNNNNNNNNNNNNNNNNNNNNNNNNNNNNNNNNNNNNNNNNNNNNNNNNNNNNNNNNNNNNNNNNNNNNNNNNNNNNNNNNNNNNNNNNNNNNNNNNNNNNNNNNNNNNNNNNNNNNNNNNNNNNNNNNNNNNNNNNNNNNNNNNNNNNNNNNNNNNNNNNNNNNNNNNNNNNNNNNNNNNNNNNNNNNNNNNNNNNNNNNNNNNNNNNNNNNNNNNNNNNNNNNNNNNNNNNNNNNNNNNNNNNNNNNNNNNNNNNNNNNNNNNNNNNNNNNNNNNNNNNNNNNNNNNNNNNNNNNNNNNNNNNNNNNNNNNNNNNNNNNNNNNNNNNNNNNNNNNNNAUUGUGGGCACUCUUGUUCGUGCAUGUUUGCUAGAAGAGAUGGAAGAUGAUAAAGUAAAAAUGCAUGACGUUGUUCGUGAUAUGGCUUUAUGGAUAGCUUGUGAAAUUGAGAAGGAGAAGAGAAACUUUUUGGUUUGUGCAGGUGCUCGAUUAGAAGAGGCACCGGGUGUUAAAGAAUGGGAAAAUGUGAGAAGAUUGUCAUUGAUGCAAAACCAAAUUGAAACUGUGUCAGAGAUUCCCGCAUGCCCUCAUCUCCAUACUCUAUUUCUUGCCUCUAAUAGGAAUUUCAGGAUGAUCACGGAUGGCUUCUUUCAAUUUAUGCCUUCUCUCAAAGUUUUGAAGAUGUCACGCUGUGGGCAAUUCGAAGGUUUUCAAUUACCUGUUGGGAUGUCAGAGUUGGGUUCAUCACUAGAACUUCUUGAUAUUUCACAUACCACCAUAAGAGAGUUACCCGAAGAGUUAAAGUUGCUGGUAAAUCUGAAAUGUUUGAAUUUGAGGUGGACAGGUGCGUUAAUUAGAAUUCCACGGGGACUAAUAUCAAAAUUUUCAAGGUUACGUGUGUUGAGAAUGUUGGGUACUGGCGGGUUCAUUUUUUAUGAAGCACCAGAAGACAGCGUUUUAUUUGGUGGGGGUGAAGUUUUGAUACAGGAAUUGCUCGGUUUGAAAUAUUUAGAGGUAUUGGAGUUGACCUUGGGAAGUUAUCAUGCUCUCCAAAUUCUUUUGAGCUCAAAUAAGUUAAAAAGUUGUAUUCGAUCUCUUUACCUCUAUUUGACCGGAGAUAAAAAGUCGAUUAUUGAUGCUACGGCUUUCACAGACCUAAACCACCUCAAUGAAUUAUGGAUUGAUAAUGGAAUUGAGUUGGAAGAAUUGAAGAUUGAUUAUACGGAGAUAGUACGAAAAAGGCGGGAACCUUUUGUUUUCCACAGCCUUCACCUUGUUACGAUAUAUAGUUGCCAUAAAUUGAAAGAUUCGACAUUCCUCGCUUUUGCUCCAAACCUCAAGUCUCUUUCGCUAUUCAAAUGCCGUGCUAUGGAAGAAAUAAUCAGCGUCGGAAAAAUUGCUGAGAAUCCUGAGAUGAUGGGACAUAUAAGCCCUUUUGAAAAUCUCAAAAGUCUUGAUCUAUCAUAUUUGCCGGAGUUGAAGAGCAUUUUCUGGAAGCCAUUGCCUUUCACUCAUCUCAAAGAAAUGGGGGUAAGAGCAUGUGAUCAGCUUAGAAAGCUUCCACUCGAUUCCAACAGUGCAAAAGAGCGUAAAUUUGUAAUUCGUGGAGAAGAAGACUGGUGGAACCGACUUCAAUGGGAGGAUGAAGCCACUCAAAUUGCUUUUCGUUCCUGUUUCCAACCUGAUUCCUGAGCGGUGGUCGCAAAAUUUGAUUUCUGGUGAGUGCGUUUGUCUUUUAAAAGAAGAAUUUAAAAGAAAUUUAUUCUUGACGUUUUCUUCACUGUUUUUAUUUCAGUCUCUCUCUCUCUCUUUUUGUCUUCUGCUAAUCACAAUUAAAUGUUGAAUUAAUGGAAUUAAUGCUUCAUAAAUUUGCCGGCACUGCCAUUACUUUUUUUUUUUUUAAUACAAAUUGAUACUUUAUUUAUAUCUUCUUAGCGAUUUAAUUUCCUGUCAAUUGACGAACGAGAAGAACAUAUGACUUGAACCAAUGCUCGCAUAAACUUGCUGUAAAAAGAUAUAAUCUCACUGAAAUGCACACGCCUAGAAUGAAUAGAAUUAAAACAGGGAAAAUAUUAAGUAUAUUAGCCCUCUUUACCGAAAAUCAAAUGACAAUAAAUUUUUUGAAGUUUUGAUUUUCUAUGGUCAAUUCCACCUUUUGCAAUUUCUUCUGUUCUAACAAAAACCAAUUUCUUUGUUCAAGUAUUUUCGUUUGGGUAUUAAUAAUUCUCCACCGAAAGAGUGAACUCUUGCUCAAGGGAUCUCUAAUCAAUAGCCGGAAGGGCGCCGAGACCUGAUCGGACCUAGGCCCAAGUUUGGUCUUAAAGCCUGGGCUUGAGCCUGGCAAUUAAAUUAAAACAGUAAUUGAUUUCUUGAAUGAAUUGUCGUGUAAUUGAUUUAUGGGGGAUGACACAUCAACAUACUUGAAAAUACACUAAUCUCAGCAUCAUCCGUUAAUAACUUUUAGAUUUAUGGGCAAUCAAUAGUUAAAUUAGUUGUCAUUAAUACUAAAUAAUUUUUACUUUUUUUGUCUCUUCUAGAGGAUCUUCUAGAAAAAUGCAUCCACAAUUAAAUUUAAUACUUUACAUAAUAAAGAAAGCAUAAAUGUUAAAUUUAAGAAACUGCAUUGUAUUUCAGCUGAAGUUGACUUUAAUAUUUAGGGUAGAAAAAAAUUAAAUCCUUAAUGUGUUUAAUUUCUAUCACUUGUGUCAUUAAAAUUUUCUAGUCACCCUAACCAAUUACAUCUCAACCCACUUUUUUUUGGAUGAUUUUAUUUUUACACUAUUAUUUUCAACAUUUUUUUUUCCUUUUAACACCAACAUUAGUGUAUGUUACGUAACAUAAUCCAUAUUUGGAUAAUUUGAAAUUUGUUUGUGUUUUAUCUCAAAAUAGAGCUUCAAUCAAUUUGUACCUCAUAAAUUCACAAUAUCUGGCAUAUUGUCAAAUGUGCUUAUCCUUUUGCUUGACAUGUCAUUUUAAAAUUGUCAUUCAAUGUCAAAAAAUCACAUCAACUAAUGGCCGACUACUUUAAUUUGAAAGCAUGCGUGCGAUCGCCAAUAAUUAUAACUUAAUUGUUAUAUUGAAAUUUUUUUCUUUAUAAUUUAAGUUUAAUACUGCUACAUGUGUGGCACAUAAGUUGGAAAAUAUAACAUAAAAUUUGAAAAAUGUGUAGUUUUCGUUCCUUUUUUUUCUAAAAAAAUGGGAAAAAAGAAUGUAAUUUUGUUUAAAUUACUGUUGUCAUAACAAUUAUUAUUUUAUUGAUUAAUUGGCAGAGAAUCGUAAUGGUUUCGCAUGGUUGUUAAAACAUUGGAAAGUCCACUACAUCAUCGGUUAAUAACUUUCAGAUUUAUGGUUAAUUAAUAGCUGAGAUUUAUUAUCAUUAAUGCUAAAUAUUUUUUCUCUCUCCUGGAGGAUCAUCCACAGGCAGGUGCUUCCUGACGAUGACAAAAUUUUGGGCAGGCAGGUGCUUCCUGACUUUCACACGGUAAUUCUCAAAUUCUGAUUUCACCAUAUUUUAAUUACUGAUUAGCAUAUAUUCAAGUGCUCUCCAUUAUAAUGGAAGCCGCCGCCUCACUCGUAAUUCCAAACUUUAUCUUUUUUUCCUUUUUUAAAUUAAUGCAAGUAGCCGCUGUCCUUUCUAUUAAUUAAUUAAUUCGGCCGCCCACAUUUCUUUUCCUAAUGUCUUCUACUGUCGAGUUUAUUUUAUUUUCUCUUUAUUAUUAAAAUAUACUUAUAAUAAUAAAAAAAUAAAAAUUAACAUAUCAAAAUAUAAUUUAACAGAAAAUUAAGAUAAAAAAUUAAAAAUAAAUAAAUUAUGAGCAUAUCAAUCAAUAAAUGAAAAAUAAUAAUUUUUAUUUUUAUUAAAUAUAAAUUUUUCAGUAUUAAUCAAUUAUCUGAAUAAAUAAAAUCAUUUAAAAAUAAAUAAAUAAAUUAUUCUUAAAAAAAAAAAAAAAACUUUUUAUAACACUCACUAUGCUGGUUGUAGGGUUGACGCUUUGGGUACUGAAGCUAGUAACUUCUACAAGUAGUCUUAAGUUGACUGGCAACAACUAUAUUGGCAUUUAGAAAUAAUGUACUGCAACCAUAUUGGCAUGUUCAAAUGUUCUUAUUAUUGUAUUGGUGUGUCAAUAUUAUCUCUAACGGUUUUAUAAAUAAAAAAAUAAUCUAAAUUUAUAAUUUAACAUAAAAUAAAAUAAUUGGUAGAAAAACAAUUAUGGUUCAUUUACUUAUCAGUAAUCAGAAUAGACUGAAAUCGAAAUGAGUUGUAUUACUGUUGAUGUGUUUAUGUUGUACUCGAAUCGAAAUGAAUUAUUUUAAAUUACUAAAAUAUCCUUGGUCUGUUAUUCUAAUUAUUAUUAUUAUUUAAUAUUUAUUAUAAUAUUUUUCAUAUCAUUAAAAAAAAAUAAUAAUGAUGAUAAUAUUCUCAUUAUUGUUUGUUACAUUAUUAUUAUUCAAAAAAAUUAUUGUUAAUAACAAUAAUUACUUUAUUUCAAUAAUAAUAAUGAUAAAAUUAAUAAUAAUAAACAUGACAACAACAAUAAUUAUUUAUUAUGCCAAAAAAUAACAAUAAUAAUAAGAAUAAUAAUCAUCAUCAUUUUUUUGCCAAAGAAGCAUUAUCAUCAUCAUUUCAAAAAAAAAAUCAUCAUCAUCAUCAUCAUUUUUGUAGUGGCUACCUAUCGGCUGCUGCUUUCAUGUGAGAUUGACUUGCGACGCUUCAACGGCUAUUAUUUCUGACAAUGUCAGGUGUUGCUAUUUCAAUUUAGGAAGAAGUUGUUUCGGUGUGCUAGCGAUGGGAGAUGUUGUGGCUGCGAUUCGGGGAGCUACUAGUUUAUUGCACUAAUAACGGCAGGUGCUGUUGCUUGAUGCGAGGUCCAUGGCCAGUUGUCAGCAGUUCGACUUUGGUAUGGGUGCUGCUGGUUCGAUUUUAGGUGUUGUCCAAUUUCAUUUUCAGGAUUUUAAUUUUAUUUUUCUUUUAUAUUUUCAUUAAUUAAUCAGGGUAAAAUUGGAUUUUAGAAUUUAGAAUGAAGGUAAUUUUGUUAAUAAUGGAAAUGAGAUUCUGAUUGUCGAGAAUGAGCUUACACAAACAACUAUAAAUUAAGUGAAAACAAAACACUUUUUCUCUUUGUGUGAUUAAAACAUGAUAUGUACCAUAAAUAAAUAAGUAAAAAAUAAAUCAACACAAUCUAAAACAGUAAACAAAUUACAAGAGGCACAGAUUUUUAUGUGAAACACCGAAAAUGGAAAAAACCACAGCAUCUUAGUUUGAUAUAAUCUUCUACUAUAUUAAUGGGAUUAUAGCACAAAUUCUUUCCUAUAUAACACUAGAGAUUAACAACAUCAAGAAUCUCAAUAAUCUUGACUUACAAUACAGCCUAAUAUUUGUCUCUCUAAUAAGUAGAUAUCUAAAAUAACAGUCUCUAAUAAGUAUGUAUCUAAAAUAAUAGUCAACAAGAGGAUAAAACAAAAAUUAAGAUUAGUAGGAUGUGUAUAAGGUGAUGCUAUCAAUUUAUCUUCUAAAUUUGAGAAAAAUAGUUAAAUUCACUUUUUCGAUUGUCCGACCAAAAAUGGAAACCCUUGCCCCAAAACCAAAGGAAUCACCAUUAUGUUUUUCUCUCUCUCUCUCUCUAUCUCGUUCUUUUCUUCUUCUUUUCUUAAUGUUAGCCAUCACUUGCUUUUAUUCUUUAUAGCAUUCAAAAAGCUACUUUUAAUGGUAAAUUUCAUUUAAGUCUGCAACUUAGUGAUAAUUGCACACCAAACAAUCCUUACAUAGUGUUUUGGGCCCUCAAAUGAGAUGAAUACAACAAAUCUCCCCCUUUAAAUCAUGUGGGGGGCACCGCAAGCCCGCUAUUUGCAUAUAGCUUUUCAGCUUCUCCUUGAAUAAUGACUUUGUCAUCAUACAUAAUCCAUUCUUCGUUGUGUAAAUCUUCUCAAGCUGUAACUGUUCCUUCUCAAGCUGUAAUUAUUCCUUCUCAAGCACGUCUCGUAUCUAAUGAUACCUUACAUCAAUAUGCUUAGAUUUCGAAUAGUAUAACAGCACUCUGACUAUCGUAGUACAUAACAUAGCUGUCUUGUUUUACACCCAGCUCUUGUAGGAAAUUCUUCGUCCACAAUAUUUUUUUGCAACCUUCAAUAAUUGUAAUAUCAUUUGCUUUAGUGGUAGAAAAGGCAACUUAUUACUAAAGUUUAGAUUGCGAUGAGACUGUUCCCCCUGCAAAAGUGAGCAAACAUCCUAGUAGGAAUUUUUCGGAAUCAACAGCUCCUGCCAUAUCUACACACUUGUAACACAGGUUUGUCACCACCAAAAUAUAAACAUGCUCUGGAAAUGCAUCUAAGAUAUCUGAGAAUUUUUCACUGUUGUCCAGUGCUCUUUACCGAGGUUGAAGAGAAACCACUGACUACACUAACUGUAUAGGCAAUAUUUGGUCUUGUACAAAUUAUGGCGUACAAUAAACUGCCAACUGCUGAAGCAUAAGGAACUCCUCUCAUGGAGAAAUGGGUUUUACUCUUGAGAUUUUUGGGACCAUGAAGAAUAAAGAUGUAAUUUCUUAUACUGCCAUUGUUUCGGGAUAUAUAAAUAGAGAACAAGUCGAUAUAGCUCGACAGUGUUUUGAUCAGAUGCCAGAACGAGAUUAUGUCUUAUGGACUACCAUGAUUGAUGGGUACCUUCGAGUGAAUAGGUUCAGAGAGGCUUUGACACUUUUUCAGGAGAUACAAACUUCAAAUAUAAUGGGAGACGAGUUUACCAUUGUUAGCAUUCUUACAGCUCGUGCGAAUCUGGGGGCACUAGAACUGGGAGAAUGGAUAAAGACUUAUAUUGACAAAAACAAAGUCAAGAAUGAUAUAUUUGCGGGGAAUGCUUUGAUAGACAUGUACUGUAAAUGUACUGUAAAUGCGGAGAUGUUGAGAAAGCUCAAAAGGUAUUCAGGAAGAUGCUUUGAAAGGUCAAAUUCACAUGGACGACCAUGAUUGUUGGCCUUGCCAUCAGUGGAAAUGGUGAUAAAGCUCUUGAUAUGUUUUCCCAAAUGCUCAGGGCUUCGAUCAAACCAGAUGAGGUAGCUUAUGUUGGUGUUCUGUCUGCCCGUACUCACAAUGGUAACGAAACUUUUGUGAUAAAUAGUUGCAACUUAAGGUGAGAACUGGAGGAAGGGAAAUAGAUUGAAGUUGUUCAAUCAUCAGUAGUUGCUACUUGGUUUUAAGUUGUUCAAUCAUCGGUCGUCUCUAUUUGGUUUUCUCCAAUAUCUCAUCUUCAAUUUUGACUCAGAUUGUAUCUUACCACUAGUAAUUACAUAGACUUGCUGCCAAAGGUAAGAAUGGGAAUAAAUUAAAUAGAUUAUGUCGAAAACGAAAUAAAUUUACUAUUGUUCUGUUCAUUCUAUUUGUUUCCUACAAAAUAUUUCUCCUGCCUAAAAUUUUUUGAAUCAGUAAGUUUUUACCUUAUGGAUGAAUUGUGUUGAGAGUAAUUCCAUUUCUCAGUCUCUUUAUGUUUCAAUGAAGACGUAAAACUUGUGUUCUAGUGCACCAACGUUUAUGCUUCUUACAAUUUGACUUUAAUUUACUUUGUAAAAUUUUUGUCAAAAAGUACUAAAAAGUAGUGCACCAAACACCAACUUUAUUACAGAGAGGACUUUAGUUAAAUUUUAAGAAAACACUCAAAAGAAAGAGUUGUAAAUUAUUAUAAAAAUAUUUCACAUAAAUAAAAGCCAUCCCAUGCUGCAAAGAUCUUGCUAUAAUCACCAAAAACUAUCGGGAGCUUUUAGGGUUUCCAUAAAAAUGCCAUUUCGUUCCAUGUAUAUGAUUCUAUAGUCUCACUGGCAAGUAAACCACAGCCCAACAGCACUGACUGUCCAUGAUGAUUCACCCCAAUGAACGAAACCAGCGUUGCAUCAUAUCUUUCUGUCAAGCAUGUAAUAUCAAUUGAUUUGAGCUAUUAACAUCAUUUCCAAAUACUCCAUUGGCAUCUACAUUACCAUUUCCCUCGGCAUCAAUGAUAAGAGUUCGAAACAGUCUAAUCUUUUGAACUUCUUCAGCACCAUCUAAGAGCAAUGUUCUUUUGGUUCCAAUACCCAUGUGCUUAUGAUAUUUGUAAAAUAAUUAUUUGUAAAAUAAUUAGUUCAAUUUUGACAUAAUACGGAAUAAACACAACCUGCCAAUCUAAGUUACUAUCUUUUCCCGUCAUCAGGUACCUGUUUGAAAAAUAAUUAUAUACAAUUUUAUUUGCGUCGUCCCUCUAAAAAUUUGGGACUCAAAUGUUAUUUCUAAUUGCUAAAAGUACGAAAUUGCCCCCUUUCUCUUCAGCUAAAGGAGUGCAAAGUCAUCUGUAUAAUUGAAUCUGCAUCAUCAGUUUCUAUUGCUGGCUGGUGUUACUGCAUGCUUACAGUUGCUUGACAAAGUGAGCCAGUUUUUUGUUUAUUAAUUUUUUUUCUUGUCGAGACAGUCACAAAGUAUUACUUGUUCUAUUUGAGAAUGAUGUGAAUCAAUUUUUCAAUUAUGCAUUCUGUGGUAAUUAUUGUGAAUUUAGUUUCAUUUGUCUUGUCUCCUGCAAAUUUUGAAGAAAAUGCAGACAUACAAAUUUACAAUAUGUAUUUGCGUUAGUAUAAAAACAAUUGUUAGAUGAUUAAAGCGAUUUAUUUUUUUUUUUACAGCAUUUGAUUGUAUUAGUUAAAAUCAUUUUUUAAGGAUAAAAAUAAAUAGAAAAUUAUUCUCAUGUAGUGUGGAAAUCUUUUCUAAUUUCUUGUUGACUUGUACAUUUAUUUCAGAAUUUCCAUUCAUUAAUUCUACUGUUUUAAUCUUUGACUUAGCUACCGUAGUUGACUUUUUAUAUCAAAGGCUUAAACAGCAUGCAUUUUUGAAUUGACUGAGAAUAAUUUGGUGGACAAAUUACUAGUAAAGGACUUCAAAUGGUUGAAUUGACUGUGGGUUUUUCAUGCCCAAGUCACUCGUCACGUCGUUUCAUCGAAACAAAGUGCCCGGUGCAAAUGGUGUGAUGUAAAACACCUUUUUAAAUUGUCAUUUUUUUUCCUUUGCUUUUGCUUUAAUUUUCUAAAUGCUCAACGCCAUAAAUCCAUGUAUUCUUAAUUUUCGUUUGCUGUAUUGAUUCCCAACCCUCUAUGUCACAAGGUUUUGAAUGCCAGUAAUUAAGUUAAAUUAAACAUAUUUUAAGUCCUACUUUAAAUUAUUGAAAAAUGUAUUAUGGUUGAACUGAAUUUUAACUAAAAAAUAUAUACAAAAUAAAAGAUUAAUCAUAUCUUUUUAUGAGGAAGGUCAGUCAUCAUUCUGACCACAGACACUUAAAAUUAAUUGAGUGGAAUAUUGCAAAAUAUAUAUAAACCAUGCCAAAACUAGAUGUUUGAGUAAUGAAAACGAGAAUUCAUAUGACUCAGAAAUAUGGUCGCUUUCCUUUUUCUGAAAGGCAAAAAAAAAGGGGGAACCAAAAAGGACCAAAAUGAACAAAAAUGGAAGGCGAAGGUAAGCAGACAUGUUAUAUGUUUUACCUAAGAUGCCAAAUGCAACUCCCCAUUGAUGGUGAUCGAACAUUAUGGCCAUUUUCUUAGUAAACAAAAAAUGAAUUUUGAACACUCAACAACGAAACUUGAGCAGAAGAUCAAGCAAGGGCCUCGAUCUCAAAGAAGAUACUAUGAAACCCUACUUAAUGGUUAAAUAACUUUCAUUCAGCUUUGGACCCUAUUUCGUGAUACGGAAAGACAAACCUUUCUUGGCCGGCAGUGUCCCAGAUCUGGGCUUUGAUGAUCUAGAGGUUGAUGGUGACAGUUCUGGUUUGGAACUCGACGCCAAUGGUUUAUUUCGAUUCAAAGCAAAACUCAUUCUUGGUGAAUCUCGAAAGAAUCUGAGACUUGCCCACGGCCGAGUCACCGAUCACCACUACCUUGAAUACAUAGUCUAUUUUGUCAGGAAUCAUAUUCUCUCGUUGUUGAUGACGAUGAUCGGUGCCAUCACCACUCAUUUCUUCGUUCAUUCAUUCUAUGUCCAUUGAUCUUUUUGAAUUAUUGAAGACAAGUGGCUCACCGCUUUUAGUAUUGGUAAAAUUCAGAUAAUCUCUAUUCCGAAAUAAUAAUAUUAAAAAUAUCUCUUAAAUCAUUAUAAACUUCAAAUCUAUUUUAAUUUUAUUUAAAAGAUAAAAGAAAAAUAAGUUAUGUUGGUGAUUUUUUAUUAUCUUUUUAAUAAAAAUAGAAUAAAUUGAUGUUUAUAAUUAUUUAAAGUAUUUUAAAGAUUGCUAUUUUAUGAGAGAAUAAUAUUUCAUUUUUUUUUUCGUGUGAAAGACCGAAAAAGGACAAAGCAAGUUUCCCUAAUUUUUAUUUUAUGUGAAAUUGGUCAUCUCAUAUACUUUACCCUUCAACACUCUAAUUUUUUUGGUUAUAAUUUUAUUAUUUUUUCUCUUUUACACAUGCAUGUGAAUUACUUUUCUUUAAGCUCCUGAAUAUUUAAGACAAAUCAUGGAAGAGAUGAGAGUAUAACAAGAUGAUCAAAAUAUGUAACAAAAAAAUUUUAGAAGUGAAAAAUAUGUUAGAGUCGAAGUAAAACUCUGAGGUGAUGUUUGAUUUGAAGAAAAUGGAGGAGAGAAAAAGAGUGGAAUGGAGAGGAAAAGAGAGAAAAGGAGAGGAGAGGAGAGGAGAGUGAACUUUUUUUCUAAUGUUUGGUUUGUCACAUAAAUAUACAAAGAAAGGAAAUCUCCAAUUUUUUAUUUAGACAAUUUUAACCUUAAUAAGUAUUAAGCUUUCAAUAUUUAUCAUGUGUAUAAUUUAAAAAAAGUAAAUGGUAGAAAGCGGUUUCUGAUUCCGGCCACAUCGCCGGCAAUGGAAGGUACUUAUCAGAACAUCAAGAACCGGCCAUCAUUCCCUAGCCAUCACUGCUGUAGGAACACUGCUAAAAAGCUGCCGAUUGAACCGCGAAAAGUCGUGGAAAUCGUUGCCUCAAAUCGGUGAGUUUCGCCUUUUUCUGGUCAUGCCGUCGCCUUGGCUUUGUCCAUCAACGCUGCCACUUCCAUUUCAACCAUCCAUAGCCACUAUUAACCGCCAAAUCGCCGCCGAUCAGCGGGAUCUGUGGAAGUUAAAAAGUUUCUAAAAUUUUUUAAUUGGAUUUGAACAACAUACAACCAUUUUUUGAUCUCAAUAACGACAUAGUAAUGUUGAUCGUUGGUCGGCAAGUCGAAUGGUAGUGGCGGUGAGUAACACGCGCCAAUGACAUCGGCGGCGGCGGCGGCACUAUCCGGCUACUGUUAAAAUUAAUAUUUUAUAUUUGUAGAUUAAAUAAAUUUAUUUUAUUAAACUUUUUAAAUCAUUAUUUAAAUUUAAUUAAUUUAAAAUUAUCUAUGAUGUUGAAUUGAUAAAAUAAAUUUAUAAAUAAUAAUUAUGUGAUUACAUUAAAUAAGUUAAAAAGUUGAAGGGUUAUUUUUGGAAGAUUUAGUUUCCAACACAAAGGGAAUUUGAAUUCUUCACUUCUUAGUGUGGAAUUCAAAUUCUAUAUUGUAAUGGAUAUUAAAUUCCAAUAGAAAUUAAAUUCUUAUAAGUUAUGUCAAACCAAACAACGGAAAUAAAAAAAAAGAAUUUAAAUUACUUUCCUUUCCUCCACCCUCUCCUUCCAACCAAAUACAUCCUGAAAAUAGAGAUAUUGAUUAAUUUAGAAGAGAUGCAAGCAAAAGAUAUUCCACAAAAAAAAAAAAGCAAUAUGUCCCUUUGGAGGGCAAACUUGUCAGUUUUAAAAAAGUACAUGCUUUGGAUUGAUAGUUGUAGGAUAUUUGUUUUGUCACUAUGUGUUAGUUGGAGAAGUCAAGCCUUGUGAAGAAUGUUAUGAAAGAGCAAAGGAUAUUCCUGAUAGCUGAUAGAGCUCUAUUUGAUUAUGUAUCCAAUGAAUGGAUGUGUUGUUGGAAGAUAUUUGAGUGCAUUAGUUCAUAUGUGUCUAUCAAUGUGAUUUUAAUGAUUUUUCCACUUGUUUGUUGUAAAAGAUUAUUGUAAAUUGAAAUGAACUUGAUGUUGUAAUAUUUUCUCCUUAGUAGAAUUUCACCUAGUAUGUAUUUAGUUGUGUUGUCUAUAAUUUUGCAUUCGAAUAAGUUUCACCUAAAAUAUUAGCAUGAGUAGUGGCCCUUGAAACUUUGGUCAAAAUUAUUGUUAUUAUUUCCGACUAGAUGUAAAUUUUUUAUUAAAUCUCGCUAACACAAUUCUUAAUUAAAAGUAUAGGUUAGUGUUGGUGCAAGACUUGCCACACCAAAUUCUGCCUAACUGUCAAAAGUGCAAAAUAAAUGAAGAGAAAGCACAAAUACACGACUUGAAUAAGGAUACAACGAAACUUAAAUUCAAGAGAAAAUGAUAGCUAUAUCUCAAGAUUUGAAAAAACGGUCAUGUAGAUUUUUAAGAUUUCAAUAAGCGACUGAGAUUCAAAUAAUAUCCUUUAAUUCUAUUAACAAAAAACAAAGACUCAAAUAUUUUAUGAUAAAUAAAAAUAUAAUAUUAAAAUAUAUGUGAUAAUAUACACAUUUUAAAUACUUUCAAUCCAAAAAAAUAGUUAUGUUUUACAAUCUAUUAGACAUAUUUUAUUAAAUUAAUAUAAAUUUUCUAUAAAAUAAGAAUAUAAUAUUAAAAUAAAUUCACAAAAAUUUAAAGAAUUUUGAAUGUAAAAUAAUUUUAAUAUAUCAAUACGUGAGUUUUUUUAUUAAUAUAAAAUUUAUUUAACUUUAAGAUUUUUUAAAAUCUUUACAAUAAGUAUAACUAUAUUAUUUACAUUUAAAAAUAUUUAAAUAUUAUUAACCUACAAUUAUAUUUGCAUUUGUUAGAAAUUUUUUAAGUCAAAUAUUUUGCACUUCUAUAUUAUUAGAAUUAUUGCACAAAAAGAAAGAAACAUACACCUUUAGAAAUUGUUUUCUUUUAAAAUAGAGAUGAUGAUUAGUAUAAGGAUGAAAAAAAGGAUAAAGAAUAUUAAUGAUUAACGAAAUCUCUAUACAAAUUGAUUUUAGUAGGAAAAGAGUGAGAUGAAUGAUUUCUUUUACAGUUAGAAACAUAGAUGAUGAUUAUUAUAACGAAGAAAAAAAGAUAAAGAAUAUUAAUUAUUAAUGGAAUCUCUAUACAAAUUGAUUUUAGUAGGAAAAAAAUGAUUAAAUGAUUUAGAGUGCGUUUGGAAUUGAGAUUGGGCAGCCAUAGAUUUUAAGUUACAACACUGAAGUGUUUAGUAAAUACUAGUUGCUGCAGAUUGAAAGUUAUGUUGAUAUGAUUUUUCACAUGUAUCAUAGAAAAUAUAUUACAUCUUUAAUAUUUUUUAAAAAUUUAUAUUUGCUAUAUAUUAUUAAUUUUUUUUUAUAGUUAUAACUUUUUUUCCACAACAGUUGUAGCUUAAAAGUCACAGCACCUCAAUCUCAAACAAAUCCUUAGACAUUCAUAGUGUGUUUAUUUUUUGGAUUGGUGAAUCAAAAUUAUUGACAACGCUAACUUCAUCUUCACUGUUCGCAAUCCAACAGCAGCAAUUGUCGCCAAUAAUGAUAUCUCCAAUGAUGAUGACAAUUAUUAUUAUUAUUUUUAUUAUUAUUAUUAUUAUUAUUAUUAUUAUUAUUAAUUAAUUAAUUAAUUAAUUAAUUAAUUAAUUAAUAUAUUAAUGUUGAUAUUAUUAUUAUUAAGAUUAACAAUAAUUAUUAGUAAUACAAUUUUUUGAAUAAAAAUAAUCACAAUAAUUAAAAUACAAAUUAAUAAUUAUGACAAUAAUUAAUUAAUGUCUUUUUAGUAAUUUGUAAUAAUCUAACUCAUUUUGGUUCUGAUUAUUACAGCUUAAGUAAACAAAUUAUUAUGAUUCCUAUUCUCCUUUCCCAUUUUAACUCACUUUGAUUCCAGUCUAUUCCGAUUUCUAUUUAAUAAAUGCACCAUUAGUGCUAAAGUAAUAUUUCAUACAUAGAAAAAUAAAAACUACGCCUAAGGUUAAGGGAAAAGACUUCAAAAUUCUCUUUUGAUCAUAAUACAUUUUGUCCUAAUUAACUUAAAGAUUUUGAAUCUAAUAUUUUAUAAUAAAUAAAAAUAUAUUCCUAAAAUAAAUAUAAUAUCAAUAUUUAAAAUAUGUUUUAAUAUUUUACAAUCUAUCAUACACAUUUUAUUAUAUUAAAGUAGAUUUAUAAUAAAUAUAUAAAAAUUUAGAAUAUUUAGAAUAUUAUAUAAAAUAAUUUUAAUAUAAUGCGUGAUAUAUAUUUUAUUAAUUUAAAAUGUCAUUUUACCUAAAAAAUAUGAUAAAUUAAUAAUUACAUAUUUGAAGUUAUUUCAAAUAUUAAAAAAAUUUAAUAUUAUUAAUCUUUUAGAUAGAUUAAAUUAUUUUUUAUAAGAGAGAUUAAAUUAUUUUAAAAUGCCUUAAUUGUUUUUACUUUUAACGUUACGGGCCUUUCUUUUAUUUUAUUGCAAAUUAAUGCUAACUAGAAAAACAAAAACAAAAGUGACAAACACAACCAGCUGGAAUCUUUUAUAAAACUACAAAUUAAAAUGGAUUUUUUUUUUUUGUUGAUAAAUUACACAUGAAAGUGGAUUCUUUUGAAUAUAAGUGGGGUAGGCUCUUUUAUUUUUUUUUUAAUACCGUAUAACAGGACUGUAGACUCUUUUAUUAAGCACAAAUAUAGAGUUGUCGAGACAAUUAGGGUCUUUUAUUAAACUACAAAUUGUAUAGUCUUUUUUAAAUUGUUCAGAUAUUUAUAAAUUGGUGGCCCCUACAAUCCUCAAUAAUUGUACCGAUAUUCACAAGCUGGUGGCCCCUACAAUCCUUAAUAAUUGUUUUUUUUUUUUUCUGCAUUCCCUUUCAUGCUCUUAAUAAUUAAAGAGCAUACUUUUCAAAUGUGGAGCCGCGGCUAAUGUCGCUAAUUUAAUUUGGGAUUAAAUUAGGGGACUAUUAUAUUGCAGUGUGCACUAAUUUUUAUGUUUAUCUAAACUCCUUAAAUUUAAGAUAUAUUAUGGCAUAAAUAAGAAUAUAACAAUAGCAAAAGAGUUAGAAAGUGUAGAGAAGAUCUUGCAGAAAUAUAAAUAAUAUUUAUUUUAAAAUAAUAUCAAUAUUUAAAAUAAUUUUUAUUAUUUUAUGAUCCAUUAGAUAUAUUUUAUUAUAUUAAAGUAAAUUUUAUAAUAAAUAAAAACAUACUAUUAAAAUGAAUAUAUAGAAAAUUUAGAGUAUUUUAAGUAUUAUAUAAAAUAAUUUUAAUAAAAUAUGUGAGAUAUUCAUAUUUUAUUAAUUUAAAAUACCAUUUAACCUAAAGAUUUAUUUAUGAUAAAUUAAUAAUUAUAUUUUUGAAAUUACUUCAAAUAUUAAAAAAAUUAAUAUUACUAAUCUAUUAGAUAGAUUAAAUUAUAUAUAUUAUUUUCUAUUUAUUAAAAAAUUUCAAAUUAUUUUUAAUUACUAUUCAAAAAAUAUGAUGAUAAAAAAAUCUUAACAUCUUUAUUAAAAAAUUAAAAACUUACAUGAUCAAUUCUCUAAAUAUUUAGGGUAUAUGUGAACCACGGUGGACAGAGGUCAUUACUAAAAUUUCUCUUCCACAGGCAAUUACAGCAGCUCCAGUUUAUCAAACUCAACCAAUUUUCUUUCUUAACAAAAUUCCAAAGAUGUGUAGCUUUUUUCAGAUCACAUGCGAUGGUGCUUUUUUCAAUCGUUGCUUGGAUUGCUUUCUUGGAAAAGCAGCAUACAUACGUAACCUCCAAGAUAAUCUUGAUGCCUUGGACACUGAACUGGGAAGACUAAUCGCAGCAAAGAACGAUGUGAUGAUUAGGGUUGUCAAUGCUGAACGGCAAUAAAUGAGAAGGCUGGACGGAGUGCAAGUGUGGGUUUCGAGUGUGGAUGCUGUUAAAACUGGAGCCGAUGAACUUAUCACAGACGGCUCUGAAGAAAUUGGCAAAUUAUGUGUUGGAGGCUACUGUUCCAAGAACUGCAGGUCAAGCUACAAAUUCGGAAAACAAGUGGCUAGAAAGCUACGAGAUGUGGAGACUUUAAUCGCCGAAGGAGUUUUUGAGGCGGUGGCUACUGAGGUGGUGCCUGAGAGAGCUCCAGAGCCUGUAGCAGAUGAAAGACCUACCGAGCGAAAAGUAGUAGGCUUGCAAUCACAACUUGAACAAGUCUGGACGUGUCUUGUGGAAGAAUCAGCGGGAAUCAUUGGCCUAUACGGUAUGGGCGGUGUUGGUAAAACCACACUAUUGACCCAUAUCAACAAUAAAUUUCUCGAGAGUCCAACCAACUUUGAUUGUGUGAUUUGGGUAGUAGUUUCAAAAGACCUGCGACUUGAAAAACUUCAAGAAGAUAUUGGGAAAAAGAUAGGUUUGGUUGGUGAUUCAUGGAAGAGUAGAAGUGCAGAGGAGAAAGCUCUCGACAUCUUCCGGAGUCUAAGAGGGAAGAGAAUUGUAUUGUUGUUAGAUGAUAUAUGGGAGCGGGUUGAUUUAACAAAAGUGGGCGUUCCACUUCCUGGACCACAAAAUACUACCUCAAAAGUCGUAUUCACAACNNNNNNNNNNNNNNNNNNNNNNNNNNNNNNNNNNNNNNNNNNNNNNNNNNNNNNNNNNNNNNNNNNNNNNNNNNNNNNNNNNNNNNNNNNNNNNNNNNNNNNNNNNNNNNNNNNNNNNNNNNNNNNNNNNNNNNNNNNNNNNNNNNNNNNNNNNNNNNNNNNNNNNNNNNNNNNNNNNNNNNNNNNNNNNNNNNNNNNNNNNNNNNNNNNNNNNNNNNNNNNNNNNNNNNNNNNNNNNNNNNNNNNNNNNNNNNNNNNNNNNNNNNNNNNNNNNNNNNNNNNNNNNNNNNNNNNNNNNNNNNNNNNNNNNNNNNNNNNNNNNNNNNNNNNNNNNNNNNNNNNNNNNNNNNNNNNNNNNNNNNNNNNNNNNNNNNNNNNNNNNNNNNNNNNNNNNNNNNNNNNNNNNNNNNNNNNNNNNNNNNNNNNNNNNNNNNNNNNNNNNNNNNNNNNNNNNNNNNNNNNNNCAGGAAGUCCUAGUGCGUGCUAUCAGAAAAGAUGCUGGGAACUGUUUCGCGAAAAUGUUGGGGAAGAAACUCUUGAGAGUGAUCAUGAGAUCGUUGAGCUAGCCCAAACUGUGGCCAAAGAGUGUGGUGGUUUGCCACUCGCACUUAUUACUAUUGGUCGAGCUAUGGCCUACAGAAAGAAAGCGGAGCAGUGGAGACGUGCAAUUGAAGAGUUAAGAAGAUCAGCUUCAGAGUUUGCAGGUUUGGGAAAAGAGGUGUAUCCUCUUUUAAAGUUUAGCUAUGAUAGUUUGCAGAAUGAUACAAUUAGAUCUUGUUUCUUGUAUUGUUGUUUAUAUUCUGAAGAUUAUGGCAUUCUUAAAUGGGACUUGAUUGAUUGUUGGAUUGGUGAGGGAUUUUUGGGGGAAUCUGACAGGUUUGGUGCAGAAAACCAAGGAUAUGACAUUUUGGACACUCUUGUUCGUGCAUGUUUAUUAGAAGAGGUGGAAGAAGAUGAAGUAAAAAUGCAUGACGUUAUUCGUGAUAUGGCUAUAUGGAUAACCAGUGAAAUUGAGAAGGAGAAGAGAAACUUUUUGGUUUGUGCAGGUGCUGGAUUAGAAGAGGCACCGGAUGUUAAAGAAUGGGAAAAUGUGAGAAGAUUGUCAUUGAUGCAAAACCAAAUUGAAACUCUGUUUGGGGUUCCCACAUGCCCUCAUCUCAUCACUUUAUUUAUUGACUUUAAUAGGGAGUUGAAGACUAUCGCGGAUGGCUUCUUCCGAUGUGUGCCUUCUCUCAAAGUUUUGAAGAUGUCAAACUGUGGAAAGCCUUAGAAAGGUUUGGAAUUACCUUUGGGGAUGUCAAAGUUGGGUUCACUACAACUUCUUGAUAUUUCACACACCUGCAUACAAGAAUUACCACAAGAAUUAAAGUUGUUGGUAAAUCUGAAAUGUUUGAAUUUGAGGCGGACAAUUUGGUUAAAUAAAAUUUCAUGGCAACUAAUAUCAAAAUUUUCAAGGUUACGUGUGUUGAGAAUGUUCGCUACUGGCUGGUUCAGUUUUCAUGAAGCACCAGAAGACAGCGUUUUAUUUGGUGGGGGUGAAGUUUUGAUACAGGAAUUGCUCGGUUUGAAAUAUUUAGAGGUAUUGGAGUUGACCUUGGGAAGUUAUCAUGCUCUCCAAAUUCUUUUGAGCUCAAAUAAGUUAAAAAGUUGUAUUCGAUCUCUUUUCCUACAGUUGUUCAGAGAUACAACGUCGAUUAUUGAUGCUACGGCUUUCGCAGAUCUAAACCACCUCAAUCAAUUAUGUAUUAGUAACGGUUCUGAGUUGGAAGAAUUGAAGAUUGAUUAUACGGAGAUAGUACGAAAAAGGCGGGAACCUUUUGUUUUCCGCAGCCUUCAACGUGUUACCAUAGAGGAGUGCCAUAAAUUGAAAGAUUUGACAUUCCUCGUUUUUGCUCCAAACCUCAAGUCUCUUUCGCUAUACGAUUGCGGUGCUAUGGAAGAAAUAAUCAGCGUCGGAAAAUUUGCUGAGACUCCUGAGAUGAUGGGACAUAUAAGCCCUUUUGAAAAUCUCCAAAUGCUUUAUUUAAUGGCAUUGCCGGAGUUGAAGAGCGUCUACUGGAAGCCAUUGCCUUUCACUCAUCUGAAAGAAAUGGAGGUACUUGGGUGUGAUCAGCUUAAAAAGCUUCCACUCGAUUCCAACAGUGCAAAAGAGCGUAAAUUUGUAAUUCUUGGAGACACACAGUGGUGGAACCGUCUUCAAUGGGAGGAUGAAGCCACUCAAAUUGCUUUUCGUUCCUAUUUCCAAACCUGAUUCCUGAGCGGUGGUCGCAAAAUUUGAUUUCUGGUGAGUGCGUUUGUCUUUUAAAAGAAGAAUUUAAAAGAAAUUUAUUCUUGUCGUUUUCUUCUCUGUUUUUAUUUCAGUUUGUUUCUCUCUCUCUCUUUUUGUCUUCUGCAAAUCACAAUUAAAUGUUGAAUUAAUGGAAUUAAUGCUUCAUAAAUUUGCCGGCACUGCCAGUACUUUUUUUUUUUUUUAAUACGAAUUGAUGCUUUAUUUAUUUCUUCUUAGCGAUUUAAUUUCCUGUCAAAAGACGAGCGAGAAGAACAUAUGACUUAAACCAAUUGAUACUUUAUUUAUGUGCAUUGUAUGUAAUAAAAUUUUCUCUGUUUUUUUCAAAUUGAGGCUUUAUUUAUAUUUUCUUCGUGAAGAGUGAUUUAAUUUCCUGCCAAAAGACAAACGAGAAGAACAUUAGAGUCAAACUAAUGCUCACAUAAAUUUCCCGUAAGAAUAUAUAUAUAAUUAGACUGGAAUGCACACCUCUAGAUUGAACAGAAUUAAAGCUGAGAAAAUAUUGAGUAUAGUAGCCCUCUUUACAGAAAAUGACGCGAAAGUUAAUUUAGAAAGAUAUAUUCUUGAUUAAUCCAUUUUCUGAAGUUUUUUAUUUUGUAUGGUCAAUUAUACCUUCAUACUAAAAAAAAAAAAAAAAAAGAGAAAAUAUGUAAUCCAUGAAUGGUUAAUUUUGUUUGUUUGUUUUUUUUUCUUAAAUAUCAUUCUUUUUCGGCCACCCAAGGACAUUUUCACAAAUACCUUUUGUGUGCAGAAGUCUUCCAAACCAUCAAUGGAAAAAUAAAAAAUAAAAAAAACACGGUCCAGUAUACCUCAAAAUAUCAUUGAUGACUUUUCUGGUCUAAUGCUAUGUAAAUAGUAUGUUAAGUAAAACAUAAUCAGUUCAGUACCUCACAAAUAAUUCGCAAUAUCUACAAAAUACUAUAAUGGCUACAAAACAAAUCCUGCUUGCAAAUUGUCAAGGAUACCUAUCCGUUCGCUUGACAAGUCAUUUGAAUAAAUAUUGUUCACAUUCCUUACUCUGUCAAUUAUCCAAAGCACCAUCAACUUUAGUUUGAAUAGUAUACAUGCCAUCACCGUUACCAAGAAUCAAGCAUGGAAGGGUCAUUCUAUAGAGUGCAGAACAUGACUCUAUGCGGUAGUCAAUUUGACACACGACGAACACCAUAUGCUGCAUAACAUACAAAUUAAUUUCCCAUAUGUGAUGCAAUUUUCUCCUCAACAUAUGCGCAAUUCUUUCCAUUCCGGCAUUUACACUCAAAUUUUCCUUCCUUUCUCUUUGUGGUUGAAUCUUACACCACAACUCAUGUGAUGCAAUCUCCUCUCGCUGCCUAAAUUGCACUCUCAGCAAAGCAGCAUAUGUAAGCAAGCUUGAAGAUAAUCUUGCUGCUCUGCAGAAGAACGGCAAAAGUUAAUCGAAGCAAGGAAUGAUGUAUCAGAAAAUAUUUGGUGGAGAAUUCAGCACAAACAUAUUUCGGAUGAUCAGAAUCAAUAAAACCUGGUGGUUGUGCCAUAUAAACAUCUUUGGAAAGCUGACCUUGAAGAAAGGCGUUAUUGAUAUCCAAUUGAUGAAGAGGCCAGCCAUGACUAACAUCAAUACUAAGAACAAGCCGUACUGUGGUGGACUUAACAACUGGACUGAAAGUGUCAUAAUAGUCCACACCAGGCCAUUGAUUGAACCCUUUGGCAACAAGAUGAGCUUUAAACCUGUCAACAGAACCGUUGGAAUGUCUUUUAAUACAAAAAUCCAUUUGCAGCCAACAAUAUUGGAAGGGAUGGGAGGUGGAACAAGCUUCCAUGUCCCGUUACGAACAAGAGCAUCAUACUCUUCUGACAUAGCUGGACGCCAGUGAAGAUUUUUGAUAGCUUGCGUCACAGUUGUAGGUUCACAAUCAGAAGAAGGGCUAAAAUGAGCACGGAGGUUAAGUUUUUGUAACGGCUUGUGAAUCUUAUUUUUAGCUCGGGUAGUCAUAUCAUGAUGACUUGUGGGGCAAUGAUCUAGUGGAGUUUAGGAAGAUGAUUGAACAGGAAGUGAAGAAGUGCUUUGUGUAGAGGUAGAAGUAGGUUGGGAGGAUUGCUGCGGAGAUGUUACCGGUAGAGAAGAAGGAGCAGUACACGGUGGCAACUCCAGAGGGCCCACAAUAGAUGGAGUAGGUGCCGACAAUGGAGUACUAGGAAAUGAAACAGGAAGAAUUGGUGGAACACUUGCAUAAUUAGGAGUGGUAGAUGAGCUUGUAAUGAUUUGCAUGGAAAAACAAACUCUACAAAUUUAACGUGACGUGAAAUAAAAAUUUGAAAGGUGGAUGGGUCAAAACAUAAAUAAGCACUUUGAGAUAAAGGAAUAUCCUAGAAAAACACAAGGCUUAGAGGGUGGUUCGAGUUUAUGUGAUGAAACACAAACAUUCAAAAAAUUUUAAGUUUAUAUUAAUUAGGAGUGGUACCAAAAAUUAAUUAGCUAUGGGGUUGUUGGAUGUGUUUUGGAUAUUUACAGUUAAGUUUGAGUAUCUCAACUUAAAAUUUGUAGUUUUCACUUGAAAAAAUUCAGUUAAAUUUUGCAAUGCAGACUGAUUGAUUUAUCAGUUUAACGUGUGCCAGGAAUGAAGAACUGGAAUAUCACCGUCAAGCAAGCACCCUGUGGAGCAAUACCAAAGAAUGCACAAUCUGGCUUUGCUAGGUAACACUGGAGGCUUUUUGAAAAGUGCUUCACGCUCACUUGCACAGAUUGAGCAUCCCCUCUGGAUAUUGCCCUCUCUGAUCGAGUCUGAGCACUCAAAUUUUGGUCCUCAGAGGGAGCUACAGUUUUCUCUCCACUAACCAACAAUAUUCUAAACUCAGCACCUAGUGUGAUCAGAGUUGUUGAUAUUUGCAAAUGGAGAUCCCCAUAUUUGCAAAUGGAGACAUUUAACAAAUCACCAACAUGCUUCAUCCGGUCCACGAAAUUCUGCAACUGAUGCAAAUCUGGAACCUGAACCAGAGUCGGAGGUAUAUCUUGAGCCAUAUCUAAAGCAGUUUGAAGUUCAAGACCUUGAGCCCUUGACAAUGGUUUUGAAAUUGGAACAUCUUGGAUUACUGCAGACUUGUACCCCUUGGUUUCAAAGGUAAGGAAAGGCAUUGCUUGAGUACAAUUUGGAGGCAGCUUCUUCACCAAUUUUAUUUGGAGGCGAUUGGCAGCGGAUCCAGCUGCACCAAUUUCAGAGCAACUACUGACACUACUUCGAACAGCACACUGAAGAAGUGAUAUGUCUACGGCGAAGGCAAUGCAGUCCUCAUUUUGGCUUGAGACACAGUAAUCAUCGAAGAGAGUUUCCUUGUGAAACUGGGCAACACAUUGAAUCCCUUCGGCACUGAGAAGGUUGUGGAGGAAGUAAGCUUUCUCUCUAGUAAGGAAGAGGUGGCAUACAUUCCCCAUUUUGUCUAGGGCAGGUAGGAAUCUUUUUUCUAAGAGAUUUACUUCAUUCUCUGUGAGAAAUGCUUUGAACUUCAUCCCUCUGUCUCUAUCCUCACUUAUCAGUAAAAUAGUUGAAAGCGCUACAAGGAGAGAAAAGAAGAGUAUUAAGAUAUAUAUAUUAUAUAGACAAGAAAAACAUUAGAUGUCGAUCUUACAAGCUAAUACUUCAAACAAUAUCCUAGAAAGCUAAAAACUGCAAGAUGGCUUGAAAUUUGAAAAGAGCACGUGCUUUUCCUCCUUAACUUGAGAAAAUGUUUAAUAUAGUGCACCUUACAGAAGCAUUUAAGCAAUUAGAACUUUGCACAAAAACAUCAAGAAGACUAAACAAGUCAGAUGCAGUGUAUUUGUCCAAGCACAAAUUGCAUUUUGUCCUCAACUUUAAUAUUUAUUGAUGAGAAUCAAUACAGGUCCCUCAUUUGUUAUAGAAAGCUUUCUUGUAGUCUCACCAGUUAAUAUGGAUAUUAGAUAAGGAAACUUUAUUAGGUUGCGAGGGUAAAAAAGGAAAGAGAUAUCAUUAUUUUAUUAUCGAUAAUUAUUAAAUUUUUUUCCAAAAAAAAGAACAAGCAAGGAUAUUUUAUUGUCAAUUGCAACCUUUAAUUUUUUUAAAUGCUAUUAGAAACACAAGAUAACAAAAAUGUAGUGAGAUGGGAUCUCCUGCAUGCCACUCUGGUUUAGAACACAAAGAAUGUGUCUGCAUAAAUAUCCUCUGAAAUUGAACAACCCACAAACACAAAGCACCUCCAAGUCGGAGGCAUUGUACAAAACAUCAAAAGCCCUUGAAUCCUUCUCGUUGCCACCAACCUCGAAUUCUUCCUUCACUAUGUAUGUUAUAGGUCCAUCAGAACUAAUAUGUUUUGUGCUAUAGUAAGAGUACAUAGCCUCCACCUCCAUCUGAAACUUCCUUAACAUUUCAUUUGUGUACAGUUUUGAGAGUUGAAAUUCAUAGUAACAUCUUGGUUUCCGGAUACAACUUGAAUUUCUUGAAUCCAUAUCUGCCAAGGCUACCAGUUGAUAAUUCGCCUGCAGUGCUUGAUCAUACUUGUCUAAGAAUUCUUUCAAAGGAGUAUUCUUAUCAAGAUAUCCUUCAAAGUAUGAAGUAGAAACCUCAUUCUGCAGGAACGAAAACACUCCUGAUAAAAAAGCUUCCUUCAAAUAAAUAGGAGCCCACCUUUUAUGAUCUUCAUAUAAAGUUUGAAUCCAUCCGUGAUCCUUUAUUCCAUGACAUUGAAUCAUGUCUUCCCAAGCUGCUUCAAAUUUCUCAGGCCUGAGAGAGUGAUAAAUUGCUCUAUGUAAUGCAGCUUUAAUAGCUUCAUAUUCAAACAAUCCUUGGAGUUUCUCUGGAAUUUUUUUGCAUGAUGCAUGACAAUGAAAAGAAAUGAUAAGCUCUUGGGAAAACAUCACCAACAGCAAUUUGCAAGAUUCUACAUUGGUCAGUGAUGAUUGUUUGUGGAGAGCGCCCUAACAUACAUGUAAGCCACGCCGUAAACAACCAUGUAUAUGAUUCUAUGGUCUCACUGGCAAGUAAACCACAACCCAACAACACUGAUUGUCCAUGAUGAUUCACCCCAAUGAAUGAAACCAGUGGUACAUCAUAUCUUUCAGUCAGGCACGUAGUAUCAAUUAAGACCACAUCACCAAAGUACCUAUAUGCAACUCUUGACCUGGUAUCAGUCCAGAAUAGGUUUUUCAAGCAUCCCUUUUCAUUUAGAUCCACUACAUUAAAAAAGUUUGGAUCUGUCAACUGCAAAUGACAAAAGAAACUCUGGACAGCUUGUGCAUCUCCUGGUUUAAGCUUCAAUUGAUUUGAGCUAUUAACAUUAUUUCCAAAUACUCCAUUAACAUCUACCAUUUCCCUUGGUAUCAAUGAUAAGAGUUCGAAACAGUUUAAUUUUUUGAACUUCUUCAGCACUAUCUAAAUGCAAUGUUCUUUUGGUUCCAAUACCUAUGUGCUUAUGUGACUUGUAAAACUUUCCGCUUCUUGGGCUUAACAAGUGGUUAUGCUCAAGCUCGACUUCAAUGAUUCUCCACCUUUUGGUUUCCAUCAACCUAAACUUUAUCAUUGCUGGACAGCCAGUUCUUGUUUCUGGUCUUGGGCGGUUUGCCUCGCUUUUCUUCUUGAAGCCUGCACUACUACAGCUCAGCUUUCCUCUAUACUUUUCUCUACUCUUUCGGUACCAUGGAUUGCUAACUCUAACACCAAAACCCUGUUCCUUGGCAUAGCAAUUGUAAAAGUAAUAUACAUCAUCAUACAUCUCAAACUCCAUUCCAACAGUAGGAGGCAAGGGAUUUUGGAUUAUCCCAGUUUGUCCAACAUAUUCAGUCAUCGCACAAUCUCCUACAACCUCAAAAUCAUCAGUGUCAUCAUCACCUACUGGUUCGGUGUUGAGAGAAACUUCAUCCAUCUACAAUGGAUGUUCAAUGAAGUGAGCUUUAAGGAGAAAAAGCAAAAUCUGUUCAAGGAAUGAUAAUAUAAUCAUACAGUUACUUUCACAAAGCUUCAUAUUUCAUCACUGCUUUACCAACAUGCAACUGCCAGAGAACAAACAGACAUGUCAUAGACGCUUGAAUUAAGUAUUGGUACAAAUGAGCACACAUCAUGUGGGACAAAAUUUCAGUCACUAAACCCAAUACCACUUUUUACAUCAUACCAAGGAACAGAUUAAACCCGACACCUUCUUUUAAACCAUACCAAGGAACAGAUUAAAUCAUCAAUGAAAAAUUAAUCACAUAAUAACUUAACCAGACAAAUGAAGAGCCUGAAACAGCACAAAACUUGAAUCUGAUUAUGAUAAUUGUUGAGUCCUUGUAUCUACAGCUUUCCUUCAAUGAUAAGACAAUGAACAUAAACGAGACACAAAAAAAUUAUUUUAAACUGACAGCCCAUGAUAUAAAUCAAACAAAAUCAACUCCUUUUUUUACACAUUACAUCUCAUAUUCAUUUACAUUGAAACACAAAAAGGAAGCAGGAGUGGGAAAAAAACAACAGCAGAGGAACUUAUUUCCAUAAGGUUUACGAAAUAAGGAAUCUAUUAAAACCCAAAACUUGAGGUCACCACUAAGAAUUUGGUUCUCAUUAUUUUUUUCUUCAUUUUUCACCAAUUGAUGAACUUAAAAUACAAUCAUAAAUGAUAAAACCCCAUCUCCAUCUUUUUGAACUAGAGCUAAAGCAAAGCAUUUUAAGAUGUUUCAUCAUUUUUUUUUUUAAAAAAAACUCAAUAGUACAAUGUUUUUCAAUGCUAAAUGCACAAUUCAAUCUUCUCCUAAUUUACUCUAAUAAUCUCUUAAUUAAGGAAGAUUAAGCUUCAGUUGUAAGCUAAAACAAAUUUCUUAAAUCAAGCCCCAAUGCUUUAUGCUAUUCAACAAGGGCUCAUAAAUGAUAAAACUACUUCUAUAAAGAUACCCAUUUUCUAAAUUAAUUUCACAAACUGAAAUCAAACUCCUGAAACGUAACGAGCAUUAAUAUAAUCAAGCCCGAACAAGAAUUGAAAAAUGAUACAUAAACUCGUUUACACAUUUCGACAGACACUUUGCAAUCAAUGAGCAAAAAAUUAAUGGAGAAGAUAAAAUUCAAACGAAACAUGCCUUACAUUGAUAAAUUAGAAGGGCAAAAGAAAUUUUAGUACGAUAUGCGAUCAGGGUCUUGCCACGGUGAUGUUAUUUGUGAAGUUCGAGCGACUCAGCAGCCUUCGAGGUUGAAAAUUUGAUUGACCAAAAGCUUCCCGUUCGUUGAUUCUCUAAUAGUAGAAACGAGACUGGCAGUAUACACAAGAAGUUCGCCGAUUUUAAAUUCCGUUGUUUGAGAUGGAAAAUUUUUUGAAAAAAUUAAUGUGUUCGAUGAAAAUCAAAAUCUCAAAAACCUCUUGUUUUUCAUUUUUUUGGAAAAAACCAUUGAGAUCCUUACUAUUUUUUCUUAUAUCAUCUUCCUUAAUAAUUUGCAAAGUCUAUCGCAUAGCACCCAUGUAUGAUGUAUGCUGCGUUGUAAUUUACAAAAUUGCACAUGAAUAAAUCCAGCUAAAAUUUGUUAAAAGAAAAUAAUAAUAACAUGUUAAAACUUUAAAAUUUGAUUAUUCGAAGAAAUUUUAAUUUAGUUAAGUAGGUGACAUGAUAAUAAAUAGAUACGUAUAAUGUCCGAGAUUUUUUAUAAGAUUAAUAAAUAUGAUAAAUUUGGAUUAGUUCAAUUUUGACAUAAUUCAUAAUAAACACAGCUUGCUAAUCUAAAUUGCCACCGUUACUCAUCAUCAGGUACCUGUUUGAAAAAUAAUUACAAACAAUUUUAUUUGUGUUGUUUCUCUAAAAGUUUGAGACACAAAUGUUAUUUCAAAUUGAUAAAAGUACGAAAAUUCCCCCUUGCUCUUCAACUAAAAAUGAAACAUGCAAAUAUACACACUAAUUUAGAUGUGUGAAUAACAAAUAUGGAACGACACAUGCAAAGUCAUCUGUAUAAUUGAAACGCCAUGCACUAGUAGUAGGUAAGAGAAACCAAGGUUGAAGUUGCUCCAAUGGUUACUGUUAAUUUAUUUUUAUUUAUGAUUUUUUUUGUAAAAUGUAAGAAAUAUGUAGAAAUGUUGCCAGCAAUGAUUUUGGAACUUUGCAUAAAAUUUUUAUCAUUAUUGUUUUUGGUAUUAAGAAAUCCGAGGCGGUGAUUAGACGUAUGUUGCAACAAUUAAGAAAUUUCUUAUUGGAGAUAAUUUGGUAGGUUUGCAGCAAUUAGAGAAUAAUUUUCCUGCCAGUUAAUCAAUCAAUAAUAAAUUUCAAAUUGCAGAAAAUAAAAUAAUACAGCCUCACUUAGAAUCAUCUUUUCUAUCUCUUUCAAUUGUGGCAAUCAUUUGCAACAAAUAAAUCAAUUUGAUGCACAUCAUUUCCCCAAUUCAAAGUUCAAGUCACUGCUCAAUUACAGAGUAGUUAGUGGACAUGCAUGCAUGUUUAAUUAAGUACUGCAUUGUAGUAUCGAAAAUCAUAACAUCUCACCAAUAUCAGAUUAUUAACCAUGGAAAUCAUAUCACAAUAUCAUAUAGAAUUCACAAAUCUGAAAAUCAUCACCAAACAAGUACCCAGAGAAAUAAUCUCGUCAUAUCCAGACCUCAACGGACGGGCAAUGACGUACUAUUUGGGUAACGUCACACCCUGGAGCUACACGGAUAAAUAGGAAAAUACCAUCUCAUAUCUCAUCAUAUUUGUGCAUGCAUAAUCUAGUCCCCAAGGGACAAAAGCGCCCAAGCACACGGCCCAAAGCCUCUAUGUGUACUCAGACGGGCCCCAAAGGCCUGUAUCUCAUAUGUAUCAUAUGUAUCAUUUGUAUCUCAAUAUCUGUUUGUAUCUCAUUUCCGUAUAUCUAUAAUCAUCAUACCGCAUGCAUAUGCCCCCAAAAGACAAAAGCGCCCAAACACAUGGCCCAAAGCCUUUAUAUGUGUUUAGACGGGUCCCAAAAGCCUCUUAUCUCAUCUUAUCUGUAUCACUGUAUCUGGAGAGAAGGGUACUGUCUAAUGAUUUAAAAAACAAUCAUUAUACUCAUAUUUACAUACCUCUUAAUCAUAUUUGAAAUCAUAUCACAUUUGAAUCCACUUUUCUAAUCUUUAAAAUAUUAUCAUGCUUUAUUCAAAGUCGAUACGCAAAAUCAAUAACCAAACAUUUUAAAUCAAAUUAUUAACCAUGGAAAUCAUAUCACAAUAUCAUAUAGAAUUCACAAAUCUGAAAAUCAUCACCAAAUAAGUACCCAAAGAAAUAAUCUCGUCAUAUCCGGACCUCAACGGACGGGCAAUGACGUACUAUCUGGGUAACGUCACACCUUGGAGCUACACGGAUAAAUAGAGAAAUACCAUCUCAUAUCUCAUCAUAUCUGUGCAUGCAUAAUCUAGUCCCCAAGGGACAAAAGCGCCCAAGCACACAGCCCAAAGCCUCUAUGUGUACUCAGACGGGCUCCAAAGGCCUGUAUCUCAUAUGUAUCAUAUGUAUCAUUUGUAUCUCAAUAUCUGUCUGUAUCUCAUAUCCGUAUAUCUAUAAUCAUCAUACCGCAUGCAUAUGCCCCCAAAAGACAAAAGCGCCCAAACACAUGGCCCAAAGCCUUUAUAUGUGUUCAGACGGACCCCAAAAGCCUCUCAUCUCAUCUUAUCUGUAUCACUGUAUCUGGAGGGAAGGGUACUGUCUAAUGAUUUAAAAAAUAAUCAUUAUACUCAUAUUUACAUACCUCUUAUCAUAUUUGAAAUCAUAUCACAUUUGAAUCCACUUUUCUAAUCUUUAAAAUAUUAUCAUGCUUUAUUCAAAGUCGAUACGCAAAAUCAAUAACCAAACAUUUUAAUAAAAUACCAAUGCAUAAAUAAAAUUCAUUUCGAGAAAUCAUUAAAUCAGAACAUUUAAAAUACUUAUUUCGCAAACAUGCUUUACUAUCAUCGCUAACUAUGAAAAUAAGUUUUGUAUAUUCCACUUUCAGUGAUGGUGUUCACGGUCGGUUAUCGUCCAUAUCUGCAGACCGAUUCUCGCUCGCGAAUCCUCCUAAAUCAAGGAAACGACAUAAUUAUUUUUUGUAAAUCGGAAUUAUGACUAAAUUUUAUGCAAUAAACUCAAAACGAACAUCUAUUCAUAAUUGACAACUCCUAUAUCCAUAAAAUUACUAAAAUAUCCUUGAGUCCGUAGAUCAUUAACAUGCUCCGAAAUCGUAAAUCACUGAAUUACCCUCGGAAUCGUAAUUACACCCGAUCCUCAAUUAUAGGAAUUACUAACAGAUCCACAGGCUUAGAAAUUACAAAAUUGCCCUCGUAGUGUGAAAUUACCAAAAGCCGGAAGUUGGUCAACAAUGGCUAGGAAGCUCAAAUCGUAAAGUUCCAAUCACGCUGAGUUCAAUGGUACCGGCGGUGAGCUCCAACGCGCGACAACGAUGCCAGAAUCUAGCUCGGCAGCCGUGAAUUCCACCAAUCGACCGGCGGCACAACAGUGACUCUCGGUGCCUAUGGAUGGUCGAAAAUGGAAGAGGGAGCCGUGGGGAACAAAAUCCAACCGGUGGUGUCACCAAAACCGGUGAAAAUCCCGGCGGAGCAAAGUGAAACAGUCGCGGGUUUCAUGCUUCGAUCGCCGGUGUUCCGAUUGGUUUUUGGCGAGGAGGAUGGCAAGGGAACGACAGCCGGCUUCUAAGCUUCAGAUUGGUACCAAGCUCGGCCGAAACGAUGGCCGGAAAUGGGAGAUAUGACCGGGUCAAGGUCGCGGGUUCCGGGUCGGGUUUUUUGGUCUGUAGUUGGGUCGGUUUGGUAGCUUCUCUCUCACUCUCUGUUACACGUGCAUAUGUUUCCUCUGUUUCCAGCUUAUUCUUUUGCUUUUACUAACUUCUUAACCGCCUCAUACUUAUUCAUUUUUAAUUCACAUAUGUUACAAUAAUUCCCGAGUAUUAAAUAACCAGUGGUCAUAAUUUUUGUACAAGAUUCUUUUUUUUUUUUGGAGAUCGUUAAAAGUGGUUGACGAUCCAUUUCGUAAUAUCAUAGAGGGAUCAUCAAUUCCUUUUCUUUUCUGUGGCUAGGCAACACUUUUUGGCCAAAGUAAGGAAAUCUAUUUUAGGUAAUGUAAAAACCAGUUGUAGGAUGUAAUAGUUUAUUAUGCACUGACAAUAACUUUUUGUAUAAUUGUCAGUUUAAUGAAUGCAAGAGGAACUCUGUUGGCAAAUUCAUCCAAGAUAGAUGCUAAAAUUAUUUAUGCAUGCCAGUUGCCUUAACUAAGUUUUCUCAGCACUGGUUUUGAACAGGAAAAUGAAUAUGCAAUUUGUAUAUUGUGCCAUAGUGGAGAAUUUGGAUAUUCUUAUUUAAGUAACAAGGAGAUUAUUUGCCUCAUCUUUAAACAAUGAAUCUUUGAGAGAUGAGGAGUGGGUGAUUGGAUGUGUCUUCAUGUAAUUGUUCAUUUAUUUGUAUUUUGAACUGUUAUGAAAAUCUUUAUAUGCCAAAUUAGUAAUACAAGUAUUCAGAUGAUUUUUCCUAUUGAUCAUGCAUUUGUAUCUGCCCACAACCAUUGUAUAUCACUUUAUUCUGAUGCGCAAGCAUCUGUAAUUUAGAAGAAAAGAAAUAAUAAUCAUAUUUUAUUGCUUGGUUCAUGAUUAUUAACGAUUAUGGCUUUAAAAAUCUACAAAUUUCUUGUGUUCAUGUAUGAAUGUGCCAAGUUUGCUGUAUCUUAGAUUACCUUCUUCCAAGGUAACAAGUUCAUAUAUAUAUAUUUUUUAAAUCAUUUUCCAUUACAGUUGAAUUUCAAGUGUUAGUUUUGUUAUUAGUACCUGGUUUCCUGUUAUAAGGAUCUAAUAAACAGUGUACGGAUAUGUGCUCUACUUUUGGAGGGCUUCCACGUGAAAGAAAAUUACAACAAUUGAAUUCUUCCGGAGGAUAUGGUAAUUAAUUUAUUUUCUCAACUUCUUGUAAGACUAAUAUAUUUCCUUCAGUAGGCACAGCAUGGUGGGAAGGGUUUUUAUUGAAAGAAUUCUGAUAUUUCUUAGACUUUGUUUUGGAAGGGGGUGGAGGAAUUUCUCAUCCAUAUAUGGUUACUUGAUUAGCUUUUGACUGUAUUGUCUCUGUCGUGCAAAGGAAAAUCUAAAUACUAACGAUGGGGAAUUGCUUAGGCACCCAAAAGGCAGAAAUGAAUUACAGAAGGAAGUUUUUGCUGCUUUAUUUAGUGCUGCUGAGAAAUCUGAUGAAUUUCCUGAAAUUACGGUGAAGACCGAGUGGAGGUCCAAAGCAUUAGGAAAGGUGGUGAGUGAACUGCCGGAGGAAUUUGUACCAAAAUACAAGGCUAAUGUGGUGCACUUGCAGCAAGAUAACCAGACCGGUAUGUGCUCUUAUAUUAACUAUAUUGACUGGAUUUGUGAGUGUGUGCAUUUUUUUGUGUAUACUCACUUUUGUAUUUAUGCAUAUUAACAUGUGUAGGAUUCUUGAUUUCUGCCACUUACUGGAGAACUAGUGGAAAGCUUUAUAUUGAUAUAUCUGCAAUAACUAAUGGAAACUAUGAUAUGAAUAUUUUCUCUCACCUGGGGAGCUGUGUAACAGAUAUACUUUGUGGCUCUGGAAUGCUGAAGAUUCUGCAAUAACUAAUGGAAAAUAUGAUAUGAAUAUUUUGUCUCACCUGGAGAACUUUGUUACAGAUACCCUUUGUGGCUCUGGAAUGUCUAAAGAAUGCUUUAGUUAGAUCAAAUAUCUUUUAGUUAGAAAAGAUAAAAUUCUCUGAGUCUGAAAGACUGAAACAUUUUGCAUAUUUUGUGAAAGGGAAAUAUCUGUUGAUACUAGCUCAUGCAUUGAGGUAAUAUCGAUGUUAAAGAAAAACAGCAAUGAUUUAUGAUAUAGAAUUGGGUUCACUUGCUUCAAAUGCUGGUCUGAUCAACCAUAUCAACCUGUAAUGAUUCUGCAGAAAUAUAUAUACAUGGAGAAAGUAGCUAAAUUUUUCUUUCAUUUAUGGGUUCGGUCUUUUUUCCCCUUAUUUUUCAGCUUUCCUUCUCCUGAAGUAUGUUAACAAUUGCAGAUAAUGAUGAAGACGACAGCUUCCGGGCUCUCCUUAGAGCCGUGAUGGAAUAUAGGGGCACAAUGAAGGAAUAUUGUAAAGCUGUAGGUACUUUUUCUCCUUUCAUUUAUGUUUUCUCACACAUUUUGUAUAUGCCCUGAACAUGCACCUUUGUAUGUAUCAAUUGACUUUUAAAUUUUAAAAGCCAUAAAGUAAGAAUACGGUUCCUUGUCAGGCUACUGAUGACAUUCGCUCAGGGGGAUCAUGUUCGAGCAGGAAAAUUUCUAGAACAGGUAAGGUUUCCAUCUACAGCCAUCCAUUGACAGCAGAUACAUUUUCAUUCAGCAGACUCUGUUAGCAUUCAAGAUGCUGGCAGAUUCACUUGAUUCUUAUUAGCUUGUUUAGUGGCAAAGCCUAUAACCUGUAUUUCAAAGCCAAGUUGUGCUAUUGAUUAUGUUAACUUUUUUGUUAACAUAAAAUGAUAUGGAGGAAAUAAUCAGUGUUGGAAAAUUAGGUGAAAAGAUGAUGUCAAAUCUUGAACCUCUUACGAAACUCUAAGUUCUUUACUUGAAGAGGCUACGAAAUUUGAACAGCGUCUACUCGAAGGCCUUGCCAUUCCCUGAUGCAUGCAGAAUUUUUGUAUUUAAAUGCCCAGAGCUUAAGAAGCUGCCACUGGAUCUUGAAGGGGCAGACCAAGGUAAAAAUCUUAUCAAGGGAAAGGAAGAUUGGUGGAAACAACUUAAUGGGAGGAUCAAGUAACUCAGAAUGCAUUGCUUCCAUUUUUUAAAUUGACUGACAAGUGAUUGAACGGGGCAUCAUCAACAUCAUCAACAGGGAUGGAGAGAUACCGGAGCAGAUCAGCAGGGUUUGAAUAUGACCUUUGGCGGUUGCUUUUUUUUUGUGAUUUUUUUUUCAUUUUUUCCUUCCUGUCAUUUUAUCAUUUCUUUCUCUGUUUCUAUUGCGGGUGUUACUGCAUGCUUACUGUUGCUUGACAAAGUUUGCUAGCUUUUUGUUUGCAGUGUUGCUAUACACUCCGAGUCAAGCCUCGAAAAUUUAUUAAACGAAGCCGUUUCGACAGUAACAAUUCUUUUCUUUUCCCUUUGCAUGUCUCUUUCAUCUGCUGUUUCUCUAUCACUUUUCAUUUUUGAUUUCCUUGCUUCUCAGCUGCCCCUAAAUUGUUAUUCUAGCAAUAUACUUUCUCAUCUUUGAAUUUUCAUCCUUGAGUACUCCCACAGCCGUAAUUUCAUCAUCAUAGACUUCACUUGGAAUGCUGUAUUUUUUCGAUUCUUGAGCUACUUCAAUUACAUCUUAGUAUAGGAUCCUCAUCUUCCUUUAUUUCUUCAUCUUAUGAGGUAAUAAAUGGAUUUCACAACUCAUCUACUUUUAAGCAAUUACAUAUUAUACCUUGAAUGAUUCAACUGUUCUGACAGUUAAAGAUUUUAUGCUCAACCUGCAGUGCUACGAACAUUGUCCAUGAAAGAUGAGUUUCAGCAUAUAAAAUGAAAUAUAGAUGUUUAAUCUAAAAUAACCCUUCACUGCCAGAAACCUAGGUCACAAAAUUCACAGAUAAUGAUAAAGAGCUAAAAAAUUUGAAAAACUCUACAGAUCACACAUCAAGCAAGAUAUCAUGUUUUUUUCCCUCAUUCAGUGGUGAUUGAUUCGCUUUUUGAUGAUGGAUAUGGUAUAAAAGUGUUGACCCAAUUUCAAGCAAACACAAAUAGAAACACAAACACAAUCGGGACUAGAGUUGUGGGCGAUUAUCUUAGGUGUACAAGUGAAACGGUGGUGGCUGUCGAUGGUGGUAGUGGGGUGGUUGGGUAUGCGUGAUGGCUAGAUUUUAGGACAAUAAUGAUUGGAGUUGACCUCAAUCAACGAAGGAAAGUGACAACAAUUUUGACAUCAAACGGUGCAUUUUUUAGCUUAGUAAAAUGGAGCCGUUUCGAUUUUGGGGUUUAAUCCGGGGUUUGACUCGGUGCAAGUAUCAUUUUCCUUUUGUUUAUUAAAUUUUUUUAUGGUCACAAAGUAUCACUCGUUCUAUUUGAGAGUCAUGUGAAUCAAUUUUUCAAAUUUUCAAUUUUAAAUUUUGUGGUCAAUGUGAAUUCAAUUUCAUUUGUCUCCUGCAAUUAUGAAAAAAUUAAAUAGUCAUAAUAUGGAAAAAUACACCGGUAAAAACUUUGUAAAAGCUUCGGAGUGAUACGGGGAAUUCACUUACUACUAAGGACAAUUGGUGGCAAGCUAUUCCAUUCAUUUUAUGUCCAUCCAUCUAUUUAGUUAUUGAAGAUAAGUGGUCCAUUUGUAAAUUUCAGAUUGUCUCUCUCUCCCUCUUGAAAUAACAAUAUUUAAUAUAUCUCAUAAAUUAUUAUAAAUUUUAAUUUACUCUCGAUUUAAAAUGGAGCAUGUCGAUAAAUUUUUUUUCUUCUUAAUAAAAUUGACGUAAGUUGUGUUUACAGUAGUUUGAAGUUUGAAAUAUUUUAAAGAUUAUUAUUCUAUAAGGGAGUAAUAUGAAAUGAUAUUUACUUUUCAUGUGUGAAAUGAAAAAGGACGAAGCAAGUGUCCCUGCUUUUAUUUUAUUUCAAGGAGGAGUCAUCUCACAUACUUUAGCUCUUAACAUUACAUUUUUUCUGGUUACAUUUUUUAUUUAUUUAUUUUUUUUUUUUUACACAUGCGUGUGGGUUGCUUUUCUGUAAGCUCCUUAAUAUAUAUUUAAGACAAAUCAUGGAAGAGAUGGGAUUAUAUCAAGAUGAUCAAAGAAUGUUAAAAAAGAAAAAAGAAAAAAAAAAGAAGUAAGACACUGAAAAUGGAGAAGAGAUGGAAGCAAAAGAUAUUCCAAAACAAAGCAAUCUAUCCCCUUUCGAGGGCAGACUUAUCAGGUUUAAAAAAGUACACGCUUUGGAUUGGUAGUUGCAAUCAAGGGAAAAUAAAUAGGAUCCAAUGAAAUUUAAAUCUCGGAGAAAAUAAAUAAUCAUGCAGAUUUUCAAGAUUUUAAUAAGGGAUACUAAUAUCUUAUUUUGAUUAAUAAUAUCCUUUCAUUGUGUUAACUCAAAAAAUAUAUAUUUUAAUGUUUUGCAAUAAACAGAAACGUACUAUUAAAAUGAAUAUAUAAAGAAUUUAGAAAAUUUUGAAUGUUAUAUAAAAUAAUUUUAAGAUAAUGCGUGAGAUAUAUUUUAUUAAUUUAAAAUGUUAUUUUACCUAAAAAAUAUGAUAAAUUAAUAAUUACAUAUUUGAAGUUAUUUUAAAUAUUAAAAAAAUUUAAUAUUAUUAAUCUUUUAGAUAGAUUAAAUUAUUUUUUAUAAGAGAUAGAUUAAAUUAUUUUAAAAUACGUUAAUUGUUUUUACUUUUAACGUUACCGGCCUUUCUUUUAUUUUAUUGCAAAUUAAUGCUAACAAGAAAAAGCUAGAUCAUAUUCCACAAAAGCAAAAGUGACAAACACAACCAGCUGGAAUCUUUUAAUUACUAUUCAAUAAUUCGAGACGAUUAGGGUCUUUUAUUAAACUACAAAUUGUAUAGUCUUUUUAAAAUUGUUAUAAAUUGGUGGCACCUACAAUCCUCAAUAAUUGUACCGAUAUUCACAAGUUGGUGGCCCCUACAAUUCUGUUCGGAUAAUUUAACUGUGCAAGUGCUCAUUCACAAUAAUUGUUUUGUUUUUUUUUUCUGCAUUCCCUUUCAUGCUCUUAAUAAUUGAAGAGCAUACUUUUCAUUUUCAAAUGUGGAGCCGCAGCUAAUGUCGCUAAUUUAAUUUGGGAUUAAAUUAGGGGACCAUUAUAUUGCAGUGUGCACUAAUUUUUGUGUUUAUCUAAACUCCUUAAAUUUAAGACAUAUUAUGGCAUAAAUAAGAAUAUAACAAUAGCAAAAGAGUUAAAAAGUGUAGAGAAGAUCUUGCAGAAAUAUAAAUAAUAUCUAUUUUAAAAUAAUAUCAAUAUUUAAAAUAAUUUUUAAUAUUUUAUGAUUCAUUAGAUAUAUUUUAUUAUAUUAAAGUAAAUUUUAUAAUAAAUAAAAACAUACUAUUAAAAUGAAUAUAUAGAAAAUUUAGAGUAUUUUAAGUAUUAUAUAAAAUAAUUUUAAUAAAAUAUGUGAGAUAUUCAUAUUUUAUUAAUUUAAAAUACCAUUUAACCUAAAGAUUUAUUUAUGAUAAAUUAAUAAUUAUAUUUUUGAAGUUACUUCAAAUAUUAAAAAUAUUAAUAUUACUAAUCUAUUAGAUAGAUUAAAUUAUAUAUAUUAUUUUCUAUUUAUUAAAAAAUUUAAAAUUAUUUUUAAUUACUAUUCAAAAAAUAUAAUGAUAAAAAAGAAUCUUAACAUCUUUAUUAAAAAUUUAAAAAUUUACAUGAUCAAUUCUCUAAAUAUUUAGGGUUAUAUGUGAACAACGGUGGAGAAGCUUUAUUUAAUAUUAUUGAUUUAAAUAAUAUGUCAAUUAAAAAUGUACAGAGAAGGAAAUUUCGGUGGGUAUUUUAGUCUUUUCAGCAAUUAUCAUGAUCAGAUCAGCCUUUAGCCUUGAAUCGUCGGUCAGAAAAGUUUUAAAAUUAACGCUAACAAGAAAAAGCUAGGUCAUAUUCCACAAAAGCAAAACUGACAAAACAACCAGCUGGUUUCUUUUACUAAACUACAAAUUAAAAGUGGAUUCUUUUGAAUGCAAGUGGGACAGACGAUUAGGCUCUUUUUAUUAAAGGCAAGUAAAAACUAGUCGAAUAGUCUUUUUCAAAUUGUUGUUUUAUUAUUUUUCCUUCAAAAGUUAGUGUGGCUCAUGUUUGCAGGUGCGAAUGUGGGUCCCGAAUCAUUACUAAAAUUUCUAUUCCACAGCCCACCGCAGCUUCAGUUAAUCAAACUCAAAUCAAUUUUCUUUCUUAACAAAAUAUUCCAAAGAUGUGUAGCAUUUUUCAGAUCACAUGCGAUGGUGCUCUUUUCAAUCGUUGCUUGGAUUGCUUUCUUGGAAAAGCAGCAUACAUACGUAACCUCCAAGAUAAUGUUGAUACCUUGGGCACUGAAUUGGGAAAUCUGAUCGCUAGAAAGAACGAUCUGAUGAGGAGGGUUGUCGAUGCUGAACGGCAACAAAUGAGAAGGCUGGACGGAGUGCAAGUGUGGGUUUCGAGGGUGGAUUCUGUUAAAACUGAAGCUGAUCAAUUUAUAAGAGACGGCUCUCGAGAAAUUGAAAAAUUAUGUGUUGGAGGCUACUGUUCCAAGAAUUGCAUGUCAAGCUACAAGUUCGGGAAAAAAGUGGCUAAAAAGCUACGGGAUGUGCGGACUUUAAUCAGUGAAGGAGUUUUUGAGGUGGUGGCUGACAGAGCUCCAGAGUCUGUAGCAGAUGAAAGACCUACUGAGCGAACAGUAGUAGGCUUGCAAUCACAACUUGAACAAGUCUGGAGAUGUCUUGUAGAAGAAUCAGCGGGAAUCAUUGGCCUAUAUGGUAUGGGCGGUGUUGGUAAAACUACACUACUGACCCAUAUCAACAAUAAAUUUCUCGAGAGUCCAACCAACUUUGAUUGUGCGAUUUGGGUUGUAGUUUCAAAAGACCUGCGACUCGAAAAAAUUCAAGAAGAUAUUGGGAAAAAGAUAGGUUUGGUUGGUGAUUCAUGGAAGAGUAAAAGUGUAGAGGAGAAAGCUGUCGACAUCUUCCGGAGUUUAAGAGAGAAGAGAUUUGUAUUGUUGUUAGAUGAUAUAUGGGAGCGGGUUGAUUUAACAAAGGUGGGCAUUCCACUUCCCGGACCAAAAAAUACUACCUCAAAAGUCGUAUUCACAACCCGUUUCAUCGAUGUUUGUGGUAGCAUGGAAGUUGACAGGAAGUUUCAAGUAGCAUGCUUAUCAGAAAAGGAUGCUUGGGAACUGUUUCGAGAAAAAGUUGGGGAGGAAACUCUUCAGAGUCAUCAUGAUAUCGAUGAGCUAGCCCAAAUUGUGGUCAAAGAGUGUGGUGGUUUGCCACUCGCACUUAUUACUAUUGGUCGAGCUAUGGCCUACAGAAAGAAAGCGGAGCAGUGGAGACGUGCAAUUGAAGAGUUAAGGAGAUCAGCUUCAGAGUUUGCAGGUUUGGGAAAAGAGGUUUAUCCUCUUUUAAAAUUCAGCUAUGAUAGUUUGCAGAAUGAUACGGUUAGAUCUUGUUUCUUGUACUGUUGUUUAUAUCCUGAAGAUUAUGGCAUUCUUAAAUGGGACUUGAUUGAUUGUUGGUUUGGCGAGGGAUUUUUUGGGGAAUCUGACAGGUCUGGUGCAGAAAACCAAGGAUAUGACAUUUUGGACACUCUUGUUCGUGCGUGUUUAUUAGAAGAGGUGGAAGAUGAUGAAGUAAAAAUGCAUGACGUUAUUCGUGAUAUGGCUAUAUGGAUAACUUGUGAAAUUGAGAAGGAGAAGAGAAACUUUUUGGUUCGUGCAGGUGCUGGAUUAAAAGAUGCACCGGGUGUUAAAGGAUGGGAAAAUGUGAGAAGAUUGUCAUUGAUGCAAAACCAAAUUGAAACUCUGGCAGAGGUUCCCACAUGCCCUCAUCUCCAUACUCUAUUUCUUGACUUUAAUAGGGGGUUGGAUAUGAUCGCGGAUGGCUUCUUUCAAUUUAUGCCUUCUCUCAAAGUUUUGAAGAUGUCAAACUGUUCGAAUUUGAAAUUACCUGUUGGGAUGUCAGAGUUGGGUUCAUCACUAGAACUUCUUGAUAUUUCAGAAAACAGCACAAGAGAGUUACCGGAAGAGUUAAAGAAGUUGGUAAAUCUGAAAUGUUUGAAUUUGAGGUGGACAGAGCAUUUAAAUAAAAUUCCACGGCAACUAAUAUCAAAUUCUUCAAGGUUACGUGUGUUGAGAAUGUUCGCUACUGGCCGGUUCAAUUUUCAUGAAGCACCAGAAGACAGCGUUUUAUUUGGUGGGGGUGAAGUUUUGAUACAGGAAUUGCUCGGUUUGAAAUAUUUAGAGGUAUUGGAGUUGACCUUGGGAAGUUAUCAUGCUCUCCAAAUUCUUUUGAGCUCAAAUAAGUUAAAAAGUUGUAUUCGAUCUCUUUACCUCGAGUUGACCGGAGAUACAACGUCAAUUAUUGAUGCUACGGCUUUCGCAGAUCUAAACCACCUCAAUGAAUUACGGAUUGAUAAUGGUAUUGAGUUGGAAGAGUUGAAGAUUGAUUAUACGGAGAUAGUACGAAAAAGGCGGGAACCUUUUGUUUUCCGCAGCCUUCAACGUGUUACCAUAGCGGAGUGCCAUAAAUUGAAAGAUGUGACAUUCCUCGUUUUUGCUCCAAACCUCAAGUCUCUUCGGCUAUUCUAUUGCGGUGCUAUGGAAGAAAUAAUCAGCGUCGGAAAAUUUGCUGAGACUCCUGAGAUGAUGGGACAUAUAAGCCCUUUUGAAAAUCUCCAAAUGCUUGAUUUACAAGGUUUGCCACAUUUGAAGAGCAUCUUCUGGAAGCCAUUGCCUUUCACUCAUCUGAAAGAAAUGGAGGUACUUAGGUGCGAUCGGCUUGAAAAGCUUCCACUCGAUUCCAACAGUGCAAAGGAGCGCAAAUUUGUUAUUCGUGGAGAAGAAGACUGGUGGAACCGACUUCAAUGGGAGGAUGAAGCCACUCAAAUUGCUUUUCGUUCCUGUUUUAAAAGUGAUGCUUUAUUUAUAUCUUAUUCGUGAAAAGUGAUUUAAUUUCCUGCCAAAAGACGAACGAGAAGAACAAUAGAGUCAAACUAAUGCUCACAUAAAUUUCCCGUAAGAAUAUAUAAUUAGAUUGGAAUGCACACCUCUAGAUUGAACAGAAUUAAAGCUGAGAAAAUAUUGAGUAUAGUAGCCCUCUUUACAGAAAAUGACGUGAAAGUUAAUUUAGAAAGAUAUAUUCUUGAUUAAUCCAUUUUCUGAAGUUUUUAUUUUGUAUGGUCAAUUAUACCUUCAUACUAAAAAUUUCUGAAGUUAUAAAUUAGUGCAACUUGACAAUUUUUACUGAUGAUAUCUUCUAUUUUUCCCUUUUUUUUUUUUUCACUUUCAUAGACUGGCAGCGGAUCCUGCGGCACCAAUUUGAGAGAAUAUACUGACACUACUUCGAACAGCAAGCAGAAGAAGUAAUAUGUCUACGGCAAAGGCAAUGGAGUCCUCAUUUUGGCUCGAGAUGCAGUAAUCAUCGAAGAGAGUUUCCUUGUGAAACUGGGCAACACAUUGAAUCCCUUCACCACUGAGAAGGUUGUGGAGGAAGUAAGCUUUCUCUCCAGUGAGGAAGAGGUGGCAUAUACCUUCCCCAUUUUGUUGAGGGCAGGUAGGAAUCUUUUUUCUAAGAGAUUUACUUCGUUCUCUGUAAGAAAUGCUUUGAACUUCAUCCCUCUGUCUCUAUCCUCACUUAUCAGGAAAUAAGUUGAAAGCACUAUGAAGAGAGAGAGAGAGAGAGAGAGAGAGAGAGAGAGAGAGAAUUAAGAUAUAUAGACAAGAAAAAUAUUUGACGUUGAUCUUACAAACUAAUACUUCAAGCAGUAUCCUAGAAAGCUAAAAACUGCAAGAUGGCUUGAAAUUUGAAAAGAGCACAUGCUUUUCCUCCUUAACUUGAGAAAAUGUUUAAUAUAGUGCACCUUACAGAAGCAUUUAAGCAAUUAGAACUUUGCACAAAAACAUCAAGAAGACUAAACAAGUCAGAUGCAGUGUAUUUGUCCAAGCACAAAUUGCAUUUUUUCCUCAACUUUAAUAUUUAUUGAUGAGAAUCAAUACAGGUCCCUCAUUUGUUAUAGAAAGCUUUCUUUCUUGUAGUCUCACCAGUUAAUUCAGAGGUCUAUAAUCAUCUUGCAAAGUUAAGGGCAUUUCUUUUGAUCUAAAGUCUUUGCAUCACCACCUCAUCACACGCCAAGCCAAUAUUCCAUUUACCUCUACAACAAAAAGUUUUAAUUAAACAAUCCUAAUGCACGCAGCCAAAUAAAAUGCAGUAAGAAUAUUCAACUUAAAAAUCUGAAAGCCAACUUGGUGAAUUGCCUCCUUAGGUGAAGUUCCAUGCUUUACUAUAGUUGACAGAACUCAGCAAAAGCUUCCAUACAACAGAUUUUGAAAAUGAUGAUGCCAACAGAUACUCAUUCAAUGCAUUGAAACUCCAAAGGUUCAUUGUUCAUAGAAGUUUACAGAGUUUUGGUCAUCAAAUAGCUCAGACCUAAUCCCAAACAAAAAAUGAGUGAAAAUUAGAUCACGAGCAGCUAAUUGUAAAUUCUAACUUAACUCUUCAUCUCCUUUGUAAACAAGAAACAAAAUGGAGACACGCAAAAUGAAUAUGGAGAAAAUUUGAACUCAAAUGAAAUGAGGGCAUGAAAGCAAACAAAUGGCAUGCACCAAAAAACCAAGCCUCAAUCAAAAACUAAUUAACCAUUAAGAAAAAAAUUGGUCAGAGAAUGAACUCCAAAUUCAGGAGUCAAGCAAGAAGCUUUCAUUAUUAUCAAAGUCAAUUAUCUUUGUUAGUAUGCGAGUGUGACGACUAUAGGUUGUUCUUUUUCUAAUGUCAUAUGAUUCCAAUUUUAGGUACAGGGCAUCUCUCUCUCUCUCUCUCAUCGCUAAGUGGAUAUUUUUCUCUUUUGUCAUAUACUUUAGUUAUUCUUCAAUUUACUAACUAAAAUGAAGGCCGCUUUAUUAAGAAGUUAUAUCCAGUUAUAUAAUUUGUUGUAUUUAAUAUAUGUUUGGGCUCAUAAUUUUUUUUAAAAAUAUAUAUUUCAUUCUCCAUAAUUUUUUCCCAUCAUAGCUACGAAACGUCUUAGUUUCGACUAAAAUCCUAAAAUUGGUCCUUAAUUGAAUAUGCAUUGCAAUUUGCAAAUGUAAUAUUGUGAAUGGGACACUGGAGAUACCAAAAUGGUCAAAUGCGAAAUAAGUUAGGAUUGUACGAUGUAGUUUGUAUUCAUAUUCAAUGCCUUUUUUUUCAAAAAACAAAUUGAAAUGCCAUUACUAAACGAUUCUUGAUGAUGGGAGCCACCGUGCCAGCUUUGUCGCUGAUUUGGUAUUAUUCUUAACUUGCAGAUAGUUGUGGAUAUGAUAUGCAAAAAGGUAAGGACUAUAUCUUCUUGAUGGAGGCCUCUGAUUUUUUCCCUUCUAUGUAAUUUAGUAAAUCGCAUUUUCCCUUGUGAUUGAUAUAUCAUACCAAAGUCAAGUCUUAAAUACUGCUGUCAUAUGUUAAGGUUCAACUUCCAUUUUGAUUAACGUCCAUUUGCUGCUGCUUCCAAAAGUGAGAAUGAGAUACUUUGGUUAAUUUCAGUAGUUGAACCCAAUAGAGUACUUUAUUUAGAUCUUCAUGGUUCAAAGGCCUGAAAAAACUUGCCGGUAUUUGCAAAAUGACAUUCUGUGCUUUUAUUUAGGCUUAUUAUUUAAGUGAUAAAAACUCCCGUAACCUGCUGUCAAGAAAAUUUCAGAUUGUUAAAAGACAACAUUUUGUUUCAGCCAAAAAUGUUUGUUUCGAUUAAAGACUUGAACCAUUUUCAUUUAACCUUGAUUGUGAUGCUUUACAUUAUGCAUGUUCCUCUCAAUCAAUAAAAGUUGAGGUCAUGAUUUUAUAUUUCUAUUUUGUAACUUGAAAUAAUUGGUCUGCCUGUUUCUGUAGCUUGAUAACAUGAAUUUUUCCUUCUGAAGUUAAUUUGAUCAAUAAAGUAAUUCUUCGGAGAUGAUAUGCCCAUUCUAUAGUCAUUUUCUUAGGUAACAUGUUUUUUCUUCACUCUUCAGAGCAUGUCUAAACUAAUUGAUCGCUCAGCGGAGACUUUGGGUGAGAAGACAAAAUUUCUUGGUAAAUCCUCUAAAAAGGUAUGCAUAAUUCCCGAGUAUUAAAUAAUCAUUGGUCAUAAUUUUUGUACACAACUCUUUUUUUGGAGAUCGUUAAAAGUGGUUGAUGAUCUAUUUUGUAAUAUCAUAGAGGGAUCAUGAAUUCCUGUUCUUUUCUGUGGCUAGGCAACACUUUCGGGCCAAGCUAAGGAAAUCUAUUUUAGGUAAUGUGAAAACCAGUUGUAGGAUGUAAUAGUUUAUUAUGCCCUGACAAUAACUUUUUGUAUAAUUGUCAGUUUAAUGAAUACAAGAGGAACUCUGUUGGCAAAUUCAUCCAUGAUAGAUGCUAAAAGUAUUUAUGCAUACCAGUUGCCUUAACUAAUUUUUCUCAACACUGGUAUUGAACAGGAAAAUGAAUAUGCAAUUUGUAUAUUGUGCCAUUGUGGAGAAUUUGGAUAUUCUUAUUUAAGUAACAAGGAGAGUAUUUGCCUCAUCUUUAAACAAUGAAUCUUUGAGAAAUGAGGAGUGGGUGAUUGGCAGUGUCUUCAUGUAAAUGUUCAUUUAUUUGUAUUUUGAACUAUUAUGAGAAUCUUUGUAUGCCAAAUUAGUAAUACAAAUGUUCAGAUGAUUUUUCCUGUUGAUCAUGCGUGUGUAUCUGCACACAACCAUUGUGUCCCACUUUAUUCUGAUGCACAAAUAUCUGUAGUUUAGAAGAAAAGAAAUAAUAAUCAUAUAUUAUUGCUUGGUUCAUGAUUAUUAAACGAUUAUGGCUUUAGAAAAUCCACAAAUCCUUUGUGUUCAUAUAUGAAUGUGCGAAGUUUGCUAUCUCUUAGAUUACCUUCUUCCAAGAUAACAAGUUCAUAUAUUUUUUUUAAUCCUUUUUCAUCACAGUUGAAUUUCAAGUGUAAGUUUUGUUAUUAAUAGCUGGUUUCCUGUUAUUAUGAUUUCAUAAACAGUGAGAGGAUAUGUGCUCUACUUUUGGAGGGCCUCCACAUGAAAGAAAAUUGCAACAAUUGAAUUCUUCCGGAGGGUAUGGUAUUUAAUUUAUUUUCUCAGCUUGUUGUAAGACUAAUAUAUUUCCUUCAGUACCCAAAAGGACAGAAAUGAAUUACGGAAGGAAGUUUUUGCUGCUUUAUUUAGUGCUGCUGAGAAAUCUGAUGGAUUUCCUGAAAUUACGGUGAAGACGGAGUGGAGGUCCAACGCAUUAGGAAAGGUGGUGAGUGAACCGCCGGAGGAAUUAGUACCAGAAUACAAGGCUAAUGUGGUGCACUUGCAGCAAGAUGACCAGACCUGUAUGUGCUCUUAUAUUAACUAUAUUGGUUGGAUUUGUGAGUGUGUACAUUUUUGUGUGUAUACUCACAUUUGUAUUUAUGCAUAUUAACGUGUGUAGGAUUCUUGAUUUCUGCCACUUACUGGAGAACUAGUGGAAAGCUUUAUACUGAUAUAUGUGCUAUAACUAAUGGAAACUACAAUAUGAAUAUUUUCUCUCACCUGGAGAACUGUGUAACAGAUAUAAUUUGUGGCUCUGGAAUACUGAAGAUUCUGCAAUAACUAAUGGAAAAUAUGAUAUGAAUAUUUUUUCUCACCUGGAGAACUUUGUAACAGAUACAUUUUGUGGCUCUGGAAUGUCUAAAGAAUGCUUCAGUUUAGAUCAAAUAUCUUUUAGUUAGAAAAGAUAAAAUUCUCUGAAUCUGAAAGACUGAAACAUUUUGCAUAUUUUGUGAAAGGGAAGUAUCUGUAGAUACUAGCUCAUGCAUUGAGGUAAUAUCAAUGUUAAAGAAAAACAGCAAUAAUUUAUUAUACAGAAUUAGGUUCACUUGCUUUAAAUGCUGGUCUGAUCAACCAUAACAACCUGUAAUGGUCCUGCAGAAAUAUAUAUACGGGGAGAAACUAGCUAAAUUUUCCUUUCACUUAUGGGUUUGGUCUUUUUUUCCCCUAUUUUUCAGCUUUCCUUCUCCUGAAGUAUGUUAACAAUUGCAGAUAAUGACGAAGAGGACCGCUUCCAGGCUCUUUGUAGAGCUGUGAUGGAAUAUAGGGGCACAAUGAAAGAAUAUUGUAAGGUUGUAUGUACUUUCUCUCUUGUCAUUUAUGUUUUCUCACACAUUUUGUUUAUGCCCUGAACAUGCAGCUUUGUAUGUGUCAAUUGCCUUUUACGUUUUAAAAGCCAUAAAGUAAGAAUACAGUUCCUUGUCAGGCUAUUGAUGCGUUCGCUCAGAAGGGUCAUGUUCAAGCAGGAAAACUUCUAGAACAGGUAAGGUUUCCAUCUACAGCCAUCCAUUGACAGCAGAUAUAUUUUCAUUAAGCAGACACUGUUAGCAUUCAAGAUGCUGGCAGAUUCACUUGAUUCUUAUUAGUUUGUUUAGUGGCAAGGCAUAUAACCUGUAUUUCAAAGCCAAGUUGUGCUAUUGAUUAUGUUAACUUUAUUGUUAACAUAAAGUGAUAUGGAGGACAUAAUCAAUGUAGGAAAAUUAGGUGAAGAGAUGAUGUCAAAUCUUGAACCUCUUACAAAGCUCCAAGUUCUUUACUUGAAGAAGCUGCCAAAUUUGAAGAGCGUCUACUGGAAGGCAUUUCCAUUCCCAGAUGUAUGCAGAAUUUUUGUAUUAAUGCCCAGUUCUUAAGAACCUGCCACUGGAUUUUCAAGGGGUGGGCCAAGGUAAAAUUCUUAUCAAGGGAAAGGAAGAUUGGUGGAAAGAACUUCAAUGGGAGGAUCAAGCAACUCAGAAUGCAUUGCUUCCAUUUUUCAAAUCAACUGACAAGUGAUUGAAGGGGGCAUCAUCAACAUCAUCAACAGAGAUGGAGAGAUUCUGGAGCAGAUCAGCAGGGUUUGUAUAUGAUCUUUGGUGGUUGCUUUCUUUUGUGAUUUUUUUUUUCUUCCUGUCAUUUUAUCAUUUCUUUGUCUCUUUUUUUAUUGCUGAUGUUAGUGUAUGCUUACUGUUGCUUGACAAAGUUCGCUUGCUUCUUGUUUAUUAAAUUUUUUAUCGUCACAAAAUAUUACUUGUUCUAUUUGAGAGUGAUGUGAAUCAAUUUUCAAUUAUAUAUUUUGUGGUCAAUGUGAAUUCAAUUUCAUUUGUCUCCUGCAAUUAUGAGAAAACUGCAGAGUCAUAAUAUGGAAAAGUACACCAGCAAAAACUUUGUAAAAGCUUCGGAGUGAAACAGGGAAUUCACUUACUACUAAGAACAAUUGAUGGCGAGUUAUUCCAUUCAUUUUAUGUCCAUCUAUCUAUUUAAUUAUUAAAGAUAAAUGGUCCAUUUAUAAAUUUCAGAUUGUCUCUCUCUGAAAAUAACAAUAUUUAAAAUAUCUCUUAAAUUAUUAUAAAUUUUAAUACACUCUCGAUUUAAAAUGGAACAUGCUGAUGAAAUUGUUUUCUUCUUAAUAAAAUUGAAAUAAAUUGUGUUUGCAGUAGUUUGAAAUAUUUUAAAGAUUAUUAUUUUAUAAGGGAGUAAUAUGAAAUGAAAUUUACUUUUCAUGCGUGAAAUGUUGAAAAAGGACAAAGCAAGUGUCCCUGCUUUUAUUUUUAUUUUAAAGUGGAGUCAUCUCACAUACUUUAGCUCUAUCAUUACAAUUUUUCAGGUUACAUUUUUAUUAUUUAUUUAUUUUCUUUUUUACACAUGCAUGUGGGUUACUUUUCCGUAAGCUCCUCAAUAUAUAUUGAACCCAGCGAAGAAUGUUAUGGAAGAGCAAAUUAAUGAUAUUUCUGAUAGAGUCUAUUUGAUUAUGUAGCCUGAAUGGAUGUCUUGUUGAAAGAUAUCUCAGUGCAUUAGUUCAUCCUUGUCUGUCAAUGUGUUUUUAAUGGUUUUUCCAAUUGUUUAUUAUUAUAGAUUGAUUGUAAAUUGAUAUGAAAAUUUGAUAUGAAUUUAAUGUUGAAAUGUUUUCUCUUUAGUGGAAUGAAUUUAAAAGUGCAAAAGAUUAUUGCACACAGAGAAAUAAACAUAUAUGCUUUAUAACUUUAGCAAUCGAUUCUUUUACAGCUGGAAACAGAGAUGAUGAUUAUCAUAAGGAUGAAGAAAAGUAGUGCGUUAGACGAUUAGACUCUCUUAUUAAAGGCAAGUAUAAAGUAGUGAAGAAUCCAAUAUCUCUAUUGUCUAGUCUUUUGUUUAAUUCUUCUUUUAUUAUUUUUCAGAAUAAUUUUUGGUGAUUACAAUCGGGUUAUUAUUCAGAGUUAUUGUUAUCUUCUGGGGCAGUUUCUGUUCAUCGAAUUCAUUAAUUAAAAUUUUAGAACUCUUAUCAGAAGAAUAUUUUUCGGUUAUCUUUUUUAUGUUCUAAUUCCAAUUGUAAGAAGUAGCCAUUUUAGAAUUUGGGUCUUGAAUCGAAUUUCAAUGCAUGAAUUAAUAUUAAAAAAAAAAAAUUCACUACUCGCAGUUUAGGUUACAAAUUACUUUUUGGAAAGUUGACUUUGGAAUGUUUGCAAAGAAAGAGACUAACAUAUUUCCAAUUACACUAAAUCUCUAUUAUGAUAAUGUUAAGACUAAAUUAAUUUAAAUAAUUUUUAUUUGAAAAUUAUAUCAAACGCAGUCUAAUUUUAUUAAUUUUAAGAAAUAAUAAUUAUAAAAAUUAUUGUUCUGACUUAAUUAAUACAAGUGAUAUAAAAGUUAAGUGUGCACUAAAUCUGUUUUAAUUUUUUCCAGUAUAACUAACAGAGGUCAUUACUAGAAUUAUAUUACUAGUCUAUUAGAUAGAAAAAAUUACUUAUAUUGUUUUAUAUUUAUUAAAAAAUUUAAAGCCAAUUUUUUUAAUUACUAUUUAAAGAAUAUUAUAAUUUGAAAAAUUUUAAUAUCUUUAUUAAAAAUUUAGAAAUUUACAGUCCUCUAAAUAUUUAAGGCGUAACUGUCAUUUUCUCAAGAAGCUUUAUUUAAUAUUAUUGAUUUAAAUAAUAUCUUAUUAAAAAUGUACUGAGGAGAAAUUUUGGUGGGUAUUUUAGUCUUUUCAGCAAUCAUCAUGAUUAACCUUUGGUUGGCCUUGAAACGUCGGUCAGAAAAGUUUUAAAAUGCUUAAUUGUUUUUCACUGUUAACGUUAGUGGCCUUGAAAUUGCUUAUAUUUUAUUAAAAAUUAAUGCUAACAAGAAAAAACUAGAUCGUAUUCCACCCCCAAAGCAAAAGUGAUAAAACAACCGGCUGUAUUCUUUUAUUAAACUACAAAUUAAAAUGGAUUUCUUUAAUUAAAGUGGAUAUCAUUUAAUUAAUGUUUGAACAUUAAAGUUCUGAUAUAUAACCACUAUGCCGACCACCUAAUUGCUGCUAUUUAAUUUCGUUCCAGUUCUCUCUCUCUCUCUUUUUCUUUUUUUUUUGGGCCAAGCAAUAAAUAGUAAAAAUUCAAUAAAAGCAAUAUUAAUGCUGCAAGUGAGUCAUGUUAUUUAUUGUCAAUUAGGAAAUGUGAACCUAAUUUGAUUGCAUCCCUUUAAUCAUUUAAUAAUUAUGUAAGCACCAUCCCUUUAAUUAUUUAAUAACUAGAAAAUAGAACACUGCGUUUCACGCGGCUUUGAAAAAAGAAUUUAGUAUUAUCUUUUUUUCUUACUUUACACUUGAUGAAACUGAUAAAAAAUAUGAAUUGAUUUUUUUUAAAGAUGAGGCAGCCUUAUAAAAAAUAAAAAAAGCUAUUAGCCAGCAAUACAAAUAAAGAAGGAAUGCAAGAUAAAGAAUAAAAUGAGAGAAUAUAUUAUAGAGUGAUCUUAUUCAUUCUAAUUGUGUGUGUACAAAACAAAAAGAUGAGCUCUCCUUUUAUAACUACAUAAUUACUUCAUGAAAUUAAUGAAAAAUUAUGAAUCAUAAUUUCUUGUGAGAUAGUGGGAGUUAUUGGGAAGCUAAAAGUUGCUAAUGGGAGAUAGUGGGGAGACUAAGAGAUAUAUAUUAUGAACAUCUACAUUUAUUUUAAUAAAUUCAUAACACUCCCCCUUAAAUGUUCAUUACAAAGAAUAUGCCUCAUUAAAAUCUUUACAUAAUUGUUAUUGUGUAAUAACAAUCAAAUUAAUUAUAAGAAGAUGAAAAGCCAAAUCUAACAGAAAAUUUCUCUAUUUAUUAGAUAAUAGAGAAUAUAGCAAGAUGAGAAAUGGUAAUGCCACAUCAUCUCCUCACGUCCCAACUUUAUAUAUAUAUAUAUAGAUAAUAUAUAUUAUUCCUGUCCUACAUUCACAUAUUUAAUUGUCCUUUUGAAAAUAUUCAUGAGUUAGGCCAAGUAAAGUCAAAGAAAUUGGGAAAAAGGAACAAAAGGACAAACCUAAAUUAAUUGAACCUAAUUCAUGAAAAUGCACACUUUUGUGUUGCGGACGGCGGACCCUAAAGCUUCGUUGUUUGCAGCUGCAAUUAAUUCUUUUCCUUCAAAAGUUAGAGGCUCGUGUUUACAGUGGGUCCCGAAUCGGACGUACCUAAUAAAUCUUUUAAAAAAAUUUGCCGUAUAAAGGACAGAGGUCAUUACUGAAAUUUCUCUUCCACGGGCAAUUACAGCAGCUUCAGUUAAUCAAACUCAAAUCAAUUUUCUUUCUUAACAAAAUAUUCCAAAGAUGUGUAGCAUUUUUCAGAUCACAUGCGAUGGUGCUUUUUUCAAUCGUUGCUUGGAUUGCUUUCUUGGAAAAGCAGCAUACAUACGUAACCUCCAAGAUAAUCUUGUAGCCUUGGACACUGAAUUGGGAAAUCUGAUCGCUAAAAAGAACGAUGUGAUGAGGAGGGUUGUCGAUGCUGAACGGCAACAAAUGAGAAGGCUGGACGGAGUGCAAGUGUGGGUUUCGAGGCUCGAUGCUGUUAAAACUGAAGCCGAUGAACUUAUCACAGACGGCUCUCGAGAAAUUGAAAAAUUAUGUGUUGGAGGCUACUGUUCCAAGAACUGCAGGUCAAGCUACAAAUUCGGAAAACAAGUGGCAAGAAAGCUACGAGAUGUGGAGACUUUAAUCGCCGAGGGAGUUUUUGAGUCGGUGGCUGAGAGAGCUCCGGAACCUGUGGCAGAUAAAAGACCCACUGAGCCAACAAUAGUAGGCUUGCAAUCACAGCUUGAACAAGUUUGGAGAUGUCUUCUUGUAGAAGAAUCAGCGGGAAUCAUUGGCCUAUAUGGUAUGGGCGGUGUUGGUAAAACCACACUGUUGACCCAUAUCAACAAUAAAUUUCUUGAGAGUCCCACCAACUUUGAUUGUGUGAUUUGGGUCGUAGUUUCAAAAGACCUGCGACUUGAAAAAAUUCAAGAAGAUAUUGGGAAGAAGAUAGGUCUGUUUGAUGGUUCGUGGAAGAAUAAAAGUGUUGAGGAGAAAGCCGUAGACAUCUUGCGGAGAUUAGGAGAGAAGAGGUUUGUAUUGUUGUUAGAUGAUUUAUGGGAGCGGGUUGAUUUAACAGAAGUGGGCGUUCCACUUCCCAGCCCACAAAAAUACUACAUCAAAGUCGUAUUCACGACCCGUUUCAUUGAUGUGUGUGGUAGCAUGGAAAGUCACAGGAAGUUUAAAGUGGCAUGCUUAUCAGAAGAGGAUGCUUGGGAGCUGUUUCGAGGAAAAGUAAGGCAAGAAACUCUUGAGAGUCAUCAUGAUAUCGUUGAGCUAGCCCAAACUGUGGCCAGAGAGUGUGGCGGUUUGCCACUCGCGCUUAAAACUAUAGGUCGAUCUAUGGCCUACAGAAAGACAGCUAAGGAGUGGAGACAUGCAAUUGAAAUGUUAAGGAGAUCAGCUUCAGAGUUUGCAGGUUUGGGAGAAAAGGUGUAUCGUCUUUUAAAGUUUAGCUAUGAUAGUUUGCAGAAUGAUACGAUUAGAUCUUGUUUCUUAUAUUGUUGUUUGUAUCCUGAAGAUUAUGGCAUUCUUAAAUGGGAUUUGAUUGAUUGUUGGAUUGGUGAGGGAUUCUUAGAGGAAUCUGACAGGUUUAGUGCAGAAAACCAAGGAUACUACAUUGUGGGCACUCUUGUUCAUGCAUGUUUAUUAGAAGAGGUGGAAGAUGAUAAAGUAAAAAUGCAUGACGUUGUUCGUGAUAUGGCUAUAUGGAUAACCGGUGAAAUUGAGAAGGAGAAGCGAAACUUUUUGGUUUGUGCAGGUGCUGGAUUAAAAGAGGCACCGGAUGUUGAAGUAUGGGAAAAUGUGAGAAGAUUGUCAUUGAUGCAAAACCAAAUUGAAACUCUGUCAGAGGUUCCCACAUGCCCUCAUCUUCUCACUUUAUUUCUUGACUUUAAUAGGGAGUUGAAGACUAUUGCGGAUGGCUUCUUCCGAUGUAUGCCUUCUCUCAAAGUUUUGAAGAUGUCAAACUCUGGAAAGCCUUGGAAAGGUUUGGAAUUAAAUUUGGGGAUGCCAAAGUUGGGUUCACUACAGCUUCUUGAUAUUUCACACACCUGCAUACAAGAUUUACCGCAAGAAUUAAAGUUGUUGGUAAAUCUGAAAUGUUUGAAUUUGAGGCGGACAAUUUGGUUAAAUAAAAUUUCAUGGCAACUAAUAUCAAAUUUUUCAAGGUUACGUGUGUUGAGAAUGUUCGCUACUGGCUGGUUCAAUUUUCAUGAAGCACCAGAAGACAGCGUUUUAUUUGGUGGGGGUGAAGUUUUGAUACAGGAAUUGCUCGGUUUGAAAUAUUUAGAGGUAUUGGAGUUGACCUUGGGAAGUUAUCAUGCUCUCCAAAUUCUUUUCAGCUCAAAUAAGCUAAAAAGUUGUAUUCGAUCUCUUUACCUCCAGUUGACCGGAGAUACAGCGUUAAUUAUUGAUGCUACGGCUUUCGCAGAUCUAAAACACCUCAAUGAAUUACGCAUUGAGUCGGCUACAAAGCUGAAAGAAUUGACGGCUGAUUAUACAGAGAUAGUUCGAAAAAGGCGGGAACCUUUUGUUUUCCGCAGCCUUCACCAUGUUACUAUACAAAGCUGCCAGAAGUUGAAAGAUUCGACAUUCCUCGUUUUUGCUCCAAACCUCAAGUCUCUUUCGAUAGUCAAAUGCAAUGCUAUGGAAGAAAUAAUCAGCGUCGGAAAAUUUGCUGAGACUCCUGAGAUGAUGGGACAUAUAAGUCCUUUUGAAAAUCUCCAAAUGAUUGAUUUACUAGGUUUGCCACAUUUGAAGAGCAUCUUCUGGAAGCCAUUGCCUUUCACUCAUCUGAAAGAAAUAUCUGUGCGUUAUUGCCCUAAUCUUAAAAAGCUUCCACUCGAUUCCAACAGUGCAAAGGAGCGUAAAUUUGUUAUUCGUGGAGAAGAAGACUGGUGGAACCCACUUCAAUGGGAGGAUGAAGCCACUCAAAUUGCUUUUCGUUCCUGUUUCCAACCCUUGUUCCUGAACAGUGGUCGCAAAAUUUGAUUUCUGGUGAGUGCGUUUGUCUUUUAAAAAGAAUAAUUUAAAAGAAAUUUAUUCUUGUCGGUUUCUUCACUGUUUUUAUUUCAGUUUCUCUCUCUCUCUCUCUCUCUCUCUCUUUUUGUCUUCUGCAAAUCACAAUUACAUUUUUAUUCUUGUCGUUUUCUUCACUGUUUUUAUUUCAGUUUCUCUCUCUCUCUCUCUCUCUCUUUUUGUCUUCUGCAAAUCACAAUCAAAUGUUGAAUUAAUGGAAUUAAUGCUUCAUAAAUUUGCCGGCACUGCCAUUACUUUUUUUUGGGGGAUCGAAUUGAUACUUUAUUUAUAUCUUCUUAGCGAUUUAAUUUCCUGUCAAAAGACGAACGAGAAGAACAUAUGACUUAAACCAAUGCUCGCAUAAACUUGCUGUAAAAAGAUAUAAUCUCACUGAAAUGCACACGCCUAGAAUGAAUAGAAUUAAAACAGGGAAAAUAUUAAGUAUAUUAGCCCUCUUUACUGAAAAUCAAAUGACAGUAAAUUUUUUGAAGUUUUGAUUUUCUAUGGUCAAUUCCACCUUUUGCAAUUUCUUCUGUUCUAACAAAAACCAAUUUCUUUGUUCAAGUAUUUUCGUUUGGAUAUUAAUAAUUCUCCACCGAAAGAGUGAACUCUUGCUCAAAGGGAUCUCUAAUAAUACAUAACAUGAUUAUUUUCGUUUGAAUAAUUGAUUUCUUGAUUGAAUUGUCGUGUAAUUGAUUUAUGGGGGAUGACACAUCAACAUACUUGAAAAUACACUAAUCUCAGCAUCAUCGGUUAAUAACUUUUAGAUUUAUGGGUAAUCAAUAGUUAAGAUUAGUUGUCAUUAAUACUAAAUAAUUUUUACUUUUUUUGUCUCUUCUAGAGGAUCUUCUAGAAAAAUGCAUCCACAAUUAAAUUUAAUACUUUACAUAAUAAACAAAGCCUAAAUGUUAAAUUUAAGAAACUGCAUUGUAUUUCAGUUGAAGUUGACUUUAAUAUUUAGGGUAGAAAAACAAUUAAUUUUAUUUUUUGAAAUGUCCAUAUUCAGAGCACAUUUCAAAAAGACUCAAUAAUUUCUCAUAAAUUUCAAUUAAAAAUAUUCAAUUUGUUGUUUCAGUUCUUUUAUUUUUUAUUUUUUCCGACAUGAAAGCGACUUAAUGUUACUAAAUUGGGUGGUCUUUGGAUUUUCAUGACCCAAUAAUUGGAACAAAACAAUUUUCUCAAGCGCUCUCCCGCAACAUUUUAUAAUUGAAGCCGCUGCCCCGCCCGUGGUUUCAAACUUUUUUCUUUCUCCUUGUUUAAAUUAAUGGGAGCAGCCUCCGUCCUUGACUAGUUGACUGCUUGUCUUCUUUUUUUUAUUAAUUAAUUAAUUCAGCCGCCCCCCUUUCUUGUCCCAAUAUCUUCUACUUUCGGUUUCCUUUUAUUAUCUCUUUAUUUUUAAAAAAUGCUUAUAAUAAUAAUAAAAUAUAAAAUAUAAAAAUAAAAAUAUAAUUUAUCAGAAAAUUAAGAUAAAGAAAUAUUAUAAGCACAUCAAUCAACAAGUGAAAAAAAAACAAUUUUAAUUUACAUUAAAUAUAAACUUUCAGUGUUAAUCAACUUUUCUAAAUAACUAAAUUAAAAAAUUAAUUGAUUUAAUUGUGGUGUAAUUGAUUUGUAGGGGAUGAAUCAGCAGCAUCAUCGGUUAACGCUUUCAGAUUUAUAGUUAAUCAAUAGUUGAGAGUUGUUAUCACUAACGCCGUGUAUUUUUUAAUGUUUUUUCUCUCUCCUACAGCAUCUUCUAGGAAAGUGCAUCCGUUGCUAAAAUUUAGUAUCGUAAAUAAUAAACCAAGAAUAAAUAUUAAAUCUAAGAAACUGUAUUGCAUUUAAUAUUUAAGGGAGAAAAAUAAUUAUAGUGUCUUUAUUAAUCAGUAAAAAAAAAAAUUAGAAUCAUAAUAAAUUGUAUUGUUAUUGAUGUAUUUAUUUUAUUUUAUACUCAAAAUAAAUUAUUUUAAAUUAUUAAAAUAAUUUAAAAUUAGUAUUUUAUUUUAUACUCAAAAUAAAUAAUUUAAAAUUUUCAUUUCUUGUUUAUUUCGCAAGUUGUUAUUGCCUAAUGCUAUGUCAACUCGAACAUUAGCAUUUUUUUUUUUGGUCCUCUUUUAACGCAAAAUUAGUGUAGGUUAAGUAACAUAAUCAAUAUUAGGACAAUUUGAAAUCCCUAUGGGUGCGUUUGGUACACUGUAUUGUAUUAUACUGUAUUGCAUUAUUUUAAUGCUGAUGUAUUGUAUUAUGUUGUAUUGCAUUAGCACUGUAUUAUAACAAUGCUAUACAAUAUUUGGUGUUACAUUGUACUGUAUUAGAUUUUAAUUAUAUUAUAUUUAGUGUUACAAUUGUUGUAACAUAAACACGACCAAAAUAAAUUGUACUAAAUAAUCUAAGUAAGAGUUCUGUAGUAUAUGUAAUAAUACUAUUUAUAUUAUUAUUAUUAAUAAUUCUAAAUUAAUAUUAUUUAAUUUUAUUCAUAUUUAAAUAUGUAUUAUUAGUUUAUUAAAUUAUUUAAAAUAAUUAAUUUAUAUAUAUUAAUUAUUGUAACUUAAUUAAAUAAUGUAAUGCUAUAUUAUAUUUUUAUAUACUAUUUAAGUAUUUAUUAUUAAUUAUAUUUAAUUAUAAAUUUAUUAAUAAAUUAUAAUAUAAAAAUAAAAAAUAAAAAUUAAUAUUGUAUAAUAUUAUAUUAAAUUAAAGUUUUAUUUUUAUUACUAUUAUUAUAAAGUAAAAAAAAAAAAAAGGGAAGCUACUGACUUUUGAAACACAAAAGUCAGUAAUACAACCUAAUCACGAGGGGGGGCGCGGGUUUUGAUAAUGCGGCAAAAGCUGCAUUGUAAUGCUGCUCAAUGCAAUCCAUUUGAUCACCAAACACAGGUAUAUUUUAACUAAUGCUGGGCCCACAAAAUAAUACAAUGCAAUUCCGCAUGCCAAACAUACCCUAUGGGUGCGUUUGGUACACUGUAUUGUAUUAUACUGUAUUGUAUUAUUUUAAUGCUGGUGUAUUGUAUUAUGCUGUAUUGCGUUAGCAUUGUAUUAUAAUAAUGUUGUACAAUGUUUGGUGUUACACUGUACUGUAUUAAUUUUUAAUUAAACUAUAUUUGGUGUUAUAUUGUAUUGUAUUAAUUUUUAUAAUUAAUUAAAUUAAAUAAUUAAAAAAUAAUAUUUAUUAAUACUUAGAAAAAUAAUAAAUAUAGAAAUCUUAAUUGUAGAAAUUUAACAAAUUUUUUAGUAAAUAUUAAAAAUUAAUGAUUAAAUUUCUAAAAUUUGUAUUAUAAUUAUGAUAAAAUAAAUUUAUAAAAUUUAAUAUUAUAUGUAAAUAAUAAAUUUAGAUUAUAAUUAAUAUUAUAAUUGUUAAUAUAAAUUAAUAAAUUAUUAUUCAAUAAUAUUCAAUUAUAUUUUAAUUUACAAUAUAUUAUUAUUUUUACAUUUUAAUAUAUUAAUAAAUUUAUAAUUUAACAUAAAUAAUUAUAAAUUUAAAUAAUAUUAAUUUUAAAAUUAAUAUUAAUGUAAAUAAUAUUAUAAUAUUAAUAUAUUAUUUUUAUAUGAAUCAUUAAUAAAUAAAAUAAUAUUAUCAUAUAAUUUAUUUUUAUAUUUUAUUCAUUAUAUUAAUAUUUAAUAAUAAAAUAAUUUAUUUUUAUAAUAUUUUAAUAAAAUAAAUUUGCCUCAAUUGAGGCAUUAACUGUUGCCUCAAUUGAGGCAAAAAGCUUCCGCAUCCCUCGGGUUUGCGUAAUGCGGCCCCAUGCCUCAUUAUGCUGCAUUAUAAUGCAGCAUAAUGAGGUGUCAAAUUUUGCCAAACAUGUUCUUGGUAAUAAACUAAUGUGAAUAGUAGUAUAAUACCACAUAAUCUCAUGCACCAAACACGCCCUAUGUGUAUUAUUCACGGUAUCUAUGAGGGCUUAUCCUUUUGCUAGAACAAACUCUAGCAAAUUGUCAAAUGUGCUUAUCCUUUCCCUUGACGACUCAUUUUAAAAUUGUCACUCAUUUUAAAAUUGUCUUUCAAUGCACAAACACAGACAUAACCGCCGACAUCGAGCACCAAGUUUGGAAUUUAAUUGAUAAGCAUACAUUUGAUAAAUUAAUGAAAAGUUUGGAGAGUAGUUUUGAUCACCCUUGAUUAGGACGGUAUUACAAAAAAGAUCAAAAAGAAAACAUCGUCUCUCUUCACAAAAAUAAAUAUUUUCCGUUAGAAUUUAAUACAAUAAUAUUUUUUUUGAUUAAAAUUUAAUUAAAUACACAAAUAAAUUAUAUAUUUUUUAAAAAAAUUUACACCCAGUCACAAGGCUGGCUAUUAAACUUAAAGGGUGGAAGCUUCGGAGACUAAAGUUGGUAACUUCUCCAAGUGGUCUUAAGUUGACCGGAACUACCCAGACUUUAUGUUUGGUAGCCUAGACCUGAUCGGACCUAGGCCCAAGUUUGGUCUUAAAGUCCACAAUUAAAUUAAAAAAAAAUUAUUUGAUUUGUAAUUGAUUUAUGGGGAAUGAAUCCGCAGCCCUAAAAUUACACCAAUCUUGACAUAAUGACAUCAUCGGUUAAAAACGUUCAGAUUUAUGGUUAAUCAAUGGUUUGAGAUUUGUUAUCAUUAAUGCUAGAUAUUUUUUAACAUUUUUUUCUAUCUCUCUUCUCCUGAAGGAUUUUCUAGGAAAAUGCAUCCACAACAAAAAUUUUAAAUUGUAAACAAUAAACAGAGUAUAAACGUUAAAUCUAAGGAACAUCGCUGCAUUUCAGCUGAAGCGAACUUUAAUAUUUUACGGAGAAAAAUAAUUAAGUCUUUAAUGUGAUUUAUUGAUUAAUAUAUAUGACUAAUUUUUUAAAAGAAGAUGAAGGAUGAAGCUUAAAAAUAUAAAUUAUAGAAUUAAUUUAUCUCUUCAAUAAAUCUAAAGUUUAUUUUUUUUAUUACAUGCUUCUAUUUUAUUUUUAUUCCAUGUUAAUGAAUGGAGAUUUAAAUCCAUUUUGGAUUUAUAAAGAUGUUUAGAUAUUUAAAUCCACGUGUGAUUCCAAACUUGAACCUUUUUUUUUUUUUUUUCUAAUUAAUGCAAACAGCCGCCUCUUUGACUGCUUUUCUUCUUUGUUUAUUAAUUAAUUAAUUCAGCUGCCCACCUUUCUUUUCCUAAUGUUUUCUACUCCCAAAUUUUUUUAAGGACAAGGCUACGUUGCAGACGCUGUACCUAACAGCUGCACCUUCGCCAGCUUAAAAAAGGGUGCAUUUGGUAAGCAACUUUUCUUUCGUGUGCAUAUGUGUCCUGCCACCAUUGGGUGUGUACGUAACAGAUAAUGUACCGUAACAAGCUCCUAUUUUUAAAUUUGUUUAUAAUGAUAAAAUAUAAAAAUUAAGAUUAAAAUGUAAUGUAAUGUAAAAUUAAAGGUGGAAGAGUAUUAAAAUAAGGCUAAACCUAUGUUACGUUUAACGUAACAUACAUUUAAAUAUAUAAAAUAUCAAUGGAAACCCUCAAAUUUUAUGGAAACUAUAUUAAUAAAAUUAAAAGAAAUAUUUUUAAAUCUGAAAGAAGAAAUAAAAGAUAUAAAGCAAGAGAUAGGAAAACUAAAAAUAGAAAUAUCUGUAAAAGAAAAAGGAAAAGAAAAAUUAGAAAUAAAAGAAACAACUCCAACUGAAUCGAAUUCAGACUAAUGGAAGAUGUAUUAGAAACUUUAACUGAAAAAUUCAGUGACAUAAAUCUUAGUGAUUUAGAAGACUUUGAAAAAGAAUAUUAGAUAAAAAUGAAUACUGCUGGAGGACCAGAAAUGAAACCUAAUGUAGCAUAACCAAGUCAUAGAUAUGGUAUAAAUAAAAUGAAAAAUAAACCUUUUUACGAGUAUAUACCUCCUAUUAAAAAUACUCCUUGGAAAAAAGAAUACAAACCAAAUCAAGAUACAUUAACCCCAAUAAAUAAUGCUGGAACAUUUUUAAAUCUAGAUUGUAAGAUAGACAUUCGAAAGGCGUUAGCAGAAUGGGUGUUACAAAUGAAAUUAUUUUUUAUAUUUAACGGGUCAAAGGAUGACUAGAAUGUAGAGACUGAAGAAGAAAAAAUAGAUAUAUUUGUUGAAAUCUUAAUAGCCAGUUUUUCAGGAAAUGUGUUUAAUUGGUGGAGAGGAUUAAGCGAUGAUACACAAAACUUAAUAAAAGAUUCAACCAAAUAGCAUUUAGAAAAAAUAAAGCCUUAGGAAUGGAAAGGAUAACUGAAUACAUAGCUAGUGAAUUUUUAGGAGAAGAUUGGCUAGAAAAAUCGGGCAUAUAUGAAAAUUUAAAAAUUUAUGAUAAAAAGAUCUUAGUGUUUUUAUUAAAAAAUUAAAAUUUACAUGACUAUUUCUUUAAAUAUUUAGGGCAUAUAUGAACCACGGAGGAGAAAAGCUUUAUUUAAUAUUUUAGAAUAGUUUUUGAUCAGUACAAUUGGGUCCUUAUUCAGAAUUAUUGUUCUCUUCCGCAACAGUUUUUGUUUAUCAAAGUCGUCAAUUAAAAUUUUAGAAUUCUUAUCAGAAGAAGUAGUCGUUUUAGAAGUUGGGUCUUGGAUCAAAUUUCUACGAGUGCAUGAAUUAACAAUAAAAAAAUUUCAUUACACACGGUUUAAGCUACAAACUACUAUUUGCACAGUUGACUAUAAAACUUACCUCCAAUUACACUAAACCUCUCUAUUUGGUAACGUUGAGACUAAAUUAAUUUUAUUAGCAUGAAAAGAUGAUAGAAAUAUAAUUAUAAAUAUUAUUGUUGUUAAUCAAUUAGUACAUGUGAUAUAAAGGUUAAAUGUGCACUAUAUUUAAUAAUUAAUUAGUGGAGCAUGUUAAACAAAAUGUUAAUGUAUAUUUAUAUAGUGUUAGGAAUAUGCAAAGUCAAGUCCUCAAUUUGCAUUAUCCUGUAUAGAAUAUUACUCUAAAAAUGUUUUACUAUAAUUGGCUUAGAACAUUUGUAAAGAAAAAUAAUAAUAAAAUAAUAAAUAACAUACACCGUCACAUAGCACCUAGACAAUGAUAGAAAAUUAUUAAAGAGAGUGCAAACAAUUAAUUAGAGAUUUUUAUGAUGACUUUUAAUAUUCAUGAUAAUAACAAAUAAAUACAUGUAUCACUUUUUUAAAAUAUUAAAUUUGACUGCUCCAUUAAUAAAUUAUUAUUGUAAUUCAGACUCUAUCUAUAUAUCCUUGCACUAAGAAUAAUUAAGGUAACGUUUGUUUUUUAACUUAAUGACUUAAAGUGACUUAACUUAAUUAAUUAAGUUAAUUAGAGGUGUUUGUUUUAUAACUUAAUGAGACUUUUUAGAUAAUUUUGACUUAAUAAAAUAAGCUAAUUUUUUUUGGCUUUUUACUUAAUGGAGAAAUCUGAAUUAAGUCAAUUACUUGCUAAUGUCAAAAAUAUCCUUGUUUUAUAAUUUAUUUUUCAUGUCUAUCCCAAAACUCGCCCGUAGAUAUUUACCCCACAUAAAAAUAUCCCUGUUUUUUUCUUUCUUAUAUUAUAUACGAUAAAAUUUGAAAUUUAUAGUAUUUUAUAUAUUAAAAUUCUAAAAUAAUUAUGUAUUCACUUGAAUAUAGUUUUACUUAUAAAUGUUAAAAUAUGAUGGUAUUUAAUAUAUUAUUUAUUUGACAUUCAAAUUUAAUAAGGAUACAAAUGUAAAAGUACAUAUUUUCAGCUUUUUAAAUUGAAAAAAAAUAACUUAAUAUUUAUUUUCUGAGAUUCAGACGAAAAAAUAAACAUAUUAUUCAGAUUCAUACAUUCAGAUCUAUUCAGAAUUCAAACUAAUUCAAGUCUAUUCAAAUUUUAGACAAAAAAAUAAACGCCACCUAAGUCAUAAUAAAAAUUUUCGUAACUACAUCUCGUUUCUUCCUCAUAAUAAUAAUUAGAUUGGUUCGAAUAUUAUAACUAUAUAGAUUUAGUGUAUAGCCACAUCCAAUUUAAAUAUUGACCCAAUUGGGAUGGUCCCCAAAAAAAAAGAUUCGUUAAAGGAUAAUUCUAAUUAUUUUUACUUCUCAAACGUUAGUGGGACGUUUCUAUUAGCGCACUCGUAAGCCAAGUUGUCAAAUAUUUAUACUAAACUACAAUUGCUAACAAGAAAAAUCAAGAUCGUGUUAAGCAAGUGGGUCCCGAAUAGGACGUGCAAAUCUCUCGUAAGUCAAGUUGUCAAAUGUUUAUAUAAAACUAACAAUUACUGACAAGAAAAAUCAAGAUCGUAUUAAAAAUGGGUCCCGAAUAGGAUUAUCUUUUUAAGAAUAUUAUUAUUUUAUUAUUAAAAUUUUAUUAAUAUAACAGUAUUAAAAUUUAUUAAAAAAUAUAUUUUAUUAUUAAAAUUUUAUACCGUUAUCAAUUUAUUAUUAUUUUAUUAAAAAAAUUAAUAUUUAACAAAAAUUGAGAUAAAAAUUAAUUUUUGUUCUCUGUCUUUAUUUAUUUAUUUAUUUUUUUGGGUCUUCUGCAAAUCACAAUCAAAUGUUGAAUUAUAAAUUUGCCGGCAUUGCUUUUUUUUUUUUUUUUGGGCCGGGGGGUGGUGUUGAAUUGAUGCUCUGGGUUUUUGACUUUUGUUGUCAAAUUUUACUCUGUUUUUCCCAAAUUGAUGCUANNNNNNNNNNNNNNNNNNNNNNNNNNNNNNNNNNNNNNNNNNNNNNNNNNNNNNNNNNNNNNNNNNNNNNNNNNNNNNNNNNNNNNNNNNNNNNNNNNNNNNNNNNNNNNNNNNNNNNNNNNNNNNNNNNNNNNNNNNNNNNNNNNNNNNNNNNNNNNNNNNNNNNNNNNNNNNNNNNNNNNNNNNNNNNNNNNNNNNNNNNNNNNNNNNNNNNNNNNNNNNNNNNNNNNNNNNNNNNNNNNNNNNNNNNNNNNNNNNNNNNNNNNNNNNNNNNNNNNNNNNNNNNNNNNNNNNNNNNNNNNNNNNNNNNNNNNNNNNNNNNNNNNNNNNNNNNNNNNNNNNNNNNNNNNNNNNNNNNNNNNNNNNNNNNNNNNNNNNNNNNNNNNNNNNNNNNNNNNNNNNNNNNNNNNNNNNNNNNNNNNNNNNNNNNNNNNNNNNNNNNNNNNNNNNNNNNNNNNNNNNNNNNNNNNNNNNNNNNNNNNNNNNNNNNNNNNNNNNNNNNNNNNNNNNNNNNNNNNNNNNNNNNNNNNNNNNNNNNNNNNNNNNNNNNNNNNNNNNNNNNNNNNNNNNNNNNNNNNNNNNNNNNNNNNNNNNNNNNNNNNNNNNNNNNNNNNNNNNNNNNNNNNNNNNNNNNNNNNNNNNNNNNNNNNNNNNNNNNNNNNNNNNNNNNNNNNNNNNNNNNNNNNNNNNNNNNNNNNNNNNNNNNNNNNNNNNNNNNNNNNNNNNNNNNNNNNNNNNNNNNNNNNNNNNNNNNNNNNNNNNNNNNNNNNNNNNNNNNNNNNNNNNNNNNNNNNNNNNNNNNNNNNNNNNNNNNNNNNNNNNNNNNNNNNNNNNNNNNNNNNNNNNNNNNNNNNNNNNNNNNNNNNNNNNNNNNNNNNNNNNNNNNNNNNNNNNNNNNNNNNNNNNNNNNNNNNNNNNNNNNNNNNNNNNNNNNNNNNNNNNNNNNNNNNNNNNNNNNNNNNNNNNNNNNNNNNNNNNNNNNNNNNNNNNNNNNNNNNNNNNNNNNNNNNNNNNNNNNNNNNNNNNNNNNNNNNNNNNNNNNNNNNNNNNNNNNNNNNNNNNNNNNNNNNNNNNNNNNNNNNNNNNNNNNNNNNNNNNNNNNNNNNNNNNNNNNNNNNNNNNNNNNNNNNNNNNNNNNNNNNNNNNNNNNNNNNNNNNNNNNNNNNNNNNNNNNNNNNNNNNNNNNNNNNNNNNNNNNNNNNNNNNNNNNNNNNNNNNNNNNNNNNNNNNNNNNNNNNNNNNNNNNNNNNNNNNNNNNNNNNNNNNNNNNNNNNNNNNNNNNNNNNNNNNGAAGGGUCUCUAAUCAAUAGCUGGAAGCAAUUGAGAAGGCGGUUGCUACAGUGAAUUCAAAUGUAAAAUGUUUGCUAUUCUUCGAUUUGGUUAAUGAUUUCGUAUGAAUAUUGUUGUUCCGUUGAGUUGCAUGCGAAUUCAAAUGCAAAAUAUUCUUCGAUUUUCAAUUUUGAAAUCAAAUUUUUUUUUCCUUCUCAAGCAUGUUAUGCAGAAACGAUUGUCAUGUUAUGCAGAAACGAUUUUUACUAAAUCAUUUUUAACAAACUAUUGAAAUUAAACCACUGGAAUAAGAAUUGUAAGGAUUUAUCGUAAGCUUACUAAUACGAUAAUUCUGAAACUAUCACCUUUUUUUUUUUAUUUGUUGCAGGGAAACCCAAAUUUUGUAUUUUGUCAAUUUCAUCUGAUAUGGAAUUUAUUUCCUCCCUAAAGAUUUAUCAAACUGCUUCUCUUCCCUGCUUCAAUAUCUUUAUGCAAUUACGAUCUCAUAGGAAAAGAGAGUUUGGGUUGUAUAUCUUAUAGUAUUUAUUUAUUUUUUGUUAAAAGAAAUUUAUUUUAAAAUAGUUUAUAGCAACAGUUUUUAUUUAACAAUAAUGAGGAAGGAUUAUUAUAGGUUCAAAUAGUUGUUAGAACAUUAUAAAAAAGUCCAUUUACUAUCAAAUGUUUUAAAUUGGUGCAACGUGAUAAUUGUCUCAUAUAAUUUUUUAAGGGUAAAAACUCGUUUCAUUCCCAUAUUUUAAGAUUAUUACUCAUUUAGUCUUUAUAUUUUUAAAAAUGUUUCAAAACAUUCAUACCCUUAAAUUAUUAACAUCUCUGCUGUUACUUUUUAUUUUUUUUUGACUUGUUUUUACAAUAUUGCCCUCUUACAAUAAUGUUUCUUUUUAUAAAAUUAAUAAAAAGAAAAAAAAUUAAAUUAUCAAUUUAACCCCAAAAAUAAAAUAAAAAUAAAAAGAAUAAAUAUUAAUUUUUGUGAAAGUUUACAUGUGUCCAAAAUAAAUUUUAUUGUAAAAAUAAUUAAAUUGCCUUUUUUUUGGACAUUAGUAAUAAAAAAAUUAAUAUAUUAAUUCCUCAGCAGUGUGUUACAAAAAAGUAAAAUAUAUUAAUUUUGUUUUUAUUUUAGACAAUGAGAUAGAGAAAAGUACAAGAUAAAGGAAAGGACUUCAAAACUCACUGUUCAUCAUAAUGCCCUUUGCCUUUAAAAAAAAAUCAUUCUAAUAUUUUAUAACACAUAAAAUAUAAUCCUAAGAUAAAUAUAAUAAUACAUAUUUUAAACUAAUCUCGAUAUUUAAAAUAUGUUUUAAUAUUUUAUAAUCUAUCAGACAUAUUUUAUUAUAUUAAUGUAAAAUUUAUAAUAAAUACAAACAUAUUAUUAAAAUAAAUAUAUAAAAAAUAUUUAUUUUUUAUAUGUUUACACUGAGGACUCUCUUUAAUUCAUUUAUUUUCUCUCUCUCCAAACAGGUACUGUCUUCAGUUAGCAAUGCUAUGAUAGUAAUCCAAUUCUCUUCUCCCCCACCUGAGCGAGAUUUGAAUUUGAAUCCCUUGUUUUUCACCCACUCUGUUUUUUUUCACGCAAGAUUUGACAAUUUGAGUUAAAAAAUAUGGUCCAAAACUUGAACACGUAUCUUUUAAUUGUAAUAAAAGUUCUUUAAGCUUUGGAGAUGGCAUAUAUAUGGCUGGAAGUGUCCUUUUCUUUGACCUAGAGGCAGCACCAAGCUAUCCAGCAUCAUCAUUUUUCAAGUGGGUCUUAAAUGCCUAGAAACGUUGGUGUUUCUUGAUUUAAAGAUGACACAUGCUAUAAGUGUGAAUGGUUUGGCUAAGCCUAAAUUUAAAGUCUACUCAAGUCGCAUUCAGGAUCAUGGAAAUUGGAAAGGGAGAGAUGAUAGCAAGAUUUAUAAUAAACAAUUAACUUGGGUCCUCAGUGUACAAAGCAAAUGCCACGCAAGCGAUAGCCGGCCCAGCCCAGAAAACCCAGUGGCGAUCCCAGAGAUGGCCUCCUCUAACGAGUGCUGGGCCCAAAAAUCUUUGCGGGUUGAGCCCAGCUCCGGCAUAGCCCUUUUGAGCAGUAACAGUUGUCGAGACAAAAACCAGAAGACCCAACACUGUUCCAAUGACAAUGCAUACGGUAAACUCUGCCAAGAGCCUUGGCUUGUCUGGAGUCAAAAGCCAUCCACACAGAAGCAAAAAGGAACACAAACGAGCAAAUUAUCUCAAGCCAAAGGGCCUGCCUAGUCCCCAAGCCGAUCUCAACAGGCCCAUCUGGCCCAGGUACGACAACAUUCAGGGUGCAGCCUCCAAGUUGUCAAAUAUUUAUAUUAAACUACAAUUGCUGACUAGAAAAAUCAAGAUCGUAUUACAAGUGGGUCCCGAAUUGGACGUGCCUAAAUCUUUUUAUAAUUUUCCCAGUGUAGCGGACAGAGGUCAUUACUAAAUUUCUCUUCCACACGCCACAGCAGCUUCGGUUAAUCAAACUCAAUCAAUUUUCUUGGCUUCUCCGCUUAUCAAUAUUACAAGGUAUGGGUAGCAUUUUUCAAAUCACAUGCGAUGGUACUAUUUUCAAUCGUUGCUUAGAUUGCUUUCUUGGAAAAGCAGCAUACAUAAGUAACCUCCAAGAUAAUCUUGUUGCCUUGGAGACUGAACUAAGGAAACUAAUCGCAGCAAAGAACGAUGUGAUGACGGCGGUUGUCAAUGCUGAACGGCAACAAAUGAGAAGGCUGGACCAAGUGCAAGUGUGGGUUUCGAGGGCGGAUGCUGUUAAAAAUGAAGCUGAUGAACUUAUCAGAGGCGGCUCUCAAGAAAUUGAAAAAUUAUGUCUUAGAGGGUUCUGUUCCAGGAACUGCACGUCAAGCUACAAGUUCGGAAAACAAGUGGCUAAAAAGCUACGAGCUGUGGAGACUUUAAUCGCCGAAGGAGUUUUUGAGGCGGUGGCUGCCGAGGUGGUGCCUGAGAGAGCUCCAGAGCCUGUAGCAGAUGAAAGACCUACCGAGCGAACAGUAGUAGGCUUGCAAUCACAACUUGAACAAGUCUGGAGAUGUCUUGCAGAAGAAUCAGCGGGAAUCAUUGGCCUAUAUGGUAUGGGCGGUGUUGGUAAAACUACACUAUUGACCUAUAUCAACAAUAAAUUUCUCGAGAGUCCAACCAACUUUGAUUGUGUGAUUUGGGUAGUAGUUUCAAAAGACCUGCGACUUGAAAAACUUCAAGAAAAUAUUGGGAAAAAGAUAGGUUUGGUUGAUGAUUCAUGGAAGAGUAAAAGUGUAGAGGAGAAAGCUCUCGACAUCUUCCGGAGUUUAAGAGAGAAGAGAAUUGUAUUGCUGUUAGAUGAUAUAUGGGAGCGGGUUGAUUUAACAAAAGUGGGCGUUCCACUUCCAGGACCACAAAAUACUACCUCAAAAGUCGUAUUCACAACCCGUUUGAUCGAUGUUUGUGGUAGCAUGGAAGCUGACAGGAAGUUCAAAGUAGCAUGCUUAUCAGAAAAGGAUGCUUGGGAACUGUUUCGAAAAAAAGUUGGGGAAGAAACUCUUGGAAGUCAUCAUGAUAUCGUUGAGCUAGCCCAAACUGUGGCCAAAGAGUGUGGUGGUUUGCCACUCGCACUUAUUACUAUCGGUCGAGCUAUGGCCUACAAAAAGACAGCCGAAGAGUGGAGACACGCAGUUGAAGUUCUAAGAAGAUCAGCUUCGGAAUUUGCAGGUUUGGGAAAAGAGGUGUAUCCUCUUUUAAAGUUUAGCUAUGAUAGUUUGCAGAAUAAGACGAUUAGAUCUUGUUUCUUAUAUUGUUGUUUAUAUCCUGAAGAUUAUGGCAUUCUUAAAUGGGACUUGAUUGACUGUUGGAUUGGUGAGGGAUUCUUAGAGGAAUCUGACAGGUUUGGUGCAGAAAACCAAGGAUACUACAUUGUGGGCACUCUUGUUCAUGCGUGUUUACUAGAAGAGAUAGAAGAUGAUAAAGUAAAAAUGCAUGACGUUGUUCGUGAUAUGGCUCUAUGGAUAGCUUGUGAAAUUGAGAAGGAGAAGAGAAACUUUUUGGUUUGUGCAGGUGCGGGACUAAAGGAGGCACCUGAUGUUAAAAGAUGGGAAAAUGUGAGAAGAUUGUCAUUGAUGCAAAACCAAAUUGAAACUUUGUCAGAGGUUCCUGCAUGCCCUCAUCUCCAUACUCUAUUUCUUGCCUCUAAUAAUAGUUUGCAGAGGAUCACCGAUGGCUUCUUCCAAUUUAUGCCUUCUCUCAAAGUUUUCAAGAUGUCAAACUGCGGGAAUUUAAUUUUGGAAUUACCUUUUGGGAUGUCAAAGUUGGGUUCAUUGGAACUUCUCGAUAUUUCACAUACCUACAUACAAGAGUUACCACAAGAGUUAAAGUUGUUGGUAAAUCUGAAAUGUUUGAAUUUGAGGUGGACAAGCGAGUUAAAUAAAAUUCCACGGCAGCUAAUAUCAAAUUCUUCAAGGUUACGUGUGUUGAGAAUGUUGGGUACUGGCUGGUUCAAUUUUCAUGAAGCAUCAGAAGACAGCGUUUUAUUUGGCGGGGGUGAAGUUUUAGUACGGGAAUUGCUCGGUUUGAAAUAUUUAGAGGUAUUGGAGUUGACCUUGCGAAGUUAUCAUGCUCUCCAAAUUGUUUUGAGCUCAAAUAAGUUAAAAAGUUGUAUUCGAUCUCUUUACCUCCAGUUGACCGGAGAUAGAAAGUCGAUUAUUGAUGCUACGGCUUUCGCAGAUCUAAACCACCUCAAUGAAUGAUUGAUUUUUAAAGGUUUUGAGUUGGAAGAAUUGAAGAUUGAUUAUACAGAGAUAGUACGAAAAAGGCGGGAACCUUUUGUUUUCCGCAGCCUUCACCGUGUUACCAUAGAUUCGUGCCUUAAAUUGAAAGAUUUGACAUUCC